rnacentral:lncRNA from 1 species
CGGUAUCCUCAUCCUUCCUACUUAUUUCUUCUGUUUUUUCCGCACAGCAUUAUUGCCAUUGCGUGCUCUGGAAGCUUUAUGAUUUCUCAUUGAGGUUUCCAUGCUCAUGCUACCUUUUAGUUCCAUCUUUCUCUUUUCCCCGCUUUUAAGUUUGUGAAAGGUCCUCUUCCUUUUCUUUACAGAUUCGUUGGAUUGAAUCUUAGAAAAUUUCCCAGAAGCCAAAUCACCAUUCUUUUUAGAACCUUCUAAUCUGCCAUCAGCAGUAAGAGAAGUUUCAUAUUCUCCUGAGUGGGGGGAGCCAUCUUUGUUCUUCAAUCUCCUUUUCUAUCCUCGUUCCCCGACAUCUUUCCGAUUUGCGGAAGCUUCCUUGUUCUCUAUCCUGCCUUCAUUUGAGGUUUUGUUUCACUGAUUCUAAAAGGUCAAACAUGCGAUCAUUUUACAAAACAAUAUUACGACCUCCAGAAAUCAUGCACUGCUAAAUAAUAUUUCUGUAGGAUACACAUCCAAGCGUUGUUGAAUUCAUUACCUCCAUAACUGUCUUAAGAAAACCCUUGUACUUUUCUGGGGUAACAAGCUGAACAGCAGCAAAACCACACUUCCUAGUCAUUAUCUCAAGAAUGACCGUGACCUGCAAAAAAGAGGCCCUUGGAAGGAUGUGUGCAUGGAAUUAUCACAAAAAAACUCAGCAAACUCCCAGUAAAUUUCACAUGCCUUUGAUCUGAAGUGAUGCCUGGAGACAGAUGACCAUGAAAUAACACCAUCAACAAUGUCUGAAAGUAAACUCUGAAGGUCUUCAUUCCGUAAGCAAGACACUACUACUUUCACAAAACCUAGAACAGCCUGCAAAAUGUGUACGAAGUAACUCUCAAGCCAUGCCAAUUGGGGCAAGAAUCUACUUUGGUAAUGGUAUACUCACUUUUAUCACUUCCACCGCUUUGCUUUGUAGCAGAGAAAGAACAGAAGGAAUAAGAUCAGGAAUUGAUAGACAGAUAUCUGUAUCCUUGUAAACUAGUACGGACAAUGCAGAAACAGCUCCACUUGUAAUUUGAGGUGAUGAACCAGAAAGAUAGCCCACUAUCUGAAAGCACGUUAUUUAGAAUAAAAAAACUAUUACUUGAAUAAAAUUACAAUCCCGAGUAUUGCAAUUGUCCAGUAAUAAAUCACUGUUAAGAACUACAAGCAGAAAGGAAAAUUGCAGAUUAGGUUAGACAAUUUCUACAUAAGUAUGCUCUCCCGAUCAUCUGACAGAAAGUCCUGUAAGCAAAUAAAAUUCCCCGAUGUUCACAAGACACUUAAAGUGUUCAUCUGUGCAGUGCAUAUAAAACUUCUUUGGGCAACCAUUUACACGAGGAACCCAAGCUUUAAUAAUAACACAUGAGAAAGGGACUCCACUACCCCUUGAUUAACCAAUUUGGCUUCUUAAAAUUUCUCAACUUUUCAUCGGAUGAAACAAAUGCAAAAUUUCGAUUGAAUAGCCUUAGGGGCCAACAAGGCAUCCACAAGAUACAGACCACAUGAUUUUAAAUUUUGCCACUUGUAUUUCGGUUCUUCGUUUUUCUACUGGUUAGAGGGCAUUAAUCAUCUUCUCCUCUGGCUGCAACUGCAAAGCCUAAUCCCUUGGCAGAAGCAGCUAGACAUGAAUAAAUGAAGGAAUAUGCCGUGACUCAACCAUACUGCAGCCAUGAAAUUAGCUUUAUUCUUUUAGAAGAGAAAUAUGUUUUAAGGCCUCUGAAUCAAUUCGUAGCCAUACCAGGCUUACAAUCUUCAAAUACAAUGCACAUACUUAUAAAGAUUUUAACCAAUACCAGGAAGCAGUAUACACAAGACCAUGAGGACUUCAGUCCACUGUUUCCCAAUUUUGCAGGAACAACAACAUGGCCAAAGAAGAGGAAUUUAAAUAAACUACAUUCUCCUUCAACUUUUCCCCCAUCUAUGGAUGUUACGUGAGGCAGAGCAGAAACCCAAUUAUUUACAACACGAAAGCCCCUCCAGAUGACAAUUUACAUAGGAUCAACCAUUGUAAAAUACGUACUUCAGACAAGAUAGAAGGAACUGCUUCAACCUCUUCCAUUGUUGUUACUUUCAACUCCCUAUGCCUCAUGUACCCAUUCUUUUAAAGUUCUAUUUUUGUUUUCCUUGCAUGUUCCUGAUGUUCUAGAAUGUAUGUAGUAUCAAACAUGUCUUAAAAUAUAAGCAGUAAUUUCCACCAAAGCUACACAAAUAUGUCCCAUAAUGAAGAAUACCGUACCAUGUUAAUCAGUUUCUGACAAGGUGCAACUGAACUAACAGGCGAAAUGCUUCUCAAGCUGGAACAUAUGUUGAUGAGAACAUCAUAAGCUUCCUUCCUAGAUUCCUCCUUAGCCUGCAAAUUUCAUGUCACAACAGUGAUUAGUGCUGAAAGUAGAUCAUCACCCCCACACUGUAAAGGAGGUUCUUACAUCCUUUAAGACAAGUAUAAUCUCAUUGAGGAUGAAAAAAGCUUUUGAAUCUUCUUUCUCCUCCUCCUCCUCCUCCUCCUCCUGCUGCUCCUCCACAGAGUUUAUCUGCAUGAAGAAUCAACUUGACAUGUCAAAUAGAACAGCAUAUGACAUCAACAAUAGACGUGCUUAUAUUACUUAAUUUUGAGCUACAAUUGCAAAUGCACCAUAACCAAAAACUUAAGAAUCCGUUUGCAAGAAGUACAUAUAUGAUUCCUUCCAUGUUGAGACACAGCCCAAAAGAAAAAAGAAGUUUUUGGCCUUAAAAGCGGAAAAGCCAUUCAUGGCAUUCAAUAUUAUUUUAACGAAUUAAAGGGAAGAUGGGUGAAUGAUGAUAGUAGGAUCAGGUUAUUAGAAAUUUAAAAAAUUGUGAGAUUGGCGAAAACUGAUCUGUUAGGUUCUUUAAGCAAAAUACCACUUAUAUAAUCAUUUUUAAUUUUUUUAAUUUCCACAAAGUUCAAUAAAAAACAAAAGGGUGAUGAAAUACUCCAUGCUUAGCUCUGUACAAGAACCUGUUAGCCAUCCAUACAUUAGGAGUUUGGAAAAGUGAAAAGUUUAAGAGUCUUCAUAUUCACAAAUACAGGCGUUACACCUGCUGUGAGGAUGAAAUUCGAAUUUCCUCUAGGAAGGGAAAGGCCUGCUCUUAGAUCAAGUCUUAAUGUCAAAUUUCCAAAGGCAAACUUCAACUGAAGGAGAUCCAUUAAACAUUUUAAGAAAUUCCUUAGAGAUGGAGGGAAUUGCCCAAGUAGGAGACCAUGCGAAUAUAUUGUGGGGCCAGAACAAAAAAUGGAAUAGUAUUUAAUUUAAGGAUUGUGAUAUAGCUGCUCACCUGCAGCAUACAAUCUAGGCAACAGAAAUAGAACAAAAGCCAAACUCAAAGAACUGCUAAAAUAACUGUUCUAGCACAUCAAGAAUAUAAAACCAUGAAACACGAGGAGAAAUUUAUUAUGAAGAACAAAUGCAAUUUCUUCUUGAAUAAAUGUUGUAUACUUUGCUUUUCGGUGGGACUAAUCUUGAGCUGUUUUCACAACACAGGAUUAAGACAUUUCUUAAAGGCUCAUUGCACUCUUAUUCCAAGACAACCAGCCCAGGACACAGCUCAUAUUCAGUUUAUGAAAAGAACAAGAAAUGGCUUCUAUUUACGUCAAAACGUGAUAUAUACACCAAAAAUGAAGGACAUAAAAUUCUGCACUUUUUUCACAAGAAUAGUAGACACCAAACAUACAAAAGAAAACAAGUACUGCAUUGCCACAAGAAACAUUCUGACCUUUAAUGCAUGAACUAUCAGAACAUGGAAACAGGCAAAGCGGCUUCUCAGAGUUGCAAUAUCAGAUGGAGUCCUUAGGCCAAUUAGUAAAUCAAUCAACUGCGAAUAUUGAGAUGAACAAAACCAGGGAUGCACCUGCAUAAUAGAAAUGACAGAAAAACAAUCACUUCCAGUAAGAAUAUGUCUUGAAUGGAGAUACCACACAAACAUACCUCCAAAAUUUUGCUCAAAGCAUUAUAGGCUUCAGCAUGGCCAUGGUCAUUGCUUUCCUUGUGGAAGAAAAUUCAUGAAUGAUUUAGGCUAUAGAAAUCACUAAACUCAUCCAUUAAGUCAAGAAAACAAAGCUACUAUUCUUAAAGUCAAUGCACACCUGAAAAGUGUCCUACUAUUUUUUUUUUUUUUUUUCUGAGGGUUGUGAGGACCUUGCAUAGAACAUGACAGGAGUGGAUUUAUUAUUGGAUGCAUCCUCAUGAUGUUACUGUACUUGCAUAGAACAUGACAGAUGACAAAAUGUCAUCAAGAAGAGGAAACAGCAGUGCCCAAUUUCCAUAACAUGGUAGCUCAAAAUUUUGCUAGCAGAAUAUAGAAUCUAUGCAUACGGACGCAACCUAGUAAUCUCUGCAAUUGCUAACAGUAGAAAAAAGUUCUGGAUGCUCACAAAUAGAAUUGGUCUGUCGAUAAUCAAACAUCUGUUACAAUAAAUUGUCAAAUGUGACCUAAAGGACCCCUCCUUUAUCAAGUGUUUCAUCAGCAGUCAAGUGUAUAUGCGUAUGUGAACAUAUAUGAAUCUGUCAUUUUAAUCAUUAAUAUAGCUUGCUAACAAUUCUAUCCACAAGCAUUCUAUCUCCAUUGCCUUUUAGCAUUUACAUCAAUGGCAUGCUCAUUUCCUAGUUCUUUGUCCGUUGAUGCAUCCAUUUCAUCUCUUCCCCUCUCGAACUCAUCUCUCUUAUUUAGAAUGCCAAAUCUUUUGAGAAAUGACAAAAAUAUCUCUGGUUGCAGAAGAAUCCGUGAUAGAAGCUAAGCAACCAAUAGGAUCCUGAGAAAUUAAAACUGAGCAUGAUAAUCUAACUCAUAUAAUGUAUGUCAAUUACUAACCAAUGGGAAAAGUAAAAGGUAAUCCGUGAGCAUUGACUGAAUAUAUAUCUCAGAGUUAAAGUUCUUUAAGACGGCUACUCAAUACAGCUUCCUUUUGCUAAUUCAAUGCAAUCCACAGGACUCAAUCCUCUCUUUCAAAAAAUUCAUUCGCAAAAUUAUUGAACUCUUUAUAGCGCCCAGAAGUUUGAUCCAAUUAACAAAGCAUCCACAAAGUUCUAUAACUCACAUGCAUGACGAUCCCUUCCACAAUGACCAACCUAAUCAAUCUGACGGAAUCUAGUACUUCAAAGUAUUUUGGUGUUCUAUGGUGAGUUCAGGGAGGGUAGACACUUGGUACACAACAUUGAUGCCACUUCACUUCUCAUAGCUUUAAUUCUUUUUAACUUUUCCUUUGAGGUUUUCUAAUAACAAGUACGCAAUCCAUUGUUUCAAUGCCAACCCAACCUCACAUAACUUUGACCUUUUUUUUUCCUUUUUUUUUUUUUUGGUCCAUUUCUAAAGAAUAAUUUGUUGUCAGUAAGAAUAUAAUAAAAAAACCAUAAAAAUUCUAGCUUAUGCAUGGCUAUCAUGCUUCUAACAUAUUUUUUUUUUGGUAAAUGGUAAUAAUAUAUUGAGCUUUAAACCAACAAUAUACACAAGAUCCGGCGCCACAAAACUUAUCUAACAUAUGUUUUUUUUUUUUUGUGAAAGUAAGUGAUAUAUUAGGAAAAAGUCAAACUGUACAACCCAUCGGCUUCAAAAACUUACACUCAAGAUGGACAUGCCCAUUAUGAGUGGAAGGAAGCUGAGGAAAAAACCAAGGGGCAGCCGAGAACGGCCAAAAAACUUAUCUAACAUAUGUUUCUACCACACAAAAGCAAUACCAUUAUUUUCCUUCACCAUUUUACAUUAAAAUAUAAAAUUACAACCAACAAAUAUAGAAAAAUAACUAAUCAAGUAAAAUAAUAUUAUCUAAUCCAAAUUUUAAUGAUAUGAACUUGUUUUUGUGCAUGUUAACACAAAUUUCAACUUGCUUAUAAUAUUUUACAAAUUUAAAAGAAAAGGACAUGAAAAAGUUCAAGUUGAAUCUUAAAUUGACAGUCAAAAUUAUAUUUUCUCAAAUCAGUUCAACUAUAGCUUCCUGAAGUGACAGGACCACAUGUCCUAUAGAAUCACCCUAAUUUAUCAUGCCAAAAAAAGUUGCAUUAGCCUCUUUAUACCAACCAAACUUACUUUCAAUAGUCAUGGAAUGUUGCAUUAUUUCAAAGCUACUCGGCCGAUUCUCCACCUAAUGCUUUUCUCCAUAUAUAUAAUUUUUCAUCUGAAGAUUCGAUAUUGUCAAUGACAUGAGAAAAGGAAAGACGAUCAUGCCAAGUAGAGGAUUCCAAGUAAGUUGUAUAAUUUUAGGAUCACUGCAUCUUGAAUUCACACUUCAUUCUAGGAGUCAAAGGUAUAUAACUAUUCCGACAGUGAAGGUUUUUUUUUUUUUUUUUUGGUGAACGGUAAUUGUAUUAAGCUUAGCCAAAAUGUACAAGCAAAUGGCAUCAGAGCUUACACUCAAAACAAACAUGGCAUAAUGAGUGGAAGGGUGCCGAAAUAAAGGAAAAGCCAACAAGGCAAAAGCUAGAAGGUGCAGUCAGCACAACGACAGCCACAUCCUAAAGAAUGACCAAAACAAAAGAAGGUUACCAGCUAGCAAAACAAUGGCAACCCAAGUCCAAAACCCAACACAAAAACAAUAGAGCCCAGCACGGCAACCAAGAACAAGGCAGGACGCAGCCAGGAGAAGAGAAGAAUCCCAUGCGGCAGACACUCCGCAGUAGGACUCCUAAGGAACCACCGAGGAUGAAUGAAAGAUGCAAGGGUCAAUCCCCCAGCUACAUUGAAGUCUUCUGUUUCAUGGAUUGUCCUCCACAUUUGUAAAAGUCAAGGCCUUAUCCUUGACCACCUUAAUGAGGUGAUUCUUCACUGCCUGGACCGUGAAGGUAAGGUUCCUGGAAAGGAUCUCAUUCCUAUAAUUCCAACAGUGAAGGUUUUUCUCUUAAUUUUCUGAUUUUUCAAAGGGUGCUGUUGUCUGGUGGGGCACACUUGGGAACUAUUCUCUCAUGCAAAGCAGGGAUGGAACAAUACUUUUCCCAUAGGGCAGGGAAUGGGAACAAAAUUCCUGGCCUGCUCCUCCCAAUGGCAGCCACUAGUGCGUGCAAUUCAAAAAGUGCCUUGAAUGAUGCAAUUGGAAGUAUUAAUUGUACUUAAGGAAAAUUUACACGUCAAAAGGGCUGGAGGGAGGCCUAAAAACACAACAGAAACUUCUAGCUAGAAUCCCAAAAUGUUUUAAGCUUCCAUAGGAUAUCAAAUAGCACAUAAUGACCUAAUAUAUGUCCAUGUAGCCAACCCCAUCUACGUGAACUGACUCCACAAUACUUUCUGCAGCACUUAUAAGAAUGAUGCGCCCACACUAGGAAGGAGAUUAGGCAGGUCUGAAUCUGACCAACCCAACAAUCAAAUUUAGCAUGUCAACUGCCUCAUACUAAACAGAAACCUUCGAAUUCCUCUCUACUUCUUCCAGCAAUUAACAUUGACAGAAAGAGCUCCUACUAGUUAUACUACUUUCAAUCUGGACAGGACUGAGGAGGAAGAUGGAGCUUGGAUUAUCAUAGAGUAUUAGUAUCCUAUUAUUAUCUUAUAGUGCACUGAGUCCUAUUAGCAUCUUUGAGAUGAGGCAUAUGCCUAAAAAAUUGGAGAAAAAGUUCAGACAACCAAAGUAAGUGGAAAAUUAUGAAUAUGAAAGGGGAGAGGAGAAAACAAUUGUGCAAUAACUAGUAAGAAAUUUAGUAUAGAGCCAAAAAAGACUUUAGUGAUUGAGGGAGAACCUUCAAGUAUGACCUUGUCGCAGGAAUGGAAUCGACAAAUAAGUCCAAUAAAAGUUGAAGCAACUCAGUAGAGCAUGAACUUAAAAGCCUUGAUAUUUCUGCUUGCAGUUUUCUUCGAGUAAAUCGGUAGAGUUUGCAAUUCUAAUCCGGAUGCUUGCACAUUACAGGUGUCUAAAUCUUUAACUACUCUAGAGCUGAGUACACUUGUAUUCUGAUUCACAAGGAUCUGCAGAAUUAGAACAGUACUAUCAGGAGAUAUGAAAAUGGUAUAACAACCUCUUCCCAGCUAAAGAACAAGUGUGAGCCAAAUGUCACCAAUGUGGCAAGAAGAUCACCUUUAAAGCAAGAGCCACACUUUCAUGCAUAAAAGAAUAUUUUUAAAGAAAAUCAGUCAAUAAUACUGCCAAACAUCUAAACUGUUUGUCUGUAUCACUUGAACCCCGGCAAAAGGCUGGUAACAGUUUCCAAAGGUCAUGAGCAUGACCCAGCAGCUCCUUACCAAGCACUGAUUUCUUAACUGGAGAAAAGAUAAACAGAAGCACAAUCACAUCCCCGAUGUCACUAAAAUGUUAAUGAUGAACUGAACAAAACUCAAAUCAAGUAAUGCUGAUUAAGGACUCCACUACAUACAUGAACAAUCGGCAUUCAACCAAAGCUCACACUAAAAAAUAUGCAUCAAGGAAGGAAAAGUUAAUGUCACAGAGGCAGAUGAAAGAAUAAAAUUGCAUAAACAACAAUAUUUUGCUCCCCAGACCUGUCCCUCCUAUCAAAUAUCUACAGAACGCAAAAAAACAUACCUUGAGAUGAACAAUUGCGAUAAGAAAAUAUUUAUAUGCAUAAUUCAAUGGGUAUCAUAAGCCAAGUAAGGAGAGGUCAACGCUUUGGGAUGGUAUCUAUCAAAUGGGAUCAACAUAUAUAAUAAUAAAAAAAAAAUCAAGAAGUUGACAGUUCUGUUAUAACGUUUCAGGCAAGCUUUCAGCACAGCUUACAAGCAGGUUGAAUUACCCAGCUUGAUAAGUCUAUGGAGACUCUUAUUGAAGACUAAAGCUCCUUCUAGCAUAGCUUGUGAACAUGCAAAAAUGAUCUCUCGUGAUGAUGAUCUCUUGCGAGGAGUUUAUGAUGGACAAAAAAGUUUUUGUAUUGAGUUUUGGUUAAACGCACGAAACUUUGUGCACUUAUUCCUUAUAAAAUGUGUCUCCUGUCAAAGAACAUUUAGUGGUGCCUUUGCAAAAAGCAGGACUUUUACCCUGCUUAAACUGAUUUGAAUCUGAAUACGGAUUUAAAGAUGGAGAUUCUAGGUUGCUUUUAAUUGAUAACUCAUAAGUUAUGCACAACCAGUGGUGAAUCUGUGCCAAACAGCCAAGGAUCUCCACACUUAUUAUGACGUCAAAUAUGAUAUCUGAAAAAUGAAAAUCACGGAAACAAAAGUCAUGUAGAAUGAUGACAUACCUCCAGAACUAGCACGCUUGAAAGAUUUUGCGAGGGGCACAAUAUAAUCCAUGUAAUACUCAAGUGAUGAACCAACCACAUAAUCUCUUAGAAUGGGCACCAACCAAACAUUACUAGAACUAAAAUUGUCAGGAUGCAGUGAAAUAGGCACAACAGAAAGCAUCUUUUCUGGGCCCAUAGCAAUUACAGCAGAACCAAUACAUCUCUGAAGCUGUGAAUCACAGUAAAUUAAACAAUGAUGAGUUACCAUUCAAACAAUCUUCAAACUACACAAGUAUUACUUUUAUAAAGCUAGACAGUCAAUUAUUUGUUUCAUCAGAUAAUGGCAAAGUACUAUGCUCAAAGCUCUGUUAACUUGUCAUCUACCCAAUUUAGUAAAAGAAACUUUUGUUAAUCCUUAUAUGUAAGUAAAAAAAAAAAAAACCUGCUGUUAACGCUCCAAUCAACAAUUCAAUCUAGCUCUAACAAAAUUCAUGACGACAAGCCGAUUUGGAGUUUGCUAUGAACCCCAUCUUCUUCUUUGCACACUUCAACAGGAUAAACAUAUGAAGCAAAGAUGACUUGAAAAAUCAAAUUUUGGAGAGCAAGAUCAAGUAAUAGCCUUUACAUCAUUCUCUUGAAAAUCAAUUUCGAGAUCAAGACAAAUCAAUUCCCUUUAAAUCAUUCUCUUUUUCCUUUAUACAUAAAAUUAAAUCAAUAACAAAGGGGGUGCAAACCCAAGUACCAAAGGAGAUCAAGAACCAAAAAAAAAGCUCAAUUCAUCGAUAAUGACAAUAAAUGCAUCUACAUCGACAUGCAUUAUUUCAAGUCGCAUUUCCACUUCCAUAAGAACAUUGACAAAAAACAAGGACAAAAAAAAGUCUUUUAAUUGAGAAAUCUGCUCAAAAUAACGACAGGAAUAGUAAUUCAAGAAAUGAUUAGAGCAUGAACCCUACUUAUUAAAAUCAGCAAAAACAAAAUCAAGAGAAGAUUAAGAUAUUUGAAUUGUCCCUUAUUCCAUUCUUUUCCAAACUCACCAUUUAAGGCAAAGAGUAGGAGCAUUUUGGGCUGAUUUGAAAUGUAGAGGAGUAUGGGAAAACAUGACAUGAUUGUAGAACCAAGAUCGCAAAAUUAGCUAAGAAACUACCAAAACAAAGCAGUCAAAGCACCUCCUGCCCCAAGAAAGUUAAGAAGCAUACCUGCUAGAGACUCCCAAACUACAGGAAGGUUCUUAAUCCACAAACUUGAUCCUCCAGUGUGGAAUUUAUUCAGAGCAACUCUUAACAAUUUUGCAGCAGUCAUGACAGUGUCCACCGAGUUCUCUUUUGAAGAAACAUAAGAAGCAAGAGAAGUGAUGACAUUUUCUAUCUCUUGAACAGUAUCUCCCACUGCUAGAGUUUCCAAUAAUGCCUCGAUGAUUUUAAGAAUCAGUGUUGUAAGCGCUGAGAACCCGAGACUGUCUAAUUCUGAAAGAAUCUGAAUGCUUACUUUGGCAGACAGAUACGGACAAACAGAUACCAGCACAUUAAGCAUAUGUAAGAAUCCUAUAUUCUCGGAUUUCAACAGUUUAUCAUCUGUAGAUCCAUCCUCAGGACUCGUAGUCCUUGACCAAUCUGCUGAAGAAAUGCAACUUUCAAAAGAAGACAGUACCAGCUUGCUUGCUUUCCUAACAACACUAGAGGACUUAAAGCAUUUAAAAACCUUUUCAAGACAUUCUUGCGCACAUCGCCGAACCUGAGAAAACAACAAAACAUAUCUUCAAUUGCUACUCAGUUCUUACGAUAUGCAAGAGAAUAGGAACGCAUUUCCACCUUUCAAAGCCCAAUUGCAAUCAACAAGGCCAUAAGGGGAAGAACACUGACCUAAAAAAGGUGAAAAUUACAUGUUGCAAAGUCUAACAAAAAAAAAAAAAAAAUUCCCAAAGAGCUUACAAGAGCAGAACUGGAUACGGCAAUGCAUGGUUUGCGACAAUAUACCUUAGGACGCUUGGCCAGGGAGAACUUUAAAAGCGUCUUUUACCCGAAUUUCACCGAAUCCCAAUCCUCCAAGUCGCAAAACCCAAGCAAAACCCCCAAACACUUCACCGCGGACCUCACGCGGGACACGGCCAGCUUCUCCUCCUCCCUCGGCAGCACCUCCGCCAACACCUCCGCCGCCUCCCUCGCCCUCGCGGGCGCGAUCCCCUGCGGCGGCACCGCGGGCAGGACGAUCACGAGGAACGACAUGAGCGCCGCGACCUCCGUGGAGUCCAGGGCCUGCAACGAGGACGUGGUCUCGACGGCGGACAUGGCGGCGCCGAAGUAAGAGGCGGGCGUGAGGGGGAGGGACUCGGCGUCGAGGAUGGCGCGCAUGGCGGCGACGGUGGCGAGGAGGUGGCGGUGCUGAGGGGCGGAGGAUUUGGCGUAGCGGUCCAUGAGCUGUUGGCAGACGUCGGCGCCGUCUCGCAGCGGUUCGUCGGCGCUAUCUGUUGAUCCUGUGGAAGCAACGAGGGUCGCUCUUCCUGUUUCCGUUGUCUGUGCUUUCUGUGGCUUCAUGGCGGCGGCGGGGGCGGCGGCUUCGAGCGCCGCCGUGCGGUGGCUUCUCCUGGCUGUGGAAUGUUUCGGGGUAAGAAAUUCGCCUUUGAUGCUUAAUCCAUGUUUUUUUAUAUUUUUACGAUAACUAAAACUCGGGGGGUCGUUAUUUUCUUCGCAUUUGAUCUAUAUUGCUUAGCAAAGAACAUUUUUUGGUUACAUUGAUUAGGUUUGCCUCGUCCGUAGUUCCUAUCAUGUAACUCAACUUUCAAGAAAAUACAAAAGGUUAAUCUCACAAAAAAUUUCAAAAUAUGCACAUUGUAACUCAAAUACUCCAAAUCUUUUUUUAUCACAAAAGAUCUUAAAUUUAAUUUUUUAUAACAUAUAUAUCCUAACCUUUUCUUAUGUCAUAAAAAACCUCGAAAUUAUAUUAAUGUAACAAAUGUAUAAUAAAUUGAACUGAAAUAGAAAACAUAUAUAUACAUGUUACACAUGUAAAAAUUUGGAUUUUUUCAUGAUACAAAAAAAAUUGAGAAAUUUGUAUUGCUAUGGACAAAUUUAGGGUUUUUGGUGACAUAAAAAAAAGUUAAAAGAUAUUUAUAUCACAAUAAAUGUAAUUUGUGGGCAAAUCAAAUUUAUGGAGCAAAAGUGGUACUUCUGAUCUUUUACUUUCAAUCAUUAUUAUUUUCUUGUUUUAUAAUUAAAAGGUGUUAAGAUUUCAACGGGAAGUUUUCCGUUUUCAAUUUCAUCUUAGGUAUGCUAAAGUAUUAUCAAAGGACUCUAGUGAUAUAAAAACAAACAAGUAAAAUGAACAUACGAAAAAAGGUUAUUAUUGUGAUAAGAAAUGAAAUCACAAGAUUCUUUUUGGAGGAAACAAAGCAUCACUUUUUAAUAGGAGUAUAUACGGGAACCGCACUGAAUCGGCUAGUUUUGAUUAUUCUCAAUUACAAAUUUUUGGAAUAGGAAUAAUCAGACAAAUUCUUAAUUUCAUAUGGGAAUCAAAUUGCUCGGACGAUAUAUAUAUUUUUUGGAAUUUCCCUCUUCUUUUAAAGAGUAAAGAAAAGGAAAUUGCCAAAAUCCUAAACUGAACCGGUCUAACCUAGGAAUUAAUCUAGUUUCCAAUUCUAAAGUGAAAUCGACCAAACUCGGGAAUCAAUCACCUUUCCUUUUUAAUGAUAUGCAAGAAAGGAUUAAAAAGGAUAGGAAACUUUAUAUUCUAUCGCAAAGUUGAUUAAAGUAGCCAAGAGAGAGGAAGAAAGGAAGGAAAAAUAGAGAGAAGAAGAGGAAGAAACAAAUCCUAAAAGCCAACAAGGGGUGCUUCAUUUCCAUGUUACCGAAACCGUAUGCCUAUUGCAAUAUAUUUACAUUGAAUAUAAAUUAUACAUUACCAUGAUGCCCUUAUAUACGUAAAAAGAAAUAAAACCUAUAAAAUAAAACCAACACCACUAAAGUAAUGUAACAGUCCCCUUUUUUUUUGGGUAAAAAGUAACGACUUCAUUGCAAUAACUAAACUAAGUUUGGAGAUAUUACAUUAAACGCAUCAGCACAUAGUAGAUCAAAUAGAGCAGGUGGGGGAUUUUCUAACCAAUUUAAUGGUAGAGAAUCGGUUCUACACGCUUUCACCAGCCAGUCCACGGGUUGGUUUGUGUCCCUGUUGCAAUGGGCCAAGGAGAUGGCCCGAUAUGCUUUCAUUUUUAUCUUGGCCCGGUCCACGACGGUCUUCGCAUCCCAACUGAAGUCUUCCGAAGUGUUGCAGCUGUUCACGAGUGGGAGGCAGUCAGACUGUACGUGGAGUUGAAGUUGAGUUCGGUCUGAGAAGAAAAUUAGGGUUUCGAGGAGGGCGAUUGCUUCCGCCUGUUCUGCCGAGGAUGCGGCCACUAAUUUCGCGAAGCCGUCGACCACCCGUCCCCUGAAGUCGUGACAGAUGCAGGCGAUUGCUCCUCUGUUUUCGCUUUCUCCCCUGUUUGCCCUAGUUUGUGAUUCGUAGUCGCUGCUUGGGAGGAAUGAAGCAUCUAUGUUGAUUUUCAACGAAUCUGGUAUUGGGGGCUGCCAUCUUUGAGGUAGGGUCUCUCUAUGUUGCUCCCCUUUCGUUUUUUUUGUUCCAAGUGGUGUAAUUCUCGUGCAAAGCCGCGGCCUUUAAGAGUGUUUGCUGUGGGUGCAGAGGGCGAUGGCCAAAUAUAAAAUGGUUUCGGUCUUUCCAGAUGCUCCAGAGGGUAACUACGAUGAGGUCAAACCUUUUUGCACUGGUUGGAUUGGUUUUUGCUAUGUACAACCAUUCGUCAAAUCUGGUUAGCUCUAUUCUUGACACUCUGAUUUGCAGGGGGCAACUUUCCAAAUCCGGGCCGUCCAGGAGCAUAGCAACACUCCCCUUAAACUAGAGCAUAUAGGUCACUCAUACCCAAUUUGGAACAACCAUUGACAAAGACAGGACAAAACAACACUUUAAUAAACAUAUCAACCAAUUAAUCUCUAGAGUCAAUAUAAAGAGUAGUGACCAACUUCUGCUUCACAAAGUGACGGUCAACUUCUAUAUACAUAGUUCGCUCAUGAAAAACAGGAUUCCCAACAAUAUAAAUAGUUGCCUAAUUAUCACACAUCAUAUCAUAAGUUGAUUAAUAAAAAGGAUUUCAACCACAAUAAUUUAGUCACAAUAUGUGCCAUAGUACAAUAUUAGGCCUCCACACUAGACUUAGGAAUAGUUGUCUAUUUGUUGCUUCGUAAUCAAAUUACCACCAAGAAAAGUGCAAUACCUAGUCAUGGAUCAGUGAUCACAUGCUAACCUAGCCCAAUCGGCAUUAGAAUAGCCAAUUAAAGUGAAAGAACCAUUAGGUGUGUAAAUCAGCCCCUUAUUAGGAGAGCCUUUAAAGUACCAGAGAUGCGAUAAACAGCAUCCCGACGAGCCUUCUUUGGUAACUUCUUUAAUUGACUCACCACACCAAUAACAAAGGAAAUAUCUAAAUGUGUAACAAUGAGAUAAAUUAACUAAUUAGCUUGAAUAUUUAGUCUGCGUGAAAUGCUAUGCAAGGAGAUGCCAAAAUGCCUAACUAAAAUGACAUGUAACAUGCAACGUAUAUUGCGAACUAUAUGUCACGACAUGAUCUAAUGACAAUGUAACUAUCCUAAUAUGUCACGCACUCAAAUGAUCCUAAGCAUGCUAUGACUAGAUGACGAAAUGACCUAAUUCUAAGUUACACACGCAUGAUAUUUUGUAUUUCUUCUUUUCCUUUUUUUAUAGAAUUCGAAAUUAAAAUUGCUUAAUAAUUGAACAUGCAAUUAAUGAAAAGAAAAUCUAACAUCUUUUUGGUGUUUUUAUUUCAAAAAUUCGGAAUAAAUAAAAUGCCUAAUCUAAAUAUGCAAAUUAUCCUAAAACAAGCAAUAUUCUAACAUAAACCUAAUCUAACUCAAAUAUAUAUAUAUAUAUAUAUAUAUAUUUUUUUUUUUCUUUUACGGAAAUAAAAUCAAUUCAAACAAUACGACGGCAAAUCAGGCAAGAUAUGAUUGAUAUCCACCAAAUAAAUUGAUAAACUCAUGAGAUCGGAUUGGCCAAUUUUAACAAAAUCUCGAGCAUAAGAUUGGAUUGGCGAUUUUUCCGUGCACUAAUAUUUCGGACGUGAAAUCAGACUAUCAAUCGUGUGCACGUUGUGAAAUUAGGAAGAUUUCUCAAUAUAUAAGGCUACUCGAGAUUACGGAUAUGAUAGCAUAUCGGGAAUUUCAAUUAUGUGCAUCGACGAAUAUUUCAAAUAAGAAAAAGGAAUUUUUGGAAAUCAAAAUAGAUAAGAUUUUCACCUAAUUUGAAUAUUGGCUUUCAAAUUCCGAUCCUCAAAUGGCUACUCGCGACGCAAUGUGGUGGUGCGCUCACAGGAUGGCUACUCGUCAAGGGGCUUUGCGUGCGGCUCCUUGAUGAUUGCUCGAUUCAAUGAUAUGUGCGUAAACCUCGAAAAGCAAUUUGCAAAACAAUAACUUUUGUUGUUGUAGCAAUAGCAAGGCUUACCCGGGAGACCUAGAGAACCACAAUGGGGAGAUGCUCCAAAUUUCAAUAAAAUAAGCGUGCGAAAUCCUCCCUCCUUUCAACGUAUACGUCCUCCUUUAUUGAAAGAACGUGUGCCCUUCUCUUGCCCAGAUUUUAGCGACUCGGAUGCUUGCUGAAUUUUGACCGAGCUCAAUCACCUCGCUGGAAUUCGUUGGCAACGCGAGUAUUGGUGCAAAUCGUCUGGGCGCGACGAAACAAACCCGAGGAUCGGGCUGAUUGGGAUGGGUGACAUGAGCAGUGGCUACUGGCGUUGGGGUAGCAACGAGGUCGUGGCCAGGAAACAACCAGCUCUGUUCACGGAUGCGGAGCAGCAGCGAUGGCGGCGUUCGGGUAAUAGUCGGAACAGCAACUACGAGGGGCGGAGUUGCAGUGACGUCAUCGAUGAAGGGGCUGCGGUGGCAUCGUCAAGCAGUCGAGUAAUAACUCAACAGGGUGGCAGCUCAUUGACAAUGUAUCGCAGACGAUGAAAGCACCGCGGCAGAAGUGUUGGCAUGGGUCUUGGCCAAGAAGAUUCGCGCUCUUUCCUCUCUCACGUCUCUCGCUCUCUCUUGUAUCAUUUAUAGUGAAACGGUGUAAACCAUCGAGGAAAGAAAGCAUAUUUUGUUUCCUUCUGUGCAUGCUUUGAAAUAUAUUCUAUUUCCUUUCCUCUUCCUCAUUGACCAAAUGCCUUCUUUUUUGCAGGGAUAUCUUUUUUUGCAAAUCCAUGUGCCCGUAGUGUAGAACGUGCCCAACAUUCCCUUCUCAUGCUGAUCUUCUGAAUUUCCAUAUGCUCGUAUCUUUCUACAUAGGGCCAUUCAUGAUGAAUAUUCUCUGCCGAUUUUAUUUCUUUAAGUUUUAACCCAAAUAUCAGUUCACAAAUUGAUCAAGUAUUGCCAAAAAUUCAAUAUUGCAAUAGACUUUUCCUAGAUUCCGAACCUUGCAAAGAUGAGCUCGCAAUAUCUCCUUCCUAUGCUUGUCCUUACCGAAUAUACGAAAGAUUCACCGAAUAUUGGAAGAAUAAUAUAAAUCUUUUCCAAAAAAUAUCGAAUUGCCAACUCGUAAAAUUGUAGCUCAUCCGCAGCCGAUCAAAUGCAAAAGUGAUAAACAAAUAGAUAAAUGUAACUAAAAUUAUAUGCCAUGCAAUUUUAAUUCUAUUUUUUAGCGGUUAAAAAUUAAUCCAUAAUUUUCUAUGCAAUAAAUGGAUGACCGGGUCGCCAAAAUUUAGGUGUCAAUAGUAGACUACGCCAUGACGUUGCUUCCUUAAAGAUGACCUUUUAAUUACUGUAUUUUUGGUCGAAAACCUUUUAAUUGCACCUUUUUUUUACUGUUGGCAUGGUGAUUUUUGAACUCGACAAGGACUGCCCAAUCAACCAUGCAACAAGGGGACAAUUUCUACGACGAGAAACGCGCAUGCAUGCAUUGACUAUGGGAGUCUCCGGAGACAAUCAUACAUUCUUGCCAACACUCAGAAUCCGAUCUCCACGAUUGGCAAUUUGCUUUUGCAUGGGAAAAUUGUACAAAAAAUUCUAAAUUUAUUACACUUUUAUCAAUUUAGUCCUAGAUCUUUUAAUUUGUAAAUUGAGUUCUAAACAUUUUUACUUUUUACCAAUUCAGCUAUAAACCUUUUCACUUUUUGCCAAUUAAACCAUCCGGCCAAUUUUGACGGGAAAUUACUAACAUGAAUAGCUGAUGCUGACGUGGUACUUUUUUAAUAAUAUUUUGAAUAUUUUAUGGUUUUUUUUUUUGCGACCUCACCCGUGGCUAGCAAGAGUUGGCCAGCAACUCUUGUCUGCCCUGGAUCCACAAACCCAAAAAUAAAGCAAAAGAAUUACAAAAAAAAAGAAGAGAAAAAAUCAUCUAGAAUGGAGUAGUGUCCAACUUUUCAUGUGAGAGCAAGAGUGAGAGCAAGUCAGAGACAAAGAGUGAUGUCUGAAAGUGAGAGAGAGAGAGAGAGAACCUCAUGUCUUCCUCCAAUGUAGGGAUAUUCCAUUUAGAAUGAAGUAGUAAAGCUUUUGUCCAACUCUUCUUACCUAAUCUUUUUCUUCUAGUGACAAUAGUCUUUUCUGUUGCUCUAAGUUUGCUAUGACCAUGUCUCAGAUUUAGAUUAUUAUACAGUUUAUUAAAGGCGGAGUCCAAAUUCCACGAUUCUUAGAAACUUCAGCAGCUCAUGAAGUUGUCCAAAAAAUAAUUAGAUUCACUUUUUUUGGGACAAAUCUUUUUUCCCCUCUUUCUUUUGACUUCAAUUGUAACAAAUUACUAUUCUUCUAAAAAAUAGUCAAGGGCUACGGCCACCAAGACCCGGUUAUGUGGAGGCCAAUGAAAUACCUUGCAAGUCCUACAAAUUGGUUAAGUCCAAUUCUCCGAGCAAGUCAGAGACAAGUUUGCGCGCCAUUGGUGGUAUCAUAUAUGUUGAACAUAAAUAAUGGAAAGAGUUAUCCUAUUAAAGUUGUUAAAAUAUAUAUAUAUAUAUAUAUAUAUAUAUAUAUAUAUAUAUAUAUGUACAUAUCAUAUAUGUCGAGUUUGGGAUCUAAUGUCAAUGGACUGAAUAUUAUCUUAAGACUUUUCAGGACAAUAACUGAAUUGUAUAGCUGUGGAAACUGAAAUAUUUGGCACCAUGGUCUAUCCCGUUCAUUAAUGGGUGCUUGUACAUUAGCAUAUCUAAGUCUCUAUCGAUGUUGACAGGUGUUUCACCAAGUCAACUAUACAACGCUCUUUUUUAGAUAAAAUUACCAAAGCAAGUUCUAAAUCGAUUGUAUAUGUAUCAAUUAAGUCGUAAUUUUUUCAAUUAUACCAAUUCAAUCCUAAAUUUUUUUACAAUUGCUGACAUAAUCCAUCCGGCCCUCACCUCUAGUCGGCCACGGUUACUAGCGGAGGAAGAAGGAAAAAGAAAAUGAAAGAAAAGAAAAUUAAAAAUUAAAAAAUGUGGAUUUUUUUAAAUUGCAAAAAUUAUCUACAUGAGCGCCAACUAUGCCACGUAAGAUGGCCAGUGGGCACGACCAAUAUUCAUAUCAACAAUUUCCUAUCAAAAUUAGCCAGUGAAUUUAAUUGAAAAUAUUUAGGACUCAAUUAAUAUAGUUGAAAAUUUUAUGAUUAAAUUGACACUAGUGCUAUAGAUUUAUGAUUUUUUAAAAAAAUAAAUUUUCCAUCUUUCUUGAGCUGCUCGUAGACUUGUCCACACACACACACACACACACACACACACAUAGACACAUACACACGAUUGUCUUUGUUUUUGGCUUCUAGAGAAGUCCAAUAAUUUUUAAACUCAAAUAUUUAAAAAAAAUAUAAAAAGAUUAUAUGAGAACUAUUGUGGCAAAUGAAAGGUUUCAAGUGCUUGUAAUUUUUUUAAAAAGUCUAAUUAUGUGCGUAAAUAUUGAAAGAAACUUUUAACUAUUUAAAUAGUCAUCGUCGAAAGAGGCUGAAAUUUUCCAAUUACAGGACGAGUCAUGGAAUCGUAGCAAGGAGGGGUUCUGUACUUUGACUUUGCUUUGGCCUAACAUGGCCUUUUUUCUCUCCGUUCCAUGUUAUAAACGUGGACACCAACCACAGAAAAAUCAAGGCACGUAAAACAAAACUUGACUUAGACCAAAUAAUAAUAGUUCCACGGACCACCUCAUGCACAAUACCUAAGCAAAACAUAAUCUUCUAUGCAUGUCUAAUCAAAUUAAUGUCGAGUUGUUAAGGGUUGUUUUAAUACUGUCAAUCAAUGCCGUUAUAUUCAACACGCAAGUUUCAGAGCUUUGAAAAUUCCAGGUUAACUUUAAGUAAUGGAUUCUAAGCAUGGAAUCUCGUCACUUACCUUGAAAUCUUCCUUGACUACAAGAAACCAUGUAAAUUGGAACAAUUUUCUGUUGUAUAUUUCAAUAGUCUUGAAAUUUCAAAAGCUAUUAUUUUUUUAACGAUUUUCAACUGUCAUCAAUUUGUAACCAUUUUUAUCUGCCAUUACUUUAUUACAGUUUUAUACUUCUAAUGGGGUUGGAGUAAAUCUCUUAAUUAGACAAAUAAGAAAAUAGUCAAAUCUCAAUCACCUCUCCUUUCGAGCUUCUAAUUAAAGAUAAAAGAUUUCUCAAGUCCUAAUUAGUCAACUGGACUAUUAGAGAUAUAUUUAAAAUAUUCUAUGAUUCUAUAUAUUAUUAUACGAUUCUAUAUAUUUCCUUUUAUUGGUCCUGAUUUGUUACCCUAUAAGUUAUUAUAUAAAGCCUAUAAAUAAGCUUGUGUAUUAUUUAUUUGAUGUUCUACAGAAUAUUACAUCUUUCAGUCAUUAUGAUUCUUAACUUGGAUGAAAAAAAAUCAACUCCUCAAAAGUAGAACCUCGUCAGUUUACUUGCCUAGCCGCCUGAAACGUUAUUAGUAGACUACACUAUGACGUCGCUUCCCUAAAGGUGAUUCAAUUAUUGACCUUUUAACUAAUGUUUUUUUUUUUUUUGGUUGAAAAUCUUUUAAUUGCACCUUUUUAUUAUUGUUGGCACGGUGAUUUUUUAACUCAACAAGGACUACAGUCAACCAUGCAACGAGGGGACAAUUUCUACGAUGAGAAACAUGCAUGCAUGCAUUGACUAUGGGAGUCUCUGGAGACAAUUAUUCAUUCCUACUGACACUAAGGACCCGACCUCCAUGAUUUGGCAAUUUGCUUUUGCAUUCAUAAUCUACAACACGGAAUUUAUGCUAAAGAGCUUAUUUGAAUUAUCAAUGUCCCUCUUUUCUUUGUGAUAGAAAACUUUCCAUGCGGAUGUUUUAUCGUGUUCAAAAGAAAUGUCAAUCUUUCAUAUCUACAUCAUGUUGCCAUGAAAGUCUUUACACAUUGCACUGCAAACGUAUCAGUACAUGCGUCAAUGCAGUUGAGAGUCGAUUCGGACACCAAUGAGAGUAAGUGCAGGCUAGGUUGAAGAUCUCCAUCAACCGGUGAAUGCAUCAAAUGCGGGAAAUGAUAACUCUAUAAAAAUAGAGUUAUUUUAUCUAUUUUAGGCAACAAUUAAUGCAAUAUCUAUGAGAAGAUAUUUGGAUUUCCUUCUGAUUAUUAGAAUUUUCCUUAUUUAUGCAGAAUAAUGAGAUAUGGAGAAAAUAAGAAAAAUAAUGCAAAUAUCAAGAAUUCAAAUAAAUAAAUAAAUAAAUAAAGCAAUUGAAGAUAAAUAUCAAAUCAGGAAAUUCUUGAUUUUAUUCCCUAAUGUUAUCUGCAAGCGUUGAGAGAUAGAUAGCUGGGAUUAUAUCUUUUGAAGAGGAGAACAUUAAGAGCCAAAGAGAAAGUAGCGAGUUAUAUAUCUUUUGUUUUUGAUCUUUCUGAGAAUUUUUCAAGUAUUUUGAAGAGAAAACAAAAGUGAUGACAUAAUUCUUGUUCUUUAAUUCAAGAUGCUGGGUUUGAUUUAUAUUUUUAUUUAUUCUUCUACUAUGUUCUAAUUUUCUUUUGUUAGGACUACGAUGUAGCCUAACCAUGAUGAUGUGAAAUUCAUGAUUUUUAUGUUUUACAAUUGAUUUCAUUUAUAUGAGUUAUAUAUUAUUGUGUUUAAUGUUUUUGAGUGACUAGCCAUCACUUGAAUGAUUUGAUGUGCAUGUUUGAGACUGAGAAGUGAAAAUAUACAAUUGCUCGUUAUAAUAUAUAACCAUAAAUUAAACAUGGAUAGAGAUAUACCGCGUUAUUUGUGUAGCUUUCGAUGAUAAGGUGAUCCAAAAGACACAUUGUAAGCCGAGAAUAUUCAUAGUUUUUAAUGCACUUAUGUUUAUUUUAAUUCACAUAGAGAUAUAGUAGAUUAAUAAUCUGAGUAGGUUUACUAUUGUUCUUGUAUCCAAAACAAUCUUAAAUUUAUAUCUAGUGGUUAUGGUGAAAUCGGAUGCUCUAACAUAUUUAUCUGAUCGAUUUAUUGCAUUUAGUCUACAAAUUUUGUUUUAAAUUUAUUAUUAAUUAUAUUUUGAUCUGUUAGAUAAAGUUUAGAAUUAGUCUAUUUUAGUAUUUAAUUGGUUUGUUAAUCAUCGAUCUCCAUGGGACGAUACUUUUUCUCAUCAUUAUAUUACUUGUUCGACACGUGCACUUACAUUUAGAAUUUUACGAACAAGUUUUUGGCACCGUUGCCGGGGAUCGUUUGUUUAAUACUAAUUAAUAUUGAUACCGGAUAAUUCUAAGUUUAAUCUAGUUUUUGUUUUGUUUUAUUAUUCAGGGUGUACAUCAGUUUAUGACACAUAGCCAACAGAGGAAACUUGUUGAGCUUGAUCCAAAAAUCGGGCGUACAUUCAAAAGGCGACUGAGAGAACAGAGAAAUCACGCUAAGAAGAUGGCAGACAGUGAGAAUGAAAAUCCACGUAAACUGUUAAGAGAUUAUGCCGCGCCAAUAGUUCAAGGUACCACAUCAAGUAUCAAAAGACCUGUAAUUCAAGCAAACAACUUUGAGAUCAAGCCGUUACGCAUUCAGAUGUUUCAACAAUCAGUGCAAUUUAGCGGGCUACCAAGCGAUGAUCCAAACACUCACAUCGAUGCUUUUCUUGAAAUCCGUGACACCAUUAAAUAUAAUGGAGUUACAAAUGAUGCUAUUAGAUUGAGAUUAUUUCCAUUCUCUCUUAGAGACAAAGCUAAGAGUUGGCUUUCUUCUCUUCCUGGAGGAUCAAUCACUACAUGGAAUGAUAUGGCUCAGAAAUUUCUUGGUAAGUUCUUUCCACCUGCAAAGUCUGUGAAGAUGCGUAACGAUAUUACUACUUUUAUGUAGAUGGAUAAUGAAUCAUUAUAUGAAGCAUGGGAAAGAUUCAAAGAAUUUCUUAGGGGAUGCCCACAUCACGGACUACCCAUAUUAAAGCAGGUAUAAACUUUUUAUAAUGGCUCUAGUACAAAUCUUCGUUCUAUGAUUGAUGCAGCUGCAGGAGGAACUCUAAAUAAUAAAACACCAGAAGAAGCCUACAAUUUAUUAGGGGAGAUGACAUCCAAUAGUUACCAGUGACCUACUGAGAGACUACCAAUACGAAAAGUUAGCAGAGUUCACGAAGUUGAUGCUUUUGCUACAAUUGUUGCACAAUUUGAAACACUCAACAAAAAGCUUGAUAAUAUGAGUGUUUCAGUCAUGAAAAUUCAGAAUUUGACAUGUGAUUUUUCUGGUGGAGGACAUGUUAGCAUAGAAUGUCAGGUAAAAUACUUUUAAAUAAUCUAAUGAAAAUUCUAACUUUGUUGGGAAUUUUAACAGGUCAUAGAAUAAUCCCUACUCCAAGUUCCAACACGUACAAUCCGGGAUGACACAAUCAUCCAAAUUUUUCAUGGAAUAAUCAGAAUGUGACGAGACCAUCGGGAUUCAAACAAUCAAAAAGAGACAAAGUCAAAUUUGGAAGAUAUAGUCACCAAACUUGCUUAUACGACUCAUGACUUCAUCAAAAGCACGGAUGUGAUAUUUCAAAAUCAAGAGGCGUCAAUCAGAAAUCUGGAAAUGCAAGCGGUCAGUUAGCAAGCAUAAUGUCAAGGAGACAACAAAGUUCUUUGCCGAGCAACACAGAGAAAAAUCCAAUUGAAAACAUAAAGGUUAUUACCCUGAGAAGUGGUAAACAAGUGGGAGAAGAAGAGAUUUGCAGAGACAAUGAAGAGGUGAUCAAUCAACAAUCAAAGGAGACAAGCAAGAGUAAACUUUUUCCAGAUAAUCCCAAGCCAUAUGUGCCGCCAAUUCCAUUCCCUCAGCGACUCCAACAGCACAAAAUAGAUAAGCAAUUUUCUAAACUUCUUAAUGUAUUUAAAAAAUUGCACAUUAACAUUCCUUUUGUAAAUGCCCUAGCGCAAAUGCCUAUGCAAAAUUUUUGAAGGAGAUUUUGGCAGACAAAAAAAAACUGGAGGGUUAUGAAACUGUGAAGUUAAAUGAGGAGUGUUCCUACAAAACAAAUUGCCUCCGAAAUUAAAAGAUCCAGGGAGUUUUACUAUUCCUUGCACUAUUGGGGAUUUGUACUUUGAAAAAGCAUUAUAUGAUUUAGGUGCAAGUAUUAAUUUGAUGUCUUAUUCAGUUUUUAAGAAAUUAGGGUUGGGUGAGGUAAAAGUAACCACAGUGUCACUUCAACUAGCUAAUCGAUCAAUAAAAUAUUCGAAAGGUAUUGUGGAAGAUGUUUUGGUAAAAGUUAACAAAUUUAUUUUUCCUAUAGAUUUCAUAGUUCUUGACAUGGAGGAAGAUUUUGAGGUACCACUCAUCUUAGGUCGACAUUUUCUAGCAACAGGAAGAGCUCUUAUUAAUGUACAACAAGGGAAGUUGAUUCUUAGAGUUCAAGAUGAUCUUGUUUCAUUUAAUGUUUUUAAAGCAAUGAAAUAUCCAUCUGAUGAUAAUUCUUGUUUUAGAGUUGAGAUAAUUGACAAGUUGGUGAAUAAAUUUUUUCAGGAAAAUAUUUUUAAAGAUUCACUUAAAGCAUGUCUGAUUCGACCAAGGGACAAAGAUAUUCAGAAUGAGGAGAUAAAGGAGUACGCAAAUUUCAUGGAGGCAAUUCCACCAUAUUCAAGGCAAAAGGCAAUUAAACUUUAGAAGUUGGGACAACACAUAACAAAGUCUAAACCAUCAACUGAAGAGCCUACAAUUCUUGAACUCAAACCCUUACAAUCUCAUUUGAAAUAUGCUUAUUUAGAUAGAGUUUCUUCUUUACUGGUAAUUAUAUAUUCUUCUUUAACAGAUUUGAUGGAGAAGAAAUUGCUCAGAGUAUUAAGAGAGCAUAAAGGUGCAAUUAGAUGGAAAAUAGUUGAUAUCAAGAGAGUUAAUCAUUCUAUUUGCAUGCACAAAAUUUUGAUGGAUGAGCAAUAUAAACCCACUAUCCAACCUCAAAGGCGUUUGAACCCGAAGAUGCAAGAAGUAGUGAAAGCUGAGGUAAUUAAGCUACUUAAUGCAGGUAUCAUCUAUCCUAUCUCUAAUAGUUCUUGGGUAAGUCCUGUACAAGUUGUGCCAAAAAAAGGUGGUAUGACUGUUCAGAAAAACGACAAGAAUGAACUGAUUCCAACUAGAACAGUUACUGGGUGAGUGUGUGUAUGGAUUAUAGAAAAUUGAAUGAUGCCACUGGAAAAGAUCACUUUCCUUUACCAUUUAUUGAUCACAUGUUAGAAAGACUUGCAGGGCAUAAGUUUUAUUGCUUUCUUGAUGAAUAUUCGGGGUAUAAUCAGAUUCCUAUUGCACUAGAAAAUCAAGAGAAAACUACUUUCACUUGUCCCUAUAGUACUUUUGCUUUUAGAAGAAUGCCGUUUGGUCUUUGUAAUGCACCAGCUACUUUUCAGAGAUGCAUGAUGGCUAUUUUUUCUAAUAUGGUUGAAAAAUAUAUUGAUAUUUUCAUGGAUGAUUUUUCCGUUUUUGACUUAUCAUUUGAUUCUUAUUUAAAUAAUUUGGCUUUGGUCUUACAAAGAUGUGAAGAGACUAACCUUGUUUUGAAUUGGGAGAAGUAUUACUUUAUGGUGCAGAAAGGAAUAGUGCUUGGGCAUAAAAUUUCUCAAAACGGAAUAGAAGUUGAUCGAGCCAAAGUGGAAGUCAUUGCGAAAUUGCUUCUGCCAACAUCUGUGAAACUUGUCAAAGGAUUUUUGGGGCAUGCAAGAUUUUAUAGACGGUUUAUAAAAGAUUUUUCAAAAAUUGCUAAACAUUUUUUCUAAUCUUUUGGAAAAAGAUACUCCUUUUAAUUUUUCUGUUGAAUGUAUGCAAGCUUUUAACACUUUAAAGAAGUUAAUUUCAGCACCAAUUAUGGCAGCACCAAAUUGGGAUUUACCCUUUGAACUGAUGUGUGAUGCUAGCGAUUCUGCAGUAGGAGCUGUUUUGGGACAAAGGAAGAAUAAAAUUUUUCAAACCAUAUACUAUGUCAAUCGAACUUUGUCAGGUACAUAGUUGAAUUAUUCAACAACAGAAAAGGAACUUCUGGUGGUAGUUUUUGCUUUUGAUAAAUUUCGUUCUUAUUUAAUUGGCUCAGUUAUAGUUUAUUAUGACUACUCUACUCUUAAGUAUUUGCUUGAAAAGAAAAAAUCAAAACCUAGAUUGAUCAGGUGGAUUCUAUUGCUGCAAGAAUUUGAUUUGAAAAUCAAAGAUAAGAAGGGGACUGAAAAUUUAAUUGCAGACCACUUAUCAAGAAUUCCAAAUUCAAAGGAAGAGAUAAGACCAAUUUUGGAAGAAUUCUCCGAUGAUAAAAAAUUUUCCAUCAAGUCCACAAAAAUUCUUUGGUAUGCUGACUUUGUAAAUUAUUUAGUACGUAAUGUUCUUCCUCCUAAAUUAUCAUAUCAAUAUAAGAAAAAUUCUUUUCUGAUGUUAAAAAUUAUUUUUGGGAAGAACUUUUCUUGUUUAAAGUAUGUGCAGACCAAAUCAUAAGGAGAUGUGUUCCAAAUGAAAAGAAGGCAAACAUUCUACAUCAUUGUCAUAAUGGAGAGGUAGGUGGCCAUUUUGGUGCAACCAAAAUUGCAGCUAAGAUUUUACAAUCUAAAUUUUAUUGGCCUGCACUUUUUAAAUAUGCAUACUCCUAUGUAGUUUCAUGUGAUAGGUGUCAGAGAACUGAAAAUAUUUCAAGAAAAAAUGAGAUGUCUUUAAACAACAUUAUUGUGUGUGAAUUAUUUGAUGUUUGGAGUAUUGAUUUCAUGGGACCCUUUACACCUUCUUAUGGAAAUUUAUACAUUUUAGUGGCUGUGGAGUAUGUGUCUAAGUGGGUAGAAACUGUAACAUUGCCAACUAAUAAUGCUAAGGUUGUGUUUAAAUUUUUGAAGAAAAAUAUUUUUACCCGAUUCGGCAUUCUAAGACAAUCAUAAGUGAUAGGGGGACACAUUUUUACAACAAACAGUUUGAAGCACUUUUAAGUAAGUAUGGAGUCACACAUAAGGUUGCAACCCCUUAUCAUCCUCAGAGUAGUGGUCAAGUAGAGAUUUCAAAUAGGGAAAUCAAGAGAAUUUUAGAAAAAACGAUGAAUGCUUCUAAGAAAGAUUGGUUAAUAAAACUUGAUGAUGCACUUUUGGCCAAUAGGAUAGCGUUCAAAACUCCAAUUGGAAUGUCUUCUUUUAGACUAGUGUUUGGGAAGGCUUGUCACUUACUAGUGGAAUUAGAGCAUAAAGAAUAUUGGGCAUUGAAAUUUUUGAAUUUUGAUAUGUAGUCUGCAGGUGAAGAAAGAUUAUUGCAACCUAAUGAAUUGGAGGAAUAAUCGAGAGUUUAAUUAUCAAGACAAAAGAUUAACUUUUCUUUAUUUUAUCCAGGUUAAUUUUUUAGGGGGCACAUUUCAAGAGUUUAAUCAUCAAGGUCAUCUAUGAACUUCUCCUACAAUCAGGAGAGUUUUCUUCAUCCUAUUUUUAUAUUUUGCAUUGAGGACACUGCUUCAUUCAACUUUAGGGGGGGAGACAAAUUUUUUUGAUAAUUUUUUUUAUCAUGAUUGCAUUCCUAGUUGUGAAUUUUUGCGAUUCUUAGGGAAAUUUAAAUUUUAUUUAAACUUGCAAUUGGUGUGUGAGUUAAUCUUAAUUCUAAUUAUGUUGAUCCACUUAAUGAGCACUAAAAGUCCUUAAUUUUUUAAUUGUGUGUAAAUUUAGAGAACAUUCAUGUGAAGUAUGUGAUUUUCUUGGAUUUUACCAAAAUCUUAGAAUUUGUUUGACUUUCUCUUGAGGCGAAAUCCUAAGCUAAAUCUAAUUGAGAAAAUGAUUUAGGCAAUUUUUGGAUCGAUUGAGCCUUUUAAGCUAACCUUAUUUAUUUAUCCCUAGUCACCCCGUUGAGCCUUAAUUAUUACCCAAUUUUUCAUUGGCACCCAUAUAUGUUUAGCUUAGCCGUUACCAAAUUAUAUCAUUGUCCCAUGCCCUAUGAACAUGUUGAUUUUCUUUUGGGAUUAAAAAAAAAACAAACUGUUUGAGCUUAAUAGAAAUUUAGGAGGAAUGAUGGAGUAUGAAAAAAAAAACAAAAAAAAAAUGAUUGCUAUGGUUGUUUGGGAUGUAUUAUUAAAAAAAAAAAUUGCUAUUAUGGUUCCCUAUCCAACUUUCAGUUGAGUGAGCCUUUUGGAUGUUCAAUGAGUUGGAAAUUUUCAUGUUAUAUUAGGAGGGAUUUUGGGAGAAACUCCACCAUAAAAAAAAAAAGAAUGAUGAUAUAUGGUGGCAGAAAAAUUAUUUUGAAUGAGUGAAAUUGGACAGUGACAUUGGCUCUAAUUAGAUCCUAGAAAUCAACAUAUUGAUGGGUGAUUUGAGCUUAAAAUUACCGUUAUCUCACCUUUAGCCCAGCCUUACAUUACAAAUCAAGAAAAGUCCUGUUGAUUUUUUGUUGAAGAAUUAGCCUACAUUAGUGGAGAGAGGAAUGAAAAAGCAAACUUAUGAGAUUUGGUCAUAAUUAUUGAGAAUUUUUUAGAGGUUGCAUGUCAAUGUUAAUUUGAAAAAAAUGAGGACUCUCACACACACACUUGGAUCACAUAGUUAGAAUUUGUCUUAACUUAUAAAUCAAUUUCCAUGUUUGGAUGAAAUUUAUGUUUUUCUUUGAAUUGUGAAUUUGAGCAAUUAUGGAAAGAUGUCAUGGAGGAGGUUGUUAGCUUGAGUAUGUGUUAUGUCUUAAUUUUGCUUGAGGGCGAGUAAAAUGUUAAGUUUGGGGGUUUGAUAAACCUAGUUAUUUUAUCUAUUUUAGGCAAUAAUUAAUGCAAUAUCUAUGAGAAAAUAUUUGGAUUUCCUUAUGAUUAUUCGAAUUUUCCUUAUUUAUGCAGAAUAAUGAGAUAUGGAGAAGAUAAGGAAAAGAAUGGCAAAUAUUAGGAAUUCCAAUUAAAAAAAACAGUGGAAGAUGAAUAUCAAAUCAGAAAAUUCUUGAUUUUGUUCCCUAAUAUUAUCUGCAAGUAUUGGAAGAUAGAUAUCUAGGAUUAUAUCUUUUGAAGAGGAGAAUAUUAAGAGCCAAAGAGAAAGCAACGGGGUUUUUGUUAAAUUGUUUUUGAUCAUUCUGAGAGUUUUUCAAGUAUUUUGAAGAGAAGACAAAAGUGAUGAUAGAAUUCUUGUUCUUUAAUUCAAAAUGCUCGGUUUGAUUUAUAUUCUUAUUUAUUCUUCUACUAUGUUCUAAUUUUCUUUUGUUAGGGCUAUGAUGUAGCCUAACCAUGAUGAUGUGAAUUUCAUGAUUUUUAUGUUUUACAAUUGAUUUCAUUCAUGUGAGUUAUAUAUUAUUGUGAUUAAUGCUUUUGAGUGACUUGAAUGAUCUGAUGUACACGUUUGAGACUGAGAAGUGAUAAUAUGCAAUUGUUCAUUGUAAUAUAUAACCAUGGAUUAAACGUGAAUAGAAAUAUACCGCGUUAUUUGUGUAGCUUUCGGUGAUAAGGUGAUCCAAAAGACUCAUUGUAAGCCGGGAAUAUUCAUAAUUUUUUAUGCACUUAUAUUUAUUUUAAUUCACAUAGAGAUAUAUUAGAUUAAUAAUCUAAGUAUGUUUGCUAAUAAUAAAUUGAUUAGGAAAUUCUGCUAUCACAUGUUUGAUAUCGUUCUUGUAUCCAAAACAAUUUGAAAUUCAUAUCUAGUGGUUGUGGUGAAAUUGGAUGCUCUAACAUAUUUAUCUGAUCAAUUUACUGCAUUUAGUCUACAAAUUUCGUUUUUAAUUUAUUCUUAAUUAUAUUUUGAUCUGUUAGAUAAAAUUUAGAAUUAGUCUAUUUUAGUAUUUAGUUGGUUUAUUAAUGAUCGAUCUCUAUGGGACGAUAUUUUUUCUGAUCAUUAUAUUACUUGUUCGACAUGUGCACUUACGUUUAGAAUUUUACAAACAAAAAAAUUAUCAUAUUAGGUAGAUAGAAUAUGAUUUUUGGCAUAUAAAUAAUAUGAGUCGAAACAUACACUAUGACCCAUCUUAAAUUUUGAGACCCAUGUUCUCCCUUUAGUCUAAUCACUGAAACCCAUGACCCACACGUAUUUAAAUUCUCUAUCCCUUUGUUUUCCAAUUCAAUUUACAUGUUUCUGAUCUUGAUAUUUUCUAACUUUAUUUUGAUCUUAAAUGCACAUGCCAUUUUCUAAUGAGAGGAACACAGAUUAAAAGACGAUGUGAAUAGAUGAGAUCCGCCACUUAUUUUGAAAAAAAAAAAACUAUUUUUAUGUUUUGUCAAUUUCCUGACAUUACACAUUUCCAAUCUCUAAACCUUCCAAUGUCCUAUAAAAAAAGUCUAAACCAUUCAAUGCUUUUCCAUAGCGAUAUUGGUUGUUAGUAUUCAUUUGAAAGCCUACCCCUUUCUUGAGUCAAGGAAAAAUUACCUCUAUUGCUUGCCACCUAUUUUAUCUUAAACUAAAGUUUAAGUUCAUUUUUUUCAUAGUGACACAAUUAUUAAACUGACGAUAGUUAUAAAAUUGACAAAAUUUUUUUUCCAAAUAUCACUAUUUAAAUAAAUUUUCACUAACAAUUACAUCUAUAGUCAUAAAUCAAACCUAAACCUAAGUCAUUUAAGAAAUAUAGAUAGAUGGAAAAAUAAAUCAUCUUACCUUAUAGUAAUGGCCCACUCAUUGAACGCGAUCUGACUUGCAUUCUCUGACCCACCGAAGUUGCAAAAGCUAACCAACAGUCAAUGUCAACUCAGUAUCGACUUCACUUACUUCCCAAAAUUCAGUCCUUGCGUUGCAUAAAAACAAACCAUUUUUAUGGCAGAGUAGAGAGAGAGAGAGAGAGAGAGAGAGAGAGAGAGAGAGAGAGAGAAGGAAUGGCGUGACAUUGAACUAUCAGAUUCUAUUUAUUAAUUUGAUGAGAAAGUAAAAAAGUAACUAACAGAAGUAAUGGUCCACCGAGAUACAGGUAUUUGUCGGAUUCUACUUAAAGCACCCCUUAUUUUUUGUUCUUUUUCGGUUUGUUAUUUAGGAUACAAGAUUUGGUUUCCAGUUUCGGUGGAGGUCUGCCGGUUUAGAAAUCAGGAUUUACGAAGUUGCAACAGAUCUGUUGUUUUGCUUUGCUGGGUUGUAGUUGCAAUAGCAGCAGCAAAUCACCCACCUUUGAUGUGGACACUUCAAUUUUCGUUGUGGGAUGUUAAGUGUCAACUUCGUCCAUAUUCACUCAGCCCCCACCUCUCAUAUCUCAGGCGGAGAAGACUAACCCAUUAAGCUUUCGGUUUCAGUUUCAAAUUGUUUGAUUCUUUUGACAUUAACCUGGUCGUUACCAUUGACUCAUAAUAUAGAACCAUUGAUGGAAUGGAAGUAGUCUGCUGAUGAGGUAGUAAUCCAACAUUUGUAAGAAACAGUGACUGGACAUGCAAGUUUCUCCAGAUAAAUUUUGCGGGUAGACAUACAAGUUUCUCUUUCAUCAUUUCUCAAAGAUGGGAAAGAUCAAAUUGGCCGACCAUCAUCCACACUAAAGACAAAAAAAUGGCAUCUGCUAAGUGAAAUUCUUGAGUAGCAACAUAUAACAAGUCAAGCUCGUGAACAAACACAUCCAGAGCAAGAAGGUGCCACUCCACACAUCUCGCCAUUCAAACAAAUGAAAAGCUUCCGUAAUAGAUUCCCUCCCUUGCAGUGGCCACCAUCCACAUCAUUAUUGUGUGAAAAGGAAAAAGUUGCAACAUUUACAAAGGGGAAAGAGACAGCACGAAUACAAACACCAAACCACAAGCCAUUGUCUUUAGGCUUUCCCCACUAAUUAAUUCACAAUACCCAAUUACCGCACUGCAUAACACUCGUUGUUUUGUUUAUAUUACCUAUACCUUCAGUUCCACAUGUGAGCGAAAGAGAAACUUCGAAGCAACAUUUAAGAAUUCUGCUGCAAGGAUUACCCAAUGAAGCCCUAGUUCUUUCAAGAACUAAUUUACUUAGAACACAACAAACCAUUUCUUACUCUCUCUUGUGCCAGUAAUCAGUAUCCAGAAGUACUGGCUAGAGAUCAUUACCAGAUGCAGACGAAGCGGUUCCAGUCAAUGGCCCUUCAAUAGACAUACUCUUGGUGAUAUUCUCACCAACUGUCUGAUGUUCGUCACCUCUAAAAUGCUUCCUCAUGGCCUCAAUUUUCUCCUUAGUCAUGAUAGCGCCCGCAGAGUCCAGCACUGGAACAGCAACCUUGCCUUCAAGCAUGCUAACCACAGAUGACAUUGGCGGCCUUAGUGCUGGAGUCACAUAAGUACACAUCAGAGCUAUCUUUAUCAAUGCCAACACUUCCUCUUUGUCAAAGUGAGAACCAAGCCUCGGAUCAACUAGUUCUAUCAAAUUUCCUCUUUCCUUCAGAAAGUGUGCCUAGAUACAGAAAUGUAAAGUGAAGAUAUUUCCCUUUCAAGCUUCAGGUAUUGAUCAGUUGCAAAAUAUGCUCUAAAUACUGAAACAGGAAGAAGUAUAUUAUCUCCCUUGAUAAUUACGUGGCAAAUGCAGUUGAUAAGCACCUGCUAGAUUUAGGGUAUAAAUGGAUAAAAAGAAUCGAAUGAGUCAAUACAGAUCAAACAUGAUUUUUUUUACCGAUUUUAAAGAAAAGGUAGUAGACUCCAAAAUCACUUACUAAUGGUUAACCGGUUGCCAAGAAAUCACCUACACCGCUUUAAAAUCACUAGCUAUUGUCGAGUUUUAUCAGCACGAAUUAUUUGUCAGUGUCAUUACAUGAAACGGUAGACUCGUCUUUCAGAGUUCUUGAUUAUGCAACUCAGGCGACAAUCAGAUUUAACAAGGACUAAUAAUAUGAUUGUUUGCUCUAAUGAUUGCUCACUCAAAGCAAAACAAAAUCUAACUUAGGGAGUCAAUUAUAUGAAUGUGAAAAAAGUUAUACCUCAAUCGAAAGUAUAUGGAUAUUCUGGUUAAGACAUGGUCUUGAAAACUUUUUAAUUUAACAGUAAUUGCCAAAAUAAAAUAGUAGUCGAAGGACUUGUUUGGUGCCAAUGAAACUACAGGGAGUAUGAAUGUCAAGCAUAAAAACAUAAAGACUAAAACUGAACUUUCGAGAUCCACCCUAAAUUAUGGGGUCAACUUCCCCAAAUAUCAAGGAAUAGAAUUUCUUCGUUCAAAAAAAAAAAAUACAUGAAAAUUCAGAGUAGACCAACAUGAUAAGAAGAGUCGGAUUAAUUUGAAAUAAAAAAUUGCACUUAACAGCAUGACAAUUCGAUAAGCAAAUUUCAAUAGCUGUUAACUGUGAAACUCCUUUGCAACCAUUGAAAGUGCAUGUGAGGAUUUAAAUACAAAUAUGAUCAUAAUUGAAAUGAUAGAGUUGAUUACCCAAUCGAGUAGAAUAAAGCAUUCCUCAGUUUUUUGGGAGCUAGUGUUGCUCCGGCCACUAACAACUUCUAAGGCAACAAUGCCAAAACUAUAGAUGCCGGCUUUGUCAGUGAGGUAACCAUGCAUUGCGUACUCCGGUGCCAUAUAUCCACUGCACAACAAGAAAAGAGCUUGUGUUUGCAACAAGGUAACUGCCUUAAAUAGCACAUACUUAAUAUUCCUAAAAUUCAAAAGAAAGAGUCAUUCCUAAAUGUGACGCUAUGGUCUAAAGAGUAGAGGAAAAAAACAAAUGCAUCCUAAUAUAUUCUAAUAUCAUUUACCGAGAAUAUUUCAGGAAAAAAAAAGGACCAUUGUUGUUCUUUGUAAUUUUUCUUUUGGUUUGAAAUAUAAGUAUCAUUUAUAAGAUGACCUACAUGAGCUUAAGGGCAUUUCCCAGCAUUACACAGAUAUCUAAGAACGUGCAAAAAUGGAGUGAGGGAAUCUCCAUAUAGUACCCAAUAUUAAAUUUAUUUGGGAAGGGCUAAAGUUUUUGUAAAGUGAAGCUCGCCUUGUAACAAGUUUACGAAUUUUAGCCACGAUAAUGGGGACAUCAUUUGACUUGUUUUGGAAAUGUCUAUAGUUACGUUUAUAGUUCUUUUUGUUGAAUUAACGUUAGAGUUAGUAGAAUGAACUUACAAUUUUAUCUUUCCCCUAAUUAAUCACGUUCCUUUCACAAACAAGUUGACUUUUCACACGCAUUAAUGCAAACUUCUAAAACAUGUGAACAUGCUUAUCUAUGUUUCUCCAUGUGCAUACAAUAGAAACAUGGGCGAAUUUGCUAUAAUACUAAGUUAUAUUCAAAUUAACAAUUACAUAAGUCAAUACCAGAGUAUCAUUACUUAAUGGUAGAGUAUGACACAAUUUACAUUUUUUUCCUAAUUAAUGUGAAGAGUGCUGGGACAGUCAUAAAGCUUUGUGGUUAAGCCGAAUUUGUUGAGCAACAUGCUUUGGGAUGAUGUGAAUCCACCACAAAGCUUCAUUCAACUCACUUUUCUUAAAUCAGAAUAUAUGUUUCUAUUCCAUGCUUUUAUGUUGUCACUGGCUCCUACUUAGGUUAACAGGAACAAAAAGCAAGAAACUUACUAAGUUCUAGCAAUCUUGGUGCUAAUAUGUGUUUUGUCCUCCUCAUCAAGCUUUGCUAAACCAAAAUCUGAUAUUUUAGGGUUGAGAUCCUUAUCCAGUAAAACAUUAGUAGCCUUAAUGUCUCUAUGCACAAUCUUCAGCCUUGACUCUUCAUGAAGAUAUGACAAUCCCCUGGCAAUACCCACGCAUAUCUUGUGUCUUGUCCACCAAUCCAACUUUAACUGAAAUUCUUCAGGACCUUCAAUUGUAUCAAAAGACAUCAAAGCUGCUUUACUGCCAUGUCAUUAACUGAAGUCAAUGAAGCACAAUGUGAUAUCAAAUUACCAAAUAAAGCGCGAGCAAGACUGUUAUUUUCCAAGUACUCAUAAACCAGCAAAAGUUGAUUUCCUUCAAUGCAGCAUCCAUAGAGUUUCACAAGAUGUGGAUGCUGAAGAGCAGAAAUCAUCCCAAUCUCAGUCAGGAACUCAUUAUUUCCUUGUUGUGAUUUGGAUGAAAGCUGCUUCACUGCUAUAGUGGUGCCAUCUGACAGAAAACCCUGCAAUUCAACUUUAGCAUCAGAUCUAUGUUGUGAAAAUUGAGUUACAUUGAAUGCUGCUUUCUACAUAUCUUCUCUCUUGGGAAUAAGGGGAAUUUGGUUAGCCAAUUUUCCAGCAUACCUUGUAGACAGAACCAAAACCACCUUCUCCUAUCUUAUUGGCAGGGUCAAAAUUGUUUGUGGCAGCUUUAAUCUGUCGCAAGGUAAAUAAACCAAUUUGCAACGCUAGAUACUUCAAAUCUGCAACACGUUUUGGAACUUCUAUGAAUUUGGAAAAGUCAACAGUUAAAGUAUGUAAUCCACUAUCUAAAAAGACGUAUCAAUUCCUUCUCAAUAUUCCAGAAAACCUUUUUGUGACGUUUUGGUCUGAGCAAGUUCAGUACAGAAUAGCUUAGCAUCUUGAAAAUUAUUUUCUAGGAAAGUCUGGCAUCAGUUGGCAGUAUGUAUUUAUGAAAAGUAAAAUGAGAUUGUCCCGAGGGUAUUUAAUAGUGAAGGAAAAUAAAAAUCAUACAGAGAACCCCCUUGGAAACGUAGGGUAUGGUUUGUAUGUUUUAAUUUCUCAUGCACGUGAAGUUCUGGCAGAUAUUUUUGGUGUCUUGAAACAUAGACUUUGUGUGUAUACACACACACACAUCUGAGAAACAAUCUACCGUCUCUCCCUAUAACUAUCUAUUCCUUUAUUUUUCGGAUUUCUAAAUAAAAAUAUUAGUUCAUUAAGCAAACCAAAUGGUUCUACGACACUUUAGCUGUAUAUCGCCUAAUAAUAAUCUUUGGCUUUUUGCGUCGAAUCAAAUUCCCUAUGGAAUGCACAAUGUCAAGAAGGAGGAGGAGGAGGAGGAGGAAGUAUCAUGUGAAGAAGAAGAAGAAGAAGAAGAAGAAGAAGAAGAAGAAGAAGAAGAAGAAGAAGUAUCAUGUGAAGAAGGAGAAGAAGAAAAAGGAGGAGGAGAAGAAGGAGGAGAAGGAGGAAGAGGAGAAGGAGAAGGAGAAGGAGAAGCAGAAGAAGAAGAAGAAGAAGAAGAAGAAGAAGAAGAAGUAUCAUGUGCCAACAGUUUGAAGAAGAAGAGGAGGAGGAGGAGGAUGAGGAGAAGAAGAAGUAUCAUGUGAAGAAGAAGGAGGAGGAGGAGGAGGAGGAGGAGGAGGAGAAGAAGAAGAAGAAGAAGAAGUAUCAUGUGCCAACAGUUUGAAGAAGAAGAGGAGGAGGAGGAGGAGGAGGAGGAAGAGGAGGAGGAGGAUGUGCCAACAGUUUGACAGGACAACUGUGCGAUUUAGAGGAAAUAUAAAUGAAGAAUAGUCCAGGUAAGCAACUACCUUGUGCCAUUUUAUCUUUACAUCCGAGGCAUCCUCUCCACCAAAGGAUAACCAGGAUAAGGAAAACUACAAAAACUAUAGCAGCCAGAAUCCCAGCCACUGUGCCAGCAGAUAUGCUGGCCGGGGGAUCAAAGUCUGCAAUGAAGAAAGAACAAACAAAUAUUUAACCAAAACUGUUCAGUUAAAUGGGGUAGACGUAAAUGCAGAAAAAUAUCUGUAGCUUCUCAUUGAACACAGAGAAAUUGAUGGACAACACAAUAAUCGAGAAUCAAGAGGGCAUAAAACCGCCCAGAGUACUCCACAGAAACUAUCAGAUAAAUGAGCACCAGAAGAUAUCAACUAUGGAACAUGUAAUACAAAAUACAAAGGGAAAAAAAAAUCUACUCUUCAUUCUCAAGGCUGUACUGUAUGAUACAGGCACCAUGGUCGUAAUCCAUAGCGGAAAAGUGAACAAGGCUAUCAUUUCAUAGUCGAAUGGAAGGAUUGAAGAUACAUAGAGAAAACACGCUCAGAUGGAAAGAACACAAAGCAACCUAUAACCAAUUUUCGACUCUAAGAGAAUAAUAAUAGACCCCAGUCAGCUAUUAUGCGUAAUUGACUUGAUCUAUAGUGACAUAUGCCAAUGGCCUGAAUCCAACAGUAGGCAUUUGCAACCAAGCCAAGUAACUGAAUAGCCUAUUGAUGACUUCUGGUGCAAGAACAAAUAUGGGUAUUCUUUUCAACAUGAAUAUGAGUAACUUUCUCAACAGAGAAGCACCAAGUGAAACAUGGAAGCAUCCAUCCGCGUACCAGAGUAGACAGAGAUAGCAGAUAUAAGAGGACCAUAGACUCCAUCCUCAGGUAUACCAGUGCUUCCUUUCCCAGCCCAAUAGAAGCGUAUCUCCAGAGUGCCCUUGGUCACAUCGGCAGUAAAAUUUCUCAUGACCUCCUUUCCAACUCCACCUGCUUCAAUCUCAAUGUUGAAAUCUUUCCACACCAAUUUCCCCUGAAAUAAUAUUUCAUCUAAUUCAAGUUGAGUGUCUCCACACUGAACAAGGUAAAAAUUUUAGUCUCCAUAAAAUGUACAAAUUGUGAGAAAAUCACGAUUUGCAAGUACAAGAUACUUGGAUAAACUUCCCAACCAUAACAUAUUGAACGCUUUAUGUGCUUUAUAUAUUAGAAUCAGCACUCCAUAAUGCUCCGAGUUUACCUGUAUAUAAAUAUUAAAAUCUCUCUUUCCAAGGCUUUGAUAACUUUUGUCGCCUGUGAACAUUAUCUCCGCAAAAUGAAGAAUUACAUUGUAGGGCCCAUCCAUCAGACAAAAACCGUAAUAAGUUAGAGAGAUAGCAGAACGUCGUGCUUUUUUGUAAAGUUGGGCAUCAUUCAUGGACAGUGUGGAUGUGUUUUUAACUACAUAGCUAAAUGCAGUGCUACAGUAAUCGGUGAAGUAACCAGUGCUACUGUAGGCCCAGUAAUCACUCCUGAAGAAACUUGAAGGUGUAGCCUCCUCUGAGUCAGCUUCGUAUGUGGUGCCCUUUACUUUUGCUUUGCUCCCACCGCAAUUUAUGAAGAGGUUAUACUGAGCUGGAUGGAGAAAAGAAGCAGCCACAGAGAAAAUUCAGUUUCUUCUAUUUGUUAAUAUGGAGUGGACUUUCCAGACACUAAAUAAGCUAGCAUUCACUCAUUGGAAAAUUACAUAGAAACUCCCAAGUUAUGAGCAACCCAUUAUUUCAUGCAGGUAGCUUUUGAAAUUAUUAGGGUAAUUAUGCAUCAGCCAUCAAAGAUCGACACAAUAGCCAAGAGGAGAGUUGACAAGGAGACAAAUUUGAUGAGAAAUUACACAGAGAGUAACAUGCAAUAUUAGAAUCUGAUGAUAAUGAUAGGAUAUGUCAGAAUAAUUUAAAUAUAAAAUCAUGUAGUCAUCUAACAGUUUAAGCUUUUAAAACAGUUGGCUGUUAUCUUAUAAAAUUUCAUAUGGUAUCAGAGAUGGAUUUCAUGAGUUCAAAUCUUUCGAAGCCUCGUUUGCCUCCCUAAUUAAAUAUGUCCACACUUCAUCUAAUAGUCUAAACAUUUAGAACAGUUAGCUGUGGUCCCACAAAAUUUCAUAAGAUAUAUAGCACGUCAAUUUACUUUUUAUACAACAAUGACUCUGCAGCAUAUUAACUUACUUUUUGCACAACGUUGACUCUGCAAACAUGAGACAAGUCCACUUGUGGCAGAACAUGAGGUUCUGAGCAAGUCAGCAAAGAUUUUACUGUUAUAAUCAUCAUCAUUCUUAAUGAAGUUCGAUGCUAAGCACAUAAACAAUAAAAAUGCGGGUCCUUGGAAAUCCAAGUCUCUCGUUGAAAAGUUAAUCGCAAACAUACGCAUUCUCAACCUCGGAGCUUGCGAACAAGUUGCUGUAGAGAAAAGACAAAAUCAACAUUCAGCAGAGAAAUGGAAAUAUUAUACACAAUCAGUAUAUAAGUUACACAAUAAGUGCACAUUUGGGGGGAGCCCUGGACUGACUGAAGGAAGUAGGACAUACACAUAUCCUUCUUGACAUUCUGAGCCUCGAGCAGUGAAGUUGUUGUAUGACAAAUCACUACACAGAGAAACAGUCAACCAUUUCCAAAAUCUCAUCAAUUUGAAGAAUACACUGAAAGUCAUUCCAUCAAAUGAUUUUUUUUUUUAAUAAUUCCAUUAAAUGAUUAGUAUGUACAUAAAUGCAGAUAAGUUGCAAAAUGUGUACAGGUAAGGCAAGAUAAAAGGCGAAAACAUCACAAGAUGAUGAAAUUGAUAUUUUAUUCCUACUGAAAAUAUUUUAUCUUAGAAUAUGAAAAGGAGAAAGACUAAGUGAAGUAAACGGAGACUUUAAAACUAUUUAUAGUGUAUAAAAACAUUUUUACUCAGUAACAGUACCACAGUCAUGAUGUCUAAGGCAAAGAGGCUUUAAUAGAACUGUGAUUCCACCUACUAGUACGUCGCAUCUUGUAAUAAGAAAUUAUCCAGACCACAUUUAUCUGUUUAAACUACCUCACAAGAGCUUCAGCCCAAGCAACUAAUCAUAUACUUCAGGUGAUACGUUAGACAAACUUUCAAAGAGGAUUAAUAGGAGGUAAAAAUUUUCUAAACAUAACUUUAAUCAUUCCAAUAAGUCUGAAAAUGAUCUACAGCUGGGAAUGGCUUUUUGUAUAAGUCUGAAAAUUCACUUUAUAUUCAUGCAUAUCAUACAGUUCAGCCUCUUUUGUUACAUACAUCCAUCCAAUUAACAGAUCCCAACGAGGAGAAAGGUACUUAUAAUGUUUCCAUUUAUCUCCAAAGGCUACUAACCAUAAACAUGCAAUAUGUGAAUGCAUAAUUGCUUGGUACAGAGCAAGAUUAGCCAGAUAAAGCUAGAAGCAAAUUCAUGAUUAAACAAGAUAUUUUCUUCAGGCAGUGAAGCUUACACAUUUUUUCCUUUCUCCAGGAUCCAAUCAGGGACUGCUCCAGUCAACUGGUUUCCAGUUAGAUACCUAAACAAGAUUAUUUGAAUGAGUCAGCUCCUCAUGUACUUUAUACACUCUAACUGAAAAUUAUUUAAGACUUAUACCUCAAAAACGCAUUAUUUAGCAGAUUAUUAGCAUUUGUUUAUUAGCAGUGUAGAAAAAAAUCAGUUUAAGUCAUGAUAACAAUAUAGAGCUUUCAGCUGGAGAUGAAAGAUUAAGGAAAUCAAUGACAGAGGAAAACCCUGAUCCCUGCGAAACUUGGAGCGCCUGGAGAAAGAUUACCAUAACAGUAGUUCACAAAGCUGGACUAGUGAAGGGUACCUCCAAAUUAGCUUAUCAACUAUUUCCUCGUGAUAAUGUUUUUGUCCUUCUAAGACAUAAAAUAAAUAAUUAAGGAAGAUGUGCCAUUGUCAAGCUUCAAUCGUUGGGCAGAAAGAUGAAAACCAAUGUUAAACAGUCCAAGAAGCUUAGGACUAUAGUUUCUAAUAAUUCUCAAAACUAGGGUUAAGAUACCAAGGUCCUCCACAGACCUUCCAAAUAGCACUUAAGAGCUGCACUCACCAAACUUCUAGAGCCAUUGUUGUGGAAAGAACCAAGUAGAGAGCCUAAGGACUUUUGCUAUAUUUAAUCUCCUAUACAUCAUAAAAUAGGCACACAAGAUGUGCAUUGAGUACAGAAACAUACAACUGUCAAAUGCUAAAGUACCACUGAUCCAUUUAACUCUUCCAGCGUAAACAAGUAACUUUUUGAAACUUGUGAAUCAGGCAAAGAAAUGAUCAAAAGGGCUGCUCCUUAAGCGACAGAAUAUCAACAAUCUACGCCUGCUCCAUGACUAAAGUCCCACCAAAAUAAUUACUUGACAAUAAUCAUAAAUUCUUAACUCAAUUCAUUACAAAAUUUGGAUGGUGAAGUAAUAAGCAUUCACGACCUGAGGACUUUGAGAGUUAAAAAAUGAAUAUGUUAUCAUGGUCUAAGUUCUAUUGAUAGCUCAACUACUUUAUGGUAAAAGUUGCCUGUAGCUUGACCACUAGAAAACUUGAGACUUUAGAUUCUUCUACAAAAUACGAAAAGAAGCCUAAGUUCAGCAUCGAAGUACUUACAUAUAUUCUACGUUUUCCAGGCUGCUGUAGGAUAUAGGGAUUUUGCCACUCAGUUUGUUGAAGCUGAGGUCUCUGCAAAGCAAGUUUAUGUGAAUAUAUAUUGAGAAGGUACUUUUAACUGACCCCCUCAGGACACUCUUUGAGCAUACUUCAGACGAUUGUACAAACACAGACUACAUCAAUGAACAUACAAAGUCCAGUUCAGAUUUUUAGACAUACAGGUCAACUGUCUAGUGCCUAAGCUUUCUACUAGACAUUCAUCUCCAGAGGCAUUCAUUGCCUAAAUCCAAGUUUCAAGUUGGUCACGUGCUAUAAGUAUACAAAACUGCUGUAAAUCAAAUUUACAAAAUGGAAAUUUCAAUUUAUAUAACUAGAAAAGCUAUUUGGGCACUAAAUUGAGUGCAUCCCAAGGAAUGCACCAUAUUAUAGUUCAGAUUGGGAGAUUUCACUCAUCUAAUAGGACCGAAACUAAAGCUAAUCAUAAUUUGUUGAAAACAUCUCCUUCACAAUAUAUUAUUUAUGAAUAAUGGGAUGCCGACUCAAUACUAGGGUGCUUAGAAAAGGAAAUAUCAGCUUCAGUGAAUAAAAAAAUAAAGAACAAAAUGAGGAUUUCAAAAAAUAGGUUAGGGAAUAGAGUAUGCGAUAAGCUGCAGCAGAACCACAGAAAUUUGGUCAUUCAAGAAUGUCAGAAAAACAAAAAAUUAAAGCUCCAUAUGUUUCGUGAAAAAUGUAACGUUUUUAGAAAAAGAAUUCCAUGAAGUUAUUUUUUUAGGAAAAUGAAAAUAUUCCAGUGCUUGACUGAAAUCCUGAAAAUACCCGGAAAAUAUUUUCCAUUGUUUAGUAUGGAAAAUUUAAUUUGAUUUUCUAGGAAAAAAUUGCCAAAAAAUUCGAAUUUUUUAAGUUAGUUUUUUAAUCCUUUUCUUUUAACUUCUUCCUCGGCUGGUUGUCAGCUAUGGCGACCGGCCAUGGGAUAAAAAAAUAUUUUUAUAAGAACAAACAUUUCAUUAACUAAGGAUCCGAACUUGAGCACCAAGGACCUGCACACGGCCUUCGCGGACUCAACCUAACUGCUGGGGACUAGAGCUUGAGUGUCAAGGACCCAAGCACCGCUUUUAUGUACUCGGGGUCACGUAUUAGGGCAUUGGGCCUGAGCACCAGGGCUUCGGGCCCAACCUCGAUGGACUAGGCCCGGGCACUAAAGACCUAGUCCUGAACACUGAGGACCAAGAACCAGGUGUUGGGGUUCCCGUGUCCAAGCAAAGAGUUGCGGGUCCAACCACCGAUACCAACUCAUAGUUUGGAAAAUGUUUUCUGACUUUUCAAAAGAGGAAAUCAUUUCCUAAAUUUAAACAUAGAUCUUUCAUUGACUCAGAAAAUAUUUUCUAUUAACUCAUUUUCCUAAACAAACCAAGCGCUAGAAAAUCAGGAAAAUGUUUUUCGCAAAACAAACAAAGCCAUGAUAGAAUGGCUAAAUGUUGCUGUUAAAAGUAGCGUUUAUUAAAUCUUACAGAGAUGACCACAUGAACAAGAAGAAUUGACUUGUAUAAAGAUGAAUUUGAAGCCAUGCUCUCGUUUGAACUAUGAAUGUUAUGUCUGACAAGUGUACAACAGUCAAGCAAAAAACUCCAGCUAGAUAUUGUAGGGCUGAGAUUCGAGAAUGUAAACCACCGGAAGGAAAGUUUCUAGACAAUCAACCACUAGAAGCCUCCAUUUUGCAUUAAUGCUCUUAAGAAGUUAAGAUAACAUAUCAAAGCAAAAGUAAAUUAGACGAAAUGGGAAACCACAACCAAGGUAAGAAUUCUUGCUGGAAAAGUGAAAACAAGCAGAGUGUUAGAAUAUUUAAAUAACAAACCACGCUUUCAUCUAAUAGCUUGAGUUUUUAGAACAGUUGACAAUAGUUUCACAAAUUCUCACAGAGAGAAAAAGUCCAUAUACUUUUGUGCGAAACUGUAUAUUCUACAGCAGAGACCACAAUCACCAAGAUUUUAAAUGCCACAUCAUUCACAAUUCAGCAUUAUCAAUAGAAAAUAUCAAAACACCAUUGAAGUCAGUAAGGGACCUUCAAGCCAUCUUAAAUGGGUUCUUUAACUGCAACCAAUAGUCAACCAAAAACUAGUAGAAAUUUCACUCCUUAAGGGUAAAAUUAUUUAUUCUGCUUGGAAUAGCCAAAGGGAAAAGGCGCUUUCUACUCACAAUAUUUUUAGAUUUGUCAUAUUUGCUAGAUAACCAGGUAGCUCUCCCAUGAGAUUGCAGCUCCUCAGAAUCCUAUAUGAAAAUAACACCGAUAUUGUCAAAUUGCUAAGACGAUUUGGCUCUUUUGCAUAAAGUAAACUAUCUGUGAAGGAGCAUCGAUCUCACAGUGUUUCAAUUUUUUUACUGUUGAGUUGUGGAACACGAGACUCGGGUCCAUCGAGGUCACUUAUUCUCCUGCAUAUCAAAAUCAAAUAGGAGCUUUAUUUGAUUGAUAACAUCUUAAAGAAAGAGAGAUCAGAUCGAAAUGCCAAAAUUCCAUACUGACAAGUCAUUCAAUCGCUCCAAACGUGCGAUCCCAGAGGGAAUCGGCCCUUGCAAUCCACUUCCUUGAAUAGACCUGAUGAUACGAUUCAUAGAUGGAAUUGUCUUGGGGGUAUAUCUAUAGAGACCGACUUAAAAGGGGAAGAAGCAUCAAGCCUUACAGUUUUUGGAGAUUUGUCAAGUUCUGAAUAAAAUCGGGUAUCUUUCCCAUGAACUGAUUAUCACCAAGUUGCCUACAGUCCAUUAAACAACAUGAUUCAUAUGAAGGAGAAAGAAUAGAAUGGCUAAAUAUUAGCUGAGUUUGUGGAUACUGGAAACUAACAGGUAACGCAAUUCCCUUAAGUUAACAAAUGUUUGAGGCAGCUCCCCCGUGAAAUUAUUUGACGUAAGCCACCUGAAACAAGAAAAACCCAUGACAACACAUUGGUUAAUAGAACCUGAAUGCUGUAUCUCUCAACCCAUGAAAAAUUAUGGAUUAAUUUUUAGCCUUUAAAUUAAAAAGAAAAAAAUUCCAUUAAAUUACACAAUAGAGCACAAGUCAACGCCAGAGCAUGGAGGAGGAGAAGGGACCACUAGGGUAGCCUAAGGACUCGCCAGUGUGCGAGAGACUAGAGGGUGAAGGGUCUCCCCUGAUUGUAGGGGUGUCAAGAACCGAACCGAACCGAAAACCGAACUAAACCGAACCGAAAAAAUCGGUUUUUUCGGUUCAGUUCGGUUUUCAGUUCGGUUCCCGUUAAAAACCGAAAUAUCUUUUAUCGGUUCAGUUUUUAUCGGUUAACCGAACCGAACCGAACCGAAAACCGAACUAAACCGAACCGAAAAAAUCGGUUUUUUCGGUUCGGUUCGGUUUUCAUUCGGUUCCCGUUAAAAACCGAAAUAUCUUUUAUCGGUUCGGUUUUUAUCGGUUAACCGAACCAAACCGAACCAUAAACCGAUAAAAUCUCUUUUAUCGGUUCGGUUUAUUCUCUCCCGUCCCGUCGGUCCCGACUCUAGGUUUUAUUCUGUCUCAACUUUGGCCCUCUCCUCUCGUCUCGUGUCUCCUCUUGGUCGGCUUGGAGGUGCAACGGCGAUGGCGGCAGGGACGACGACUGCAACGGCGACGGCGGUAGGGACGGCGAUAGCCAUAUAAAAGCCCCUCGCCACCUCCCUGUCCGAGUCGUCCACCUCCAAUUCCUACUCCAGUCGCCGCCGCUUCCUCGCCCUCUUCCUCUCCUUCUCUCUCUCGAGCCAUCGAAGGUACCUCCUCUCUUUUGAGUUCACCUCUUCUCAUCCAUCGCUUCCUGCGAUCGUGGGUCGUCGUCCUCGAGGUUCCAGUUUUUGCUCUCGCAUCUCUAGCUCGAUGUGCCCGGCUUUGUUUGGUAGUUUUCGGUUUGCCUGUUUCGGUUUUGCUGAUGCUUGGACUUCGAAAGAUGUGAUUUUUUUUUUUUUGUGCGGAUUGACGUCCUUGUGGUUUGCAAAUGGUGUCGGAUCUCCGGUCAGUGGUGUUGGUGUCUCUGAUCUUGUAGUUGAAGGGACAAAAUUACACCGGGUCGGAUCUUAUUUUCGUAGGGAAGCAUGGCGUUGGCUGGAAUUGAGCUUGUUGAUGGACUAAAGGGUCCUUUCUUUUUCACGCUUUGAAGGAGAUCAGAUGGUCGGAGAGGAAAGAUGUGAAGUGUCUGCCCGUUUGUCUCCGAAGUUGGGAGGAAGCGAUUUGUGGGCUCAGGGGAAUUAUUUAGUUGUUUUGUAGUAGCAUCAGUUUGCUUCCUCUUUUUUGCCCAAAUGGAAGGAAGUAUUUCUCAUAGAUCAGUUCUGUUCACUUUAAUCCAAGUCUUUCGAAGCGAUGAUUGGUUGGGUGGAGUCUGGCGAACGGAAGGUAAGCCGUCCCGAAAAAAAUAAAAUAAUAAAUAAAUAAAUAAAAAUAAAAAAUCGAAAAAAAUCAAAAACCGAAACCCAAAAUUUGAAAACCGAAAAACCGAACCGAACCGAAUAGUUCGGUUCGGUUCGGUUCGGUUCGGUUCAGAAAUUUUCUCUAACGGUUCUGUUCGGUUCGGUUGUGCAUUUUUUAUAAUCUAUUUCCUUAGCUAGUUAAGAAUACAUUUCUUGGACUCAUGAAUGCUGCAUGAAUACUUUAUUUGGUGAUUGAACAAGAAAAAGUAUCGAAAAUGCAUUAGUUGGUUAAUUAGUGUAAUUAAGUUUUCAACUUUAGAUUAUCUGGUUCAAAGUAAGUAAUCCUCCCAGUACUUUACUUAGGAUCUAAUUGAUCCACCUUAAAUUGAUUAAUGUCGUAAUUUGCAUGUUAAAAACUCAAAAUAUAAAUUGCGAAUUAGUAUGAGCUUGAGAGAGUUUGAACUAGAUUUGAACUUAACAAUCCAUUAGCCAAAUUUUUAGUGGUCCACCUGAGGAUAGGUCGCAACAAUUUUGCUAUGACGAUAUCUCAGAUUUAGGUUAUUAUACAAUUUAUCGAUGGUGGAGUCCAAAUUCCAUUAUUCUUAGAAACUUCAUUAGCUCAUUCAGGGUUAUGGCUGUGGAGACCCAAUAAUGUGGAGGCCGAUGAAAUACCCUUCAAGCCUUACAAAUCGGUUAAGUUCAAAUCUUUGGACCUAGACCCAAUAUUAUUUGCACGCUGUUGGUGGUAUCAUAUAUGUUAAAUAUAAAUAAUGGAAAAAAAUUGUCCUAUUAAAGUGGUUACAAAACAAAAAUAUCAUAUACGUCGAGUUGGAAUUCUAAUUUAGAUAACCGGAAUAAUAAUAUCUUAGGAUUUUUUAGGACAAUAAUUGAAUUGUACGAUCGUGAAAAAUAAAAUAUUUGGCAGCAUAGUCUAUCCCAUUCAUUAAUAGGUGCUUGUAAAUUAGCAUAUCUAAGUCUCUAUUGAUGUUGACAAGUGUUUUACCCAUUUAACAUGGAAUUAUUCGAAAUAGAUUUGAUCGAAUUUGGAUUCGGAGCGUGAGGAUUUUGUACUUUGACUUGCUUUGGCCUAACAUGGCCUCUUUUUAUCUCUGUUCCAUGUUAUAAAUCUAGACACCAAUUGCAGAAAAAUCGCGGCACAUAAAACAAAAGUUUAGACUCAAACCAAAUACUAAUGGUUCCAUGGGUGAGGUCGUGCACGAGACUUAGGCAAAACGUCAUCUUCUAUGUAUGUUUAAUCAGGUUAAUGUCGAGUCAUGGAGGGUUAUUUUAAUAUUGUCAACCAAUGCAAUAAUAUUGGACCCGUGAGUUUAUGAGAGCUUUGAAAAUUCCAAGUUAACUUUAAAUGAUGAAUUCUAAGCAUGUAGUGUCGUCAUUUAGUGUCAACCCCUAAACUUCGAGCGUGCGAACAUCCCACAAUGGUCAAUUAAAAUGCAACUUCUCAAGACGUGUCGCCGACUUGCCCAUUCGGCAACAGCCUUAGGCUGAAGUUUGAGAGCUGUGCUGGGAUAUACAGAGGAAGAAAACCCUUCCAUUACUCUUCAGCUCAUACACCCAAUCACACUGACCAUCACCACCGUGCCAUCACCAAUCGCCCCUUUGCCACCACCCACGAAGACUCAUAUGAGUGAAUAGUCGAGAUUCCUUUUGUUCAAUAUGGAACUUUCAGAAGUUUGUUUAAUGAAACUUGACUGUCCCUUUGAAAUUAGUUGGUGAGAUUGAAUACACGAGAAUUCGCUGGUUGGGUUUUGUGAUGAUGAUUGCUGCUCUUCUAGUCCAAUCAUAGCCCGCACGUGUUAAGAGUAAUAAAUUACACCUUUAACAGUUUAAGCUUUUAAAACAGUUGAUAGUGGUUUUACAAAUUUUCUCGUUGUAUUAGAGCUAGAGGUCCUUCGUUCAAAUUUUCUAGGCCUUGUUUGCUUACCUAUUUAAAUUUCCAUGCUUAGAUAUUACGCAAAAAGAUCAGACUAAGACUAAGUGUCACCUCAAGACCUUUAGGAAGAUGUACAAGAGGAGUUGCGGAACAAAUAACUUCAUGGUCUAAUAUGCGGUUAUAAGAAAUGUCAUAUUGUCUAAUAGGACUAUGAUUAGAGGAUGGUACCAUCACUUUCCAUGAAGUGACGGAGCCCUCCUCACCACACAUCCUAAUGUGUAACAUUUUGGGGAUCAGAAUAUCAAAUUGACAAAUAUGUUGUCAAAAAUGUCAUUGCUGUAGAAUUGCCCUACUGUAAAAUUGACCAUACAAAUUUUGAGCUUGUAUGAUGUCAACUAAUAUUUUGUGAAAUUUUCAAUUCAUCGAAUUGAUGUAAUCCCCUUUGAUCACUCAAUUCCAAACUGAGUAUUAAAUGAUAACAAAUUAAAGACAAAUGAAAAACAGAGGCAAAGCAGAAGAUAGGAACUGGACAUAGAUAAAUAGUGGUGCUGGCAAUGGCAGCUGUAGGCGCCGUGCAUAUGGAGGACAACGAAAUGGUGGUGGGGCUGGGUUUAAAUGGAGGGAGGGCGAGGCUGUUGGGUGGCGAUGGAUGUUGCGAUGAGGAAGGAGAGGUGGUGACAACGGAGACGAUCCUACAACCGACUCUCGCCGAAGCCAACGCCUUUGUGUCUAAGUUAUCCUUCACCCUUGCUAUCGAAGCUUGCGGUCGCUCCCUAUCCAUCGUCCAAUCUCCUUCUUUGGUACAGACUUCAUUCUGGAAAUUCAUUAAGUGCCUUCAUUCUCGCUAGGGUUCAGUGGAAGAGAAACUUUUCUUUGAUCGGAGCAAUAACUUGAGAAAAUGUAUGGAGGAAUACAUAGCAUGGAGGAGACAAUAGCAUGUGGGAUAUAUGUGGCUUUACAACAAGGCCAUUUUUGGCAAUUGAUUUUGUCAAUUUGAUAUUCCUAUUCCCAAAAUCUCACACUUGAAAUGUAUGGUUGGGAGAGUUCCCUUACUUUGUAGGAAUUGACAAUACAAUUCUCUAAGCAUUUCUUUGUCUAAAAAUACCUAAGUAGAUACGUUUUAGUGUUGAUCGGUUCUUGUUGAUAAUUUUGUCGAUCAACUUCUCAAAUCUUUUUUUGCUAAUAAUUUUCAAGUUGUGUUGUCAAUGACUUUAUUGGCAAUUUAUCGAUCCCUUCAAAUCAUGGACUGUUUUGUUUUAUCAGUGAUUUCUAUUUUCAACAAACCCCACUCUUAUCUAUUAGAAUAAUAUAAAAAUGAUUGUUGAAGAUUUGAGUAAGUUGGUUAUUGACUCUAGAUUUGGUGUGAAGAGGAGAAGAAGAAGAUUGCGCACGGCUUCCAUGUAAGAUUGUCAGCCGAAUAAGAAAGUGAAAAGAAAAGGGACAACAUAAAUGAAGAGAGGGAGGAGUCGAAAGAAAAAUUGGCCAGUAAAAAUUGUGGGCUUCGUUUGUCCUCUUUCAUUCAUUGCAUGGAUCAAAUAAAGAGGAAAGAAGGGUCCAUGAAGGCCCAUUAAUGCAUGCGCAUGUAUGCAUGUCAUGAAAAAUGGAGGGGGCCGUUGCUAUUGCAGAGAUUUGUCUUGCAGGCACCGUUGCUAUUAUUUAAUGUCUGUGUGUUUUCCUUUUAGCUUUGUUGACUUUUGUAGUUUCACUUUAAUGUUAACAGAAGGAGUGUUGAAGAUUUCGUGUGCUAUGUUUAUCUCCAUCUCUAUUGUAAUUUAGUGUUAUGCUAUUAUGUAAGAUGUGUAAGGGGGUGUUGUAAAAGAGUAGCCACCACAAAGCAUUCUAAGAACAACUUCUCCCUUUGGUCUUCACUUGUGCCUUGCUCCGAAAUUUUCAAAGUUGCCAUUAAUUUUUUCUUUUUGGCUCCAACAUCAUUGACUAGUCUUGGUCAUCUUUUGGUGUCAACAAUAAUGAAAAUGUGUCAAUACAUCUUAACGGGAACUAAAUUAGUAAAACACAGAAAUUAUAUUAUGUUAGUUUGAUUUAUGUCAAUGUCAGUAGGGUAAGUAAUCUUUUGCUCUGUUGUGAUUAAUGAAGAAUGGUGACGGAAUUUUGUGAUCAAAUGCAUCGCUAUCUGCUCCCACCUCCCCAUUUAUUAUUAGAUUAGAUAAACACAUUUUACUCAACUUUCUUGAGGCGAAAGUGACUGAUGCUAAAACAUCACGUGGAGAGAGAGAGAGAGAGAGAGAUCCAAGACUAAAAGUCAGCUGCUACAGUGCUCGUAAAUAAACAUGCAGGGGUUACGAGCAAUCGCCAUACCCAUGUAGGAGACUGCAGAAAACGAAGCCAAGCUGACACAAACUGCUUUCUUUGUUCUUUCUCAUUGUAAAGCCACCAGUGUAUGUGUUUGCGUGAUCGAGUACCGAGUGUGUGCAGGCAAAUGUUCAUCAAACCAGCGAUAUAAAAUAAAAUGAUCAACAAAUCAAUCAUAAUAAAGUAAAUAUGUGAAAAUAUGUCUUCUUCUUCUUCUCCUCCUCUUUCUGAAGUAUGGCGCCUCAGAUGGAUUAGGUCUAUCCAGGCAUGUGCAGUUGAAUUGAUCAUGUUGGACGAGUCUAAGGAGUAAGUUCUUGCAGCCUCUUGAUCGCGCUUGGGUCACUCUGUGGGCUGAAGGUUAAAAAUAGCUAGGUUAUCGAUGCUUCUUUUACUUUUCCUAUCAUUACAUCUUCAAAUGGAAAUCAAACUUGGUAUACGCAAACAACCCAGUCAAGAUCCAAGAGAUUCAAAUGUACUUAUGAAGCCCUGCAUCAAAAUGACAAAAACCCUUGAAAAGGAAAGGCCAUGGAGUGGGAGAGAGGGAUCAAACCAGCGUUCAAUUGAAACACCCCACGGCCAACUCAUCUCAAUCUGUCACCAUCCGGGACCACAUAAGCAUGUCAUACCUCAGGCCCCCUCCCAUUCCUAUAUAAUUGGUAUCCAUCCUCAUAGGCCUUUCCCACUUGCACUACAUAUCCAUUAUAAUCCACACUGACCAGCACUCGCAGCUGUACUUGGCUGGGAGCUAGAAAACGAGACCACCGAGACAGAGAGAGAGAGAGAGAGACAUGAAAAUGAUGGAGGCGAGGAAGAAUGUGAUAAACAAUGACUUUGCAGAGAAAGAGAGCAACUGCAUCAACGGGCAAUCGUCCGCGUCCUACCUGGUGUGGGACGACUUGACGGUGUCGGUGCCCGCUGGUUCCAAGAGGAAACUGCUAAACCAGCUCAGCGGGUACGCUCAGAUGGGUCGGAUCUUGGCCGUCAUGGGUCCUUCCGGCUCCGGAAAAUCCACUUUCCUCGACUCAUUGGCAGGUUUCUCCGCUUCUCUCUGCCAACCUCCUCAUUUCGGAACAUUUUCUGGAAAUAAUAUAUCCAUUUACUUGGCCUUGUUGUAUUGCAUUUUUAUUUGAGUUAUUAAAAAGUCCACCGCCGGUGAAAUCCGAAUUCCACCUUCGAAGCUCUACGUACGAAACUCCUAGUGAUACCGAUACGGUUACCGAAAGAUCGAGACAACAAGCAUUGCCCAUAUAUGGAAAAUAUAGCAACUUAAUAUAGUCACCAAAAUCAUUAAAAGCAUCGAAAAAAUUGCAAGAGGCUACGAUGAUUACCCCUUUCCAUAGCCAGAUCUAGUAGUGUAGAAACGAAAGUGCAGCAAACUGUUUAUUCUCAUAUGAAUUGGGUCUCCCAUGUAUAUUGAUGCUAUUCUCUUUCGAUAUCUAUUAUGUAUAGUUAAACUCACUUUAUUUAAAGAUUAGAAAUAGAAUUACAUAAAAAAAAUAAAAAAAGAUACGGCUUAUAGAAGUAAAAUAGUGAUGAUAUAAUUAUUUUUGUAACUAAUAAAUUCACUUGAUAAAAAUUCUAAUGGCAUAAUCAAAUUCUUACAAAAAAAAGCUGAAUAGUAUUUAAGUGUAACUCUUCAUAGUUAUAUCAUUUCAUUUGGCUUGAUAUCAAAAUCCUUUGAGGCACAAACAUGCUCUACAACGAUUUUGUCUCUCAUUUAUAUUGAUGUUAUUUUUUUUUCUUUCUUGAAUUAUAAUAUGUAGUUGAAAUCAUGUCAUUAGAAGAAGAGAAUAAAAUUAGCUAACGAAAAAAAUUAAGAAGAUACAACUCUUAAAUUUCCAGUAACUAUAUCAAUAUCACUUGGGAGUUUCCAUAUAUGGUGCACUGAAAGUGGGAUUCGGAUUCCACUAGCGGAGGACCAUAGAAUAACUCUAUCUUGUUCACCAUGGUUUUAAAAGAAAAAGGAAACUCUUGAUUUGAUCAAUAAAACCGCAUUAAUUAUAUCAUGUGAUGAUAACAUAGCGUAUUUUUGUUACACCCAUGCAAGCUUGAGGGUUUUGGUGACAAAAAAGGGUUUUUGAGUAUUGAUAUAAAUUAGGGAUGAGCGGUUCCAGAUUUCUUACAAGUUUCACUUGGAACCUGGAACCUACCCUCGAGUACAAGUUCCUCAUUUUUUGGAAUCUAGAACCUACCUGUUACAACCUACCUGUUACAGGUUCGGGUCGGUUCCAAGGUCCAACAAGUUCUUUUAUUCUUUUCUAUUUAAUUUUUAGUUUUAAAAAAACGAAAAUGAAUGCAAUAAUAAUAAACAAGCUUGUCUUUCAUCAAAGAGAAUACAAAACGAACAAAACUAUCAACAGAGGAAAGGAAUUCUUGGCAAGGAAUUCGACUAAAUAAAAUAGAGGAAAUUAGUUCACGGAACAUCCUAAAUAAUAAAGCUGUCAGUCAAUAACCGACACAAAAUAGAUGAAGAAAUACACUUUCAGAUACACAUUCAGCAUUGCAGAAUGAGUCAAGGGGUAUGGUUACUUCACACUAGAGUGUCACUAACAAUGUAAACAAAUGCCAAACAGAGAGAUAAAGUAAUUCCAAUUCCAACGGAGUUCUUACAUGAUGAAUGUUGAUAGCAUUCAAGAACUUUUCAAAUGCCUAAAUCCAUUCAUGAUGGUUCCAAACAAGUGGAAUAUCAACAAAAAUCACCCAAUAACCCCGAAAGUUUUUAAAAUAGGCCAAUUAUGGAAAACCCAUGCUCUAUAUCCUUGGAACAACAUUAACAACACCAAAGAAGUUUGUUGUGCAGUGACCAGUAAGUGGUCAAAGUGUAAGAUGAUAAAAUUGGAUAGCAAAUAACUAGAAAUUCCUAAUCAUUACUCAUAUUGCUGUUGCUGAAAAAUCUUUAUGAUACUGAAUUAACUACCUUCAUCACCAAACACAUGACCUACUUGUAAUAGACAUCAACCAUUCCUGCUGUGCCAGGAAGACAAACAAGCAGUGGCACCACUUUUUGACCAAAAUCGUAAUAUCUCCAUUGCUUUAUGCUAAUCUGGCAAAAAGAAAAAGACGUCAGUUCGGUAGCUAUGAAACAACGUAAUGCAUGGAAUUUUGCUAGAGCAAGCUGAGAAGUUGGGGCUCAAGGGUGGUCUAAGCAUGGGAACUUUAGCUUAGAGUACGAGGACAGCUAAGGUUCUUAUGAGGACUACAAUAGACAACAGAUAAGCUACAUGAAAAUUGACCAAAAGAGCAAAGUAGUACUCUUGACGAUUUGAAUUCGUGAAUGUCACAUGAAGCUACUUGAAGCAUCAAGUUUCAACAAACUGUCAAAACAAAAAGUUGUCAAACUAUCGAAUGUCCAUUAAUUUGUAAAAUUGGAAAUGUGUAAGAUGUCAAAUACUCUAUGGAACUUUAGGAAGGACAUGACAUGCUAUUGCAUAUCAUGGAAGCAAGCAUAUGUCGAAACCAUUGUAAGCUAUCGAACAUCCAGCAUUAGUCACUUGAUAUCUUUGCUGAACUUGAACCCAGAUAUGAUGUUAUAUGGUAUGUAUAUCAUUACCCUCAUUUUUCCAUUUGACAACUAUGAUUUAGUACAAAGUCACAUGGUAAGAAUAACUAAACUCUACAUCAUAUCAUUAUUGCAGAGAGGUCACUGCCAACACAAGAACGAUUCACAACCAGAGCUUUAUAGUCCAGUUGCAACAGCAUUAGAUCAGAACCUGACAUAAUCAAACAGAACACAAAAAAGGGGUUGAUUUGAGCAACCAAGUGGUCAGCAUCAAAUGGUUGAUUUGUGAACUUUCGAGAACAAAAAGAACAUAAUGUAGAGACAGAACAAUUCUUGCCAGAUUUAACCAUCUCACUGAAUUCAUUACUAUGUGAACACGCUCGGUUCUUGGGCGUAAUUUUUACUGCAAAGAAGAAACUUUGGAACUCAACCAGACUGAUCGAGCAAGAAGCAAAAAUGAACAGAAGAAUUUCCAUGUCACAAUUAGUAAACUAAACACAGCAAAACAAGAAUUGACCAAACUGAAAGGAAAAAAUGGAACCCAAAUGCCAACAUCCAGGCGCACGCACAAACAACACGAAACUAAUCCCACAAACAAACGCAGCAAUUCCAAGCUCAUGGGUUCACGGAACAUCCUAAACAUGACAUUGUCCUGUUUUAUAAUCAAGAGAUUGCCAAUCCUUUUGGCUAAGUGUAAAUGAAAAAAUGGCUAGCUUGUACACUCACAUAUAAAGAAAAUCAAGGAAUCUUGAAGUGGCAACCCAAGACAGUCCACAGAAACAAGAUAUGACCUACCAAAUCGAUGCUCAGAGAACGGAAACAACAUUCCAGAAAGCACACGCAUAAAAAAUGUUUAGGCUAGAGGAUCUACCCAAUAUUUUCGAUCCUUCCAACUAAAGAGCUACUCAACGGCAACUGAAGCGCCUCCUUCACGCCAUACUUCCUUUUAGCUUCCGUCUGUCGUCGAUGGUAAACAUUACAAGGCUCGCCUACCACUCUAUCACCAUAUCCUAGUAAAAUAACAAAAAGGUCGUCGAAGAACUAGCAAUUACAAGAAGUAAUGUUCAUUAAGGCAGGAAUUUGGAAUCUACUCACAUUCGGCUAGCAAUAAAUUGGACUAGAUCUCGCAGCUGAGCUGAGUCGCAACCACUUGCGGUGAGUCGGUGACAGCAAACAGAACCGACGUUCGGUGAGCUUGGGGUUUAGUUCUGGGUUGAAGCAACGUUCGGCGACCUCAAGCAACGUUGGGCACGACGCGGGCAAUGCUGGAUUCGGCAAGGAUCGGCAACAAGGACGUCGAGGCGGUAGUUGCUUCUGUCCUAGUUGCGGCGCGAAUAGCAGCAACUCGUCAUCGGGAGGCCGAGAUGCGGCGGCUCAUCGUUGAAGUCUGAACAGACGUGGCGUCGUCGAUGGCCAAACAGCGACGGUGGAGCAACAGCAGCGUCGGGUGGCGGCCCGGCAACAGCUUGUCGUUGGGAAGCCGGCAGCGCAACGGCGAGAGCCGGCGGCGUCGUCAAACGGAGCAGCAAUGGUGUCGACGGCAACAUCGUGGAUCAUGAUGGCGGCAUCGAGGGCGGCGAGCAGCGUCGGAUCAUCGUCGGGAACGUGGAGUGUUGCAAAGAGGAAAUGGAAAGAAAUGGAAAAGUGAAGAAUGAACAUUGAAGAAAAGGUUAGGGUUUUGGAGAGGGGGAAUCUCGGUUCCGGUUCCAACUCGACUGAGAACUGGAACCUAUUUCCUCAUGACCUCGGGUUCGGUUCCCCGGUUUCCGGUUCUACGCGGGAACCGUGCUCACCCUAGAUAUAAUAGUGGUCAUAAUUUAGGAUUUUAAGGUUGGAUUUUUUUUUUUUUUUCAUGAUCUAAUCCUCUUAAAAAUCACAGCUCCCCUAAAAAAAUCUUCUCUCCUAAAAAAAUCUUCAACUUUAGAUUUACAUCCUAAUUUUUCUUCGAACUUAAAAAAUUUCUAACUUUCACUUUAGCCUCAAAUCAGUUUCACAUCCCAAAAUCGCCACUAAUUUUUUCUUUAUGUCAUCAGUAUUGGGAGGUUCUUGUCAUUCCAUAUGAAGGUGAGGGUGUUUAAGAAGAUGUGAGUUUUGAUUGUAAACCUCUAACUAGCUCUGGUAUUGAAAAUUUCAAAGAAAAUAAUUACUUUUUUUGAACGCAGGGGCAAAUUUGGAACUAUAGUGAAAUUUUGUGAUUUUUUUUCAUAUAAAAGAAGUUUGGGCCAUAAUAAUUCAGGUUUUUCUAGAGAACUAACCUCGAAGUUUUGUCAUGUUCUUAUUAUGGCCCAAUUUUUUUUUUUUUUAUUUCAUAAGAAAACCACAUAUCAAUGUUACACAAAUCCAGUAGUUUUCAUCCAAUGAUGUUGUCCAAGAUUCGACCUGCCAAUUCAUGUGUACUUGGCAAAAUCUUAAUGAGGGUCAGAUGUGGGUGCCAAAUGAAAUUGGUAUUUUAUUAUGGGAUGGAAAAAAUUUGGACUAAAAUUAGGCCACAAUUUGAAGUUAAUGUCUUUUUAUGAGACAAAAUUUAUGGAUCAGGGCUUUAAUCCAAAGCCAACAUUUUUCUAUGAGAGAAAUAAUUGAGUCAACAUUGAGAUUCAAGGUAAAGUUGAUGCAUCUUGAAAUGAAUCACGCUUUAUGAAAGAACCUUUACGGAUUAUGGCCCAGAGACUUUCCCGAAUUCGGGGUCGACCCGUCCACUUCGUCCCGAGGCUUGACAAGACAACUUCAAUUUAAAGGGAUUAUUUGGUUGCUUCUAGUUGAUAUGGGACAAGAAUAGUGUAGGUAGAGAGAGUUAAUUAUGACUUAUGCAUUCCAUAUUUUAGGUGCAUAAUUACAUUUACUACAUAAGUACGUAUACACCAAGAAAUACAUGUUUAAACCACUUAGGAGCCACUUUAGUUGACUACUUACUAUGUUUUGCUUUUCAGCAGGUCGGAUUUCUUCUGACGUCAGCAAAGAGGGAAAUAUUUCCCUAAGCGGGAGGAAGAAGGGGUUCCUAAACCACAAUGAUCUGAUAAGUAUAUCAAGUCCUUAGGCAUAAAGUUAUCUUUUGCUGUAAAUUAUUUGUUGGGGGCAGAUUUAAUAUGACAAAGUAAAAUAGAUUAUGAGACGAGUAUCUUGACUCUUGCAGAAGAUAACUCUCUUUAUUUUCAAGAUUACUAUCAUUAAAAAUUUCGAAGUGGCAUUUCAUGACAUAUCUAUCCCAAAAGAGUUUUUGUUUCCCACAAAAUCUCAACUAUUCAUUCGAUUAACUAAAAGAAAACUUUAGUCUAGUAAUUCUUAGAUCAUCAUUGGAAAAACAAGAUUGCUUCCAUCAGCUCAAUCCUGGCAAUAGUUUCGGUUUAGCAUACUAAUACUGUGACCAGUGACCUCUAAAAUGGCGCAUCACUAGGCCACUCUUCUGUCAAUUUUGUUUCAUGAAGCAUUCUUUUAGCCUUCAAAAGAUUAAAUCAUAUUUUCAACUUCCUCUAAUUCAAUCCGGCGGUUUAUGUGUAUGACUAGACGAUAUUCUUAUAAUCAAAAUUUGGCCGAAAAAAAGAGAGAGUCACAAUUUGGCUGGUUUGGCCAUGUUUCUCCUUUCUGAAAUUUGAGCUUGUAACUGACAAAUAAAUUUCUAUCUAAUGAUUGAUGUUUCAACCGGGGUCCCAUGCUUGCAUUUAGAUGUGAGCAUAAUUUUAGGAUUGAGUUGGGAGUUAGAGAACUGGACCAAUCACCAAUUCAGUUCUAGGUUCCAAUGCGCCCUAGUCCGGUUCCAUUUUUUUAGGAACCGAUGGUUCUCGAGGGAACUGGGAACUGAGAAUCAAACCGAUAAUUGGGGAAUCGAGAAAAUCCUGAAGAGAGGCUUUUUACUUUUUCUAAUAAGAACUUAGAUGUGCUUAUAGAGGGGUUUAUACUAAUUUUAUUUGCAAUCAAUAACGAUCAAUGUGCGUGAGGUCGUUAGCAGUUGAAAUAAGGGUUACUCCUAGGAAGAGUUAUAAUUCUCUACUAAUAGUCACUUAUAAAGUUCUAAUAAAGGAAUUAGACCGAGACUUAACAUAAAAGGUUUUCAAAUAUUAGUAGCUAGAUAAAGCGGCAAUAAUGUCAAAUAUCGCACUAAUUUUUCAAGACCAUUAGAUCUAUUCUAGUUUCAUUUCCUGAAAACAGAAUAUAACAUUUGUGUCUUGUUGUAAUUCAUAUCAUUCUAUGUUGUUCAUAGACUGAAUAAAUUACCCUACGUAGCAUUAUCUAGUGGGAAUAUGCAAUGGCGAGUAUCAUACUAUCACAAAAUUUCACAUGGCAUUCAAUAUAUUCAAGGUACUUUUGUUGUACCCAUUAAAACAAAAUUGGAAUCCAUGGACCUUUUGCUCUAUAAGACCGUAAAUAUGGUGAUUAGUUUGGUCAUGAUCUUCAUUGGAUAUUGGCCAAAUCUUAUGUUAUCACAUGUUAACAUGUAUGUCGAUAAUCUAGAUUUUAAUUUCUUGAUUGGUUUAAUUAUAACACCUUCUACUUAUAUUCUAUUAUUGAUGUGUCUGUGCGAAAUUGACGUAUAUAGCAUGUCAAUGGAGGUGGAAGAAUGAGAGGCAAUGACUUUCAUUAUGUGUGAGGGAUGUCGAUGAUUGAUGACUAAAAUUCAAUAACUUAAGUUUCAUGUAAUGUGUUAUGAACUUUUUAUUAUUUAUUUUAUUUUAUACAUUCAUCUUUUAUAGAUUAUUUCUAUUGACAAAUGAAAAACUUUCAUUUUUGUUUUUGCAUUCACUAUCAUUUUGCUUCACUAAAACUGCCCAAAAAAAAAAAAAAAAAGAACAUGUUAGACCACAAAACCGACCUUAGAAUCUAUGACAAGAUAGGUAUAGGUUCCAGGGUAUACAGGAUAAGUUUUAUGUUUUAGAAAAUGGGGAACAUAUUUUAAUGGAUAGGUUCCAGAUUUAAAGUGGAAUCGGAACUGCUCAUCCCUACUUAAAUCUUCUCAUUUUGGGCAUUUUUUCAGUCCUAUGUGACCCAAGAAAAUCUUUUCUUGGGUACUCUCACUGUCAAAGAGACCAUAGCCUACACAGCUCAUCUGAGGCUUUCUUCUGAAAUGACGAAAGCCGAGAUCGACGAGGUGGUAGAAGCAAACAUAAAGGAGAUGGGACUUGGAGACUGCGCAGAGAACAAGAUUGGUAACUGGCACUUGAGGGGCAUAAGCAGUGGAGAAAAGAAAAGACUCAGCAUCAGUCUUGAAAUGGUGACAGACCCACUGAUCUUGCUCCUUGAUGAGCCUACCACAGGCUUAGACAGUGCCUCGGCUUUUUUCGUGGCAAGAGCUUUAAGAAAUAUUGCAGAUGAAGAAAGAAUAGUUAUUUGCUCAAUCCACCAGCCCAGCAGUGAAGUUUUCGAUCUUUUUUAUGAUUUACUCCUUCUGUCGAGUGGAGAAACUGUGUUUCUAGGAGAAGCCAAAAUGGCCAUUGAGGUAAUAAAGAGUCAACACUUCAUUCUUAUUCAGACAUUUAGGCUGUGCAGAAGCAAGAUAAUGUAAUUUUAAGUCCUGGUGCAGUUCUUUGCAGAUGCUGGAUUUGCUUGUCCGAGGAGUAGAAAUCCCGCUAAUCACUUUCUGCGGUGCAUUAGCUUGGACUUCGAUUCUGUAACUGCUACUAUUGCUUUCUCGUAGAAACUAUGUUGAGUUUUAAAUCGAGCACUUCUAUACUCUGCAUCAGUUCUUGUGAUAUGUAAAGUGACUUCCGAAUAUAAUUAUCAGGGCUUGCUAUUUUAUCUUGCAGCAAACUCCAGCAUCAUCUGGUUUUUCAAUGAACAUGAAAACAGCAGAGAUUAAAGCCACACUCAUCCAAAGUUACAAAUCCUCAAAGUAUUCAUGCAAAGUUAGGAAAAAAAUGCAAGGAAUUUCAGCUACUGUAAGCACUCCAACUCAGAAGAAAUAAAAAUCAAGAUAAUGCUUAUGCAGUCAUUUUUCUUGUCUUUACCGCUUACCAUAGUUAAUGAACAAUGUCUCCAACUGUGAUUUUUGAAACUAAUGGAGUUAUAUCCAUAUUGAAGUAGCAUUUUCCAGGACUGAUGUUUUCAAAACUGAGUCUCUUCUGUUGAAUGCUGAAGGAUUAUCAGGUCUGCCGGUUGAAUAAGAAUACUAAUUCCAGCAAGUGGAAGCAGCUCAGCGUUUUGACUCGUCGGUCCUUCAUCAACAUGUAUAGGGACAUUGGAUACUCCUGGUUGAGGAUCAUGCUCUACAUUUUAUCAUCAAUAAGUGCUGGAUCUCUAUAUUUUGACAUCGGAUACGACAAUGGGGCAAUUAUCAACAGAGGAAAGUUUGUUUCAUUCCUCUUCGGCCUCAUGGUAUGUUUGUCUUGUGGUGGUGUCCCUUUCUUCAAUGAAGAACUGAAGGUAUAGCAAAGCGUCGAGGCUGAUCGAUUUUCAUCUAUUAUAUAUCAGCAGUAUCUUCAUACUUGAGGUGAUAUUAGAAUGAUUUGUCACUAGGACUAGAAUUAAGUUUCCUCUUCAGGACAGACAAGCUCCACCAUGAUAGGUGUGAAGUUACAAGUUGAAGCCUAAGACGCUGUAAAUAACACAAAUCUAACUAGAGGACUUUUAGUUGAUGGCCUACUCCGACUCAUAGUCACAGAGGAAUGUGAGUAUUGCACAAUCAGUUGGAGAGAUUAAAGCUAAAUCAACUAAGUUUUUUCAAGGGAUGCUUAAGAUUAUUCAUAUGGGAUCGAUCUCAUCAUCAAAGCAAGAAUAUACAUUAAUUACCUAAAAAAGGAGAAAUCUCGGCAGCAUAUGACAUCCUUUUCUUAUCUAUCUCAGGUAUUUUAUGCCGAGAGAUUCAAUGGGCAUUAUGGCGAGAUCCUAUUUGUGCUUGCAAAUUUCCUUUCUUCACUCCCUUUCUCGGUGGCGAAUUCUCUGCUUUCAGGAACGACGAUAUUCUACAUGGUGAAGCUUCAUCCAGGAUUCUCUCAUUAUGGUUAUUUCUGCAUUAACUUCUUCUGCUGCACCACCAUUAUUGACAGUUGCAUGAUGGUUGUGAACUCAUGUGUCCCCAACGCCUCGAUGGCUGUAGUAACGUAAGCAAAUUUUCUCUCUUAAACAUCCCUUCUUGUAAUCCUUAUAGAUUACGUUGUCGUUCAUAGCUAAUUUUUGUGGAUUCAGGUUCUAAUGAUGAUGGCAUCACAGAUCUUUAGACUUCUCGCUGAUCUUCCCAAGUUCUUUUGGCGGUACCCUAUGUCCUACAUCAGUUUUGCCAAGUGGGCAGUUGAGGUAGUUAGUAUACAGCUUUUUUGAAAUCAAGCUUGAAAAUUUAUCAACAUAUUUAUGCAUAGAGCCAUGACAUGGAAGAUAUUCAUCUUCAGUUUCAAUAAUAUCGUCUGAUUAGUAAAACUCCACCAGGAGCAUGCGCUACUACUUGCAUUGCAUAUUUAAACUCAUUGAAGUAAAAAUUCUCAUCUUCCGCCUGAGGUACAUUUAUGAGAAGGAAAUGUCAAAACAACAGAAAUUAAGUAAGAUGCCUUCUAUUUUGAUGUGAAGAAAUGGGUUGAAUGGUCGACAGUUCCGCCACUCCCUUCUUCCUUUUCGGAUUGUUGACCCGCUCUUCCAUAUGCUAGAGGUUAUGUUAACCAAUGUAAUAAUGUAAUACUAUGAAGAUUCUGUUAUCAGUCUCUUUCAUAGAUUGAUCAGAACACUACAAGGCUUCACCACAUGUUUCACUCCGUCUCUUUACUCAAACUAACGCUUCAAAUGAACAGGCUUCUCAAGAACAGUUCUGCGACUAGCUAUGGCAGUCAACAAUACAAGCAUAUGAUUUGGAUCAGUGACUUUGAGUUCUCCCAAAUAUCUCAUGAAUUACAAGUCACUCAUACAAAUCAUUCACACACCUUGCAGGGUCAAUACAAGAAUGUCAUGACCGGUCUUGAGUUUGAUUCAGCAGAGCCAGGAGAACCAAAACUGGAAGGCGAGAUGAUCCUCAAAACAACUUUCAGCAUAUCACUGGAUCAUCCCAAGUGGUGGGAUGUAGCUGUGCUUCUGUUUCAACUGUUUGUUUACAAAGUACUACUCUUGUUAGUGCUUAGGUACAAGAAGAGAAUAGCACCUCAAUUACAGUCGUCGUCACAAGUGUUACUCAAGAAGGUGUCUUGACAGAUGAUUUCGGUGCCAAAUAGCAGCAAGCAUCCAUUAUAUUUCCAGAACAUACUUACUUUAUCGGCAACUAAUGCACCAUGGUUAUGUAAAUGAUGCAUAUGUCUCUAGUUGUCGCAAGUUCUAAAUGCAAUUCACCUUUUCACUUCAAUGUUAUGACUAAUUUGAUAUUGGUAUACGCAACGUGACAAAAUUUACACCUAAUUCUCGGCCUGAGGUCCACCCCUUCAUCUUUGUAAUUAAUGUAGAUUAUAAACCUCUUACAAAGCACAAAAUUUGGAGAUACGGCAUUGGACAGACGGCCCGUUUAGUGCCUCUCUCUCUCUCUCUCUCUCUCUCUCUCUGUGCUACAAGCUACUGCAAGAUUCGAUGUAGUGGUUAAUAAAGUACAUUGAUUACAAGCAAAACAUAUGUCACGCAAUGAGUUACAACUUAUAUUGAAAAUAAAGAUUAAGCAAUUCAAGGGUUGUACAAGAGUCAGAUAUAGCUUGCACUCAUUUACAAAAAGAUUAAAAAAAAAGAAAAAAAGAAAAGAGAAAGUGGGAGGUAAAGUGUACACUGUCUUUGAACAGCCUCUGUGUCCCCUUAUGGCGCACCAAACAAAAUCAUACCCAUGACCUCCAAAUCUAAUCCAUGGCUGUGAAGCAGACCCAGGUGGAAUAUUCAGAUCUCUCUUUUCCCCCAAAACCGAAGGGCCAAAUAUGUAAAAGCCAAGAAAGUGUACUUGUCCUCGAAUGCCCAACUUUUGAGGCGCCCAGGAUAAACAAAAUCAUCAUAACUUUAAGAUGCUUUGCAAGAAAAACCGGUAUCCUCAUCCUUCCUACUUAUUUCUUCUGUUUUUUCCGCACAGCAUUAUGGCCAUUGCGCGCUCUGGAUGCUUUAUGAUUUCUCAUUGAGGCUUCCAUGCUCAUGCUACCUUUUAGUUCCAUCUUUCUCUUUUCCCCACUUUUAAGUUUGUGAAAGGUCCUCUUCCUUUUCUUUCCAGAUUCGUUGGAUUGAAUCUUAGAAAAUUUCCCUGCAGCCAAAUCACCAUCCUUUUCAGAACCUUCUAAUCUGCCAUCAGCAGUAAGAGUAAGUUUCAUAUUCUCCUGAGUGGGGGGAGCCAUCUUUGUUCUUCAAUCUCCUUUUGUAUCCUCAUCCCUGGACAUCUUUCUGAUUUGCGGAAGCUUCCUUGUUCUCUAUCCCGCCUUCAUUUGAGGUUUUGUUUCACAGAUUCUAAAAGGUCAAACAUGCGAUCAUUUUACAAAACAAUAUUACGACCUCCAGAAAUCAUGCACUGCUAAAUAAUAUUUCUGUAGGAUACACAUCCAAGCGUUGUUGAAUUCAUUACCUCCAUAAUUGUCUUAAGAAAACCCUUGUACUUUUCUGGGGUAACAAGCUGAACAGCAGCAAAACCACACUUCCUAGUCAUUAUCUCAAGAAUGACUGUGACCUGCAUAUACAGUGAUAAUGGACAUUCAUUACCAGAUAGCAAAAAAGAGGCCCUUGGAAGGAUGUGUGCAUGGAAUUAUCACAAAAAAACUCAGCAAACUCCCAGUAAAUUUCACAUGCCUUUGAUCUGAAGUGAUGCCUGGAGACAGAUGACCAUGAAAUAACACCAUCAACAAUGUCUGAAAGUAAACUCUGAAGGUCUUCAUUUCGUAAGCAAGACACUACUACUUUCACAAAACCUAGAACAGCCUGCAAAAUGUGCAUGAAGUAACUCUCAAGCCAUGCCAAUUGGGGCAAGAAUCUACUUUGGUAAUGGUAUACUCAUUUUUAUCACUUCCACCGCUUUGCUUUGUAGCAGAGAAAGAACAGAAGGAAUAAGAUCAGGAAUUGAUAGACAGAUAUCUGUAUCCUUGUAAACUAGUACGGACAAUGCAGAAACAGCUCCACUUGUAAUUUGAGGUGAUGAACCAGAAAGAUAGUCCACUAUCUGAAAGCACGUUAUUUAGAAUCAAAACACUAUUACUUGAAUAAAAUUACAAUCCCGAGAAUUGCAAUUGUCCAGUAAUACAUCCAGUAAUACAUCACUGUUAAGAACUACAAGCAGAAAGGAAAAUUGCAGAUUAGGUUAGACAAUUUCUACAUAAGUAUGCUCUCCCGAUCAUCCGACAGAAAGUCCUGUAAGCAAAUAAAAUUCCCCGAUGGUCACAAGACACUUAAAGUGUUCAUCUGUGCAGUGCAUAUAAAACUUCUUUGGGCAACCAUUUACACGAGGAACCCAAGCUUUAAUAAUAACACAUAAGAAAGGGACUCCACUACCCCUUGAUUAACCAAUUUGGCUUCUUAAAAUUUCUCAAUUUUUCAUCGGAUGAAACAAAUGCAAAAUUUCGACUGAAUAGGCUUAGGGGCCACAAGGCAUCCACAAGAUACAGACCACAUGAUUUUAAAUUUUGCCACUUGUAUUUUGGUUCUUCGUUUUUCUACUGGUUAGAGGGCAUUAAUCAUCUUCUCCUCUGGCUGCAACUGCAAAGCCUAAUCCCUUGGCAGAAGCAGCUAGACAUGAAUAAAUGAAGGAAUAUGCCGUGACUCAACCAUACUGCAGCCACGAAAUUAGCUUUAUUCUUUUAGAAGAGAAAUAUGUUUUAAGGCCUCUGAAUCAAUUCGUAGCCAUACCAGGCUUACAAUCUUCAAAUACAAUGCACAUACUUAUAAAGAUUUUAACCAAUACCAGGAAGCAGUAUACACAAGACCAUGAGGACUUCAGUCCACUGUUUCCCAAUUUUGCAGGAACAACAACAUGGCAAAAGAAGAGGAAUUUAAAUAAACUACAUUCUCCUUCAACUUUUCCCCCAUCUAUGGAUGUUACGUGAGGCAGAGCAGAAACCAAUUAUUUACAACUCAAAAGCCCCUCCAGAUGACAACUUACAUAGGAUCUACCAUUGUAAAAUACGUACAUCAGACAAGAUAGAAGGAUCUACUUCAACCUCUUCCAUUGUUGUUACUUUCAACUGCCUAUGCCUCAUGUACCCAUUCUUUUAAAGUUCUAUUUUUGUUUUCCUUGCAUGUUCCUGAUGUUCUAGGAUGUAUGUAGUAUCAAACAUGUCUUAAAAUAUAAGCAGUAAUUUCCACCAAAGCUACCCAAAUAUGUCCCAUAAUGAGGAAUACCGUACCAUGUUAAUCAGUUUCUGACAAGGUUCAACUGAACUAACAGGUGAAAUGCUUCUCAAGCUGGAACUUAUGUUGAUGAGAACAUCAUAAGCUUCCUUCCUAGAUUCCUCCAUAGCCUGCAAAUUUCAUAUCACAACAGUGAUUAGUGCUGAAAGUAGAUCAUCACCCCCACACUGUAAAGGAGGUUCUUACAUCCUUUAAGACAAGUAUAAUCUCAUUGAGGAUGAAAAAAGCUUUUGAAUCUUCUUUCUCCUCCUCCUCCUCCUGCUGCUGCUGCUCCUCCACAGAACAGCAUAUGACAUCAACAAUAGAGGUGCUUAUAUUACUUAAUUUUGAGCUACAAUUGCAAAUACACCAUAACCAAAAGCUUAAGAAUCCGUUCACAAGUACAUAUAUGAUUCCUUCCAUGUUGAGACACGACCCAAAAGAAAAAAGAAGUUUUUGGCCUUAAAAGCGGAAAAGCCAUUCAUGACAUUCAAUAUUAUUUUAACGAAUUAAGGGAAGAUGGGUGAAUGAUGAUAGUAGGAUCAGGUUAUUAGAAAUUUAAAAAAUUGUGAGAUUGGCGAAAACUGAUCUGUUAGGUUCUUUAAGCAAAAUACCACUUACAUAAUCAGUUUCAAUUUUUUUAAUUUCCACAAAGUUCAAUAAAAACAAAAGGGUGAUGAAAUACUCCAUGCUUAGCUCUGUACAAGAACCUGUUAGCCAUCCAUACAUUUAGGAGUUUGGAAAAGUAAAAAAAGUUUAAGAGUCUUCAUAUUCACAAAUACAGGCACAUUAUACAGACGUUACACCUGCUGUGAGGGUGCAAUUCGAAUCUCCUCUAGGAAGGGAAAGGCCUGCUCUUAGAUCAAGUCUUAAUGUCAAAUUUCCAAAGGCAAACUUUAACUGAAGGAGAUCCAUGAAACAUUUUAAGAAAUUCCUUCAAGAUGGAGGGAAUUGCCCAAGUAGGAGGCCAUGCGAAUAUAUUGUGGGGCCAGAACAAAAAAUGAAAUAGUAUUUAAUUUAAGGAUUGUGAUAUAGCUGCUCACCUGCAGCAUACAAUCUAGGCAACAGAAAUAGAACAAACGCCAAACUCAAAGAACUGCUAAAAUAACUGUUCUAGCACAUCAAGAAUAUAAAACCAUGAAACACGAGGAGAAAUUUAUUAUGAAGAACAAAUACAAUUUCUUCUUGAAUAAAUGUUGUAUACUUUGCUUUUCAGUGGGACUAAUGUUGAGCUGUUUUCACAACACAGGAUUAAGACAUUUCUUAAAGGCUCAUUGCACUCUUAUUCCAAGACAACCAGCCCAGGACAUAGCUCAUAUUCAGUUUACGAGAAGAACAAGAAAUGGCUUCUAUUUACGUCAAAACGUGAUAUAUACACUAAAAAUGAAGGACAUAAAAUUCUGCAUUUUUUUCACAAGAAUAGUAGACACCAAACAUACAAAAGAAAACAAGUACUGCAUUGCCACAAGAAACAUUCUGACCUUUAAUGCAUGAACUAUCAGAACAUGGAAAAAGGCAAAGCGGCUUCUCAGAGUUGCAAUAUCAGAUGGAGUCCUUAGGUCAAUUAGUAAAUCAAUCAACUGCAAAUAUUUAGAUGAACAAAACCAGGGAUGCACCUGCAUAAUAGAAAUGACAGAAAAACAAUCACUUCCAGUAAGAAUAUAUCUUGAAUGGAGAUAGCACACAAACAUACAUCCAAAAUUUUGCUCAAAGCAUUAUAGGCUUCAGCAUGGCCAUUGUCAUUGCUUUCCUUGUGGAAGAAAAUUCAUGAAUGAUUUAGGCUAUAGAAAUCACUAAACUCAUCCAUUAAAUCAAGAAAACAAAGCUACUAUUCUUAAAGUCAAUGCACACCUGAAAAGUGUCUUUAACAAAGCUAAACACCAAAUCAAUGAGAUCCUUCUGUGCUCCUUCAAUAAGAAAUAAGGAUAUCUCCAGUAACAAGCACCUGGGUGAAACUGCAUUCUCUUAGUACUAUAACAGGAGUGCAUUCAUCACUCUGUAUGAAGGGGUGUGAGGGUGUUCUUUCUUUUCUUCAUAUGAAGGGGUGUGAGGGUGUUCUUUCUUUUCUUCAUACUUUUUUUUUUUUCCGGGGGGGACCUUGCAUAGAACAUGACAGGAGUGGAUUUAUUAUUGGAUGCAUCCUCAUGAUGUUACUGUACUUGCAUAGAACAUGACAGAUGACAAAAUGUCAUCAAGAAGAGGAAACAGCAGUGCCCAAUUUCCAUAACAUGGUAGCUCAAAACUCUGGUAGCAGAAUAUAGAAUCUAUGCAUACAGACGCAACCUAGAAAUCUCUGCAAUUGCUAACAGUAGAAAAAAGUUCUGGAUGCUCACAAAUAGAGUUGGUCUGUCGAUAAUCAGACAUCUGUUACAAUGAAUUGUCAAAUGUGACCUAAAGGACUCCCCCUUUAUCAAGUGUAUCAUCAGCAGUCAAGUGUAUAUGCGUAUGUGAACAUAUAUGAAUCUUUCAUUUUAAUCAUUAAUAUAGCUUGCUAACAAUUCUAUUCACAAGCAUUCUCUCUCCAUUACCUUUUAGCAUUUACAUCAAUGGCAUGCUCAUUUCCUAGUUCUUUGUCCAUUGAUGCAUCCAUUUCUUUUUUUCCCUGUCGAACUCAUCUCUCUUAUUUAGAAUGCCAAAUCUUUUGAGAAAUGACACAAAAAUUUCUCUGGUUGCAGAAGAAUCUGUGAUAGAAGCUAAGCAACCAAUAGGAUCCUGAGAAAUCAAAACUGAGCGUGAUAAUAUAACUCAUAUUAUGUAUGUCAAUUACUAAGCAAUGGGAAAAGUAAAAGGUAAUCCGUGAGCAUUGACUGAAUAUAUAUAUCUCAGAGUUAAAGUUCUUUAAGACGGCUACUCAAUACAGCUUCCUUUUGCUAAUUCAGUGCUAUCCACAGGACUCAAUCCUCUCUUUCGAAAAAUUCAUUUGCAAAAUUAUUGAACGCUUUAUAGCGCCCAGAAGUUUGAUCCAAUUAACAAAGCAUCCACAAAGUUCUAUAACUCACAUGCAUGACGAUCCCUUCCACAAUGACCAACCUAAUCUAUCUGACCGACUCUAGUACUUUAAAGUAUUUUGGUGUUCCAUGGUGAGUUCAGGGAGGGUAGACACUUGGUACACAACAUUGAUGCCACUUCACUUCUCAUAACUUUAAUUCUUUUUAACUUUUCCUUUGAGGUUUUCUAAUAACAAGUACGUGAUCCAUUGUUUCAAUGCCAACCCAACCUCAACAUAACUUUGACUUUUUUUAUUCCUUUUAUUUUUUUUUGGUCCAUUUCUAAAGAAUAAUUUGUUGUCAAUAAGAAUAUAAUAAAAAACCAUAAAAAUUCUAGCUUAUGCAUGGCUAUCAUGCUUCUAACAUAUGUUUUUUGGUAGGAAUGCUUCUAACAUAUGUUUCUACCACACAAAAGCAAUACCAUUAUUUUCCUUCACCAUUUUACAUUAAAAUAUAAAAUUACGACCAACAAAUAUAGAAAAAUAACUAAUCAAGUAAAAUUAUAUUAUCUAAUCCAAAUUUUAAUGAUAUGAACUUGUUUUUGCACAUGUUAACACAAAUUUCAACUUGCUUAUAAUAUUUUACAAAUUUAAAAGGAAAGGACAUGAAAAAGUUCAAGUUGAAUUUUAAAUUGAUAGUCAAAAUUAUAUUUUCUCAAAUCAGUUCAACUAUAGCUUCCUGAAGUGACAGGACCACAUGUCCUAUAGAAUCACCCUAAUUUAUCAUGCCAAAAAAAGUUGCAUUAUUUCAAACCUACUGGGCCAAUUCUCCACCUAAUGCUUUUCUCCAUAUACAUAAUUUUUCAUCUGAAGAUUCGAUAUUGUCAAUGGCAUGAGAAAAGGAUAGACAAUCAUGCCGAGUAGAGGAUCCCAAGUAAGUUGUAUAAUUUUAGGAUCACUGCAUCUUGAAUUCACACUUCAUUCUAGGGAGUCAAAAGUAUAUAACUAUUCCGACAGUGAAGGUUUUUCUCUUAAUUUUUUAAAAGCUGCUGUUGUCUGGUGGGGCACACUUGGGAACUAUUCUCUCAUGCAAAGCAGGGAUGGAACAAUAUUUUUCCCAUAGGGCAGGGAAUGGGAACAAAAUUCCUGGCCUGCUCCUCCCAAUGGCAACCACUAGUGCGUGCAAUUCAAACAGUGCCUUAAAUGAUGCAAUCAGAAGUAUUAAUUGUACUUAAGGAAAAAUUACAAGUCAAAAGGGCAGGAGGGGGGGGGGGGGGGGAAAAACACAACAGAAACUUCCAGCUAGAAUCCCAAAAUGUUUUAAGCUUCCAUAGGAUAUCAAAUAGCACAUAAUGACCUAAUAUAUGUCAAUGUAGCCAACCCCAUCUACGUGAACUGUCUCCACAAUACUUUCUAAAGCACUUAUAAGAAUGAUGCGGCCUCACUAGGAAGGAGAUUAGGCAGGUCUGAAUCUGACCAACCCAACAAUCAAAUUUAGCAUGUCAACUGCCUCGUACUAAACAGAAACCUUUGAAUUCCUCUAUACUUCUUCCAGCAAUUAACAUUGACAGAAAGAGCUCCUACUAGUUAUACUAUUUUCAAUCUGGACAGGACUGAGGAGGGAGAUGGAGCUUGGAUUAUCAUAGAGUAUUAGUAUCCUAUUAUUAUCUUAUAGUGCACAUGAGUCCUAUUAGCAUCUUUGAGAUGAGGCAUAUGCCUAAAAAAUUGGAGAAAAAGUUCAGACAACCAAAGUAAGUGGAAAAUUAUGAAUAUGAAAGGGGAGAGGAGAAAACAAUUGUGCAAUAACUAUUACGAAAUUUAGUAUAGAGCCAAAAAAGACUUUAGUGAUUGAGGGAGAACCUUCAAGUAUGACCUUGUCACAGGAAUGGAAUCGACAAAUAAGUCCAAUAAAAGUUGAAGCAACUCAGUAGAGCAUGAACUUAAAGCCUUGAUAUUUCUGCUUGUAGUUUUCUUUGAGUAAAUCAGUAGAGUUUGCAAUUCUAAUCCGGAUGCUUGCACAUUGCAGGUGUCUAAAUAUUUAACUACUCUAAAGCUGAGUACACUUGUAUUCUGAUUCACAAGGAUCAGCAGAAUUAGAACAGUACUAUCAGGAGAUAUGAAAAUGGUAUAACAACCUCUUCCCAGCUAAAGAACAAGUGUGAGCCAAAUGUCACCAAUGUGGCAAGAAGAUCACCUUUAAAGCAAGAGCCACACUUUCAUGCAUAAAAGAAUAUUUUUUAAGAAAAUCAGUCAAUAAUACUGCCAAACGUCUAAACUGUUUUGUCUGUGUCACUUGAACCCCAGCAAAAGGCCGGUAACAGUUUCCAAAGGUCAUGAGCAUGACCCAGCAGCUCCUUACCAAGUACUGAUUUCUUAACUGGAGAAAAGAUAAACAGAAGCACAAUCAAAUCCCCGAUGUCACUAAAAUGUUAAUGAUGAACUGAACAAUUGAUAUCUACGUGAGCGCCAACUGUACCACGUAGGAUGGCCAGUGUGCACAAUUGAUAUUCAUAUCAACAAUUUUCUAUCAAAAUUAGCCAGUGAAUUUAAUUGGCAAAAUUUGAAAAUAUUUAGGACUCAAUUGAUAUAGUUGAAAAGUUUAUGAUUAAAUUGACACCGGUGCUAUAUAUAUAGACACACGCACAACUGUCUUUGUGUUUGGCUCCUAGAGAAGUCCAAUAAUUUUUAAACUCAAAUAUUUAAAAAAUUAUAAAAAUAUUAUAUGAGAACUAUUGUGGCAAAUGAAAUUUCAAGUGCUUGUAAUUUUUUUUGAAAGUCCAAUUAUGUGCGUAAAUAUUGAAAGAAACUUUUAACUAUUUAAAUAGUCAUCGUCGAAAGAGGCUGAAAUUUUCCAAUUACAGGAUGAGUCAUGGAAUCGUAGCGAGGAGGGGUUUUGUACUUUGACUUUGCUUUGGCCUAACAUGGCCUCUUUUAUCUCAGUUACAUGUUAUAAACGUGGACACCAACCGCAGAAAAAUCAAGGCACAUAAAACAAAAGUUGACUUAGACCAAACAAUAAUGGUUCCACGGACCACGUCAUGCACAAGACCUAAGCAAAACAUAAUCUUCUAUGCAUGUCUAAUCAGAUUAAUGUCGAGUCGUUGAGGGUUGUUUUAAUACCGUCAAUCAACGCAGUUAUAUUCAACACGCAAGUUUCAGAGCUUUGAAAAUUCCAGGUUAACUUUAAGUAAUGGAUUCUAAGCAUGGAAUCUCGUCACUUACCUUGAAAUCUUCCUUGACUACAAGAAACCAUGUAGAUUGGAACAAUUUUCCAUUGUAUGUUUCAAUACUCUUGAAAUUUCGAAAGCUAUUAUAUUUUUAACAAUUUUCGACCGUCAUCAAUUUGUAACCAUUUUUAUCUGCCAUUACUUUAUUACAAUUUUAUACUUCUAACGGGGUUGGAGUAAAUCUCUUAAUUAGACAAAUAAGAAAAUAGUCAAAUCUCAAUCACCUCUCCUUUCGAGCUUCUAAUUAAAGAUAAGAGAUUUCUCAAGCCCUAAUUAGUCAACUGGACUAUUAGAGAUAUAUUUAAAAUAUUAUAUGAUUCUAUAUAUUAUUAUAUGGUUCUAUAUAUUUCCUUUGAUUGGUCUUGAUUUGUUACUUUAGAUAGUUAUUAUAUAAAGCCUAUAAAUUAGCUCGUGUAUAUCUUUAUUUGAUGUUCUACAUAAUAUUACAUCUUUCAGUCAUUAUGAUUCUCAACUUGGAUGAAAAAAAAUCAACUCCUCAAAAGUAGAACCUCGUCAGUUUACUUGCCUAGCCGCCCAAAACGUUAUUAGUAGACUACACUAUGACAUCACUUCCCUAAAGGUGAUUCGAUUUUUGACCUUUUAAUUACUGUUUUUUUGGUCGAAAACCUAUUAAUUGCACCUUUUUAUUACUGUUGGCGCGGUGAUUUUUGAACUCGACAAGGAUUGCCCAGUCAACCAUGCAACGAGGGGACAAUUUCUACAAUGAGAAACACGCACGCAUGCACUGACUAUGGGAGUCUUCGGAGACAAUUAUUUGUUCCUGCCGACACUAAGGACCCGACCUCCAUGAUUUGGCAAUUUGCUUUUGCAUUCAUAAUCUGGAACGCGGAAUUUAUGCUAAAGAGCUUCUUUGAAUUUUCGAUGUCCCUCUUUUCUUUUUGUGAUAGAAAACUUUCCACGUGGAUGUUUUAUCGUGUUCAAAAGAAAUGUCAACCUUUCAGAUCUACAUCAUGUUUCCAUGAAAGUCUUUACACAUUGCAUUGCGAAGGUGUGUUGAAGAUCCCCAUUCAACCAGCGAAUGCGUCAAAUGCGGGAAAAUUAUCAUAUUAGGUAGAUAGAAUAUGAUUUUCGGCAUAUAAAUAAUAUGAGUCGAAACGUAUACUAUGACCCAUCUUAAAUUUUGAGACCCAUGUUCUCCCUUAAGUCUAAUCAUGGAAACCCAUGACCCACAUGUAUUUAAAUUCUCUAUUCCUUUGUUUUCCAAUUUGAUUUACAUGUUUCUGAUCUUGAUAUUUUCUAACUUUAUUUUGAUCUUAAGUGCACAUGCCAUCACCUUAUGAGAGGAGCACGGAUUAAAAGCAAUGUGAAUAGAUGAGAUCCGCCACUUAUUUAAAAAAGAAAAAUCAUUUUUUUGCUUUGUCAAUUUCUUGACAUUAACUCCUUUCCAAUCUCUAAACCUUCCAAUGUCCUAUUAAAAAGUCUAAAUCAUUCAAUGCUUUUCCACAGUGAUAUUGAAAGCCUAUCCCUUUCUCGAGUCAUGGAAAAAUUACCUCUAUAGCUUGCCACCUAUUUUAUCUUAAAUUAAAAUUUAAGUUCAUUUUUUCAUAGUGACACACAAUUAUUAAACCGAUGAUAGUUAUAAAAUUGACAAUAAAAACCUUUCCAAAUAUCACUAUUUAAAUAAAUUUUCACUAACGAUUACAUCUAUAGUCAUAAAUCAAACCUAAACCUAAGUGAUUUAAGAAAUAUAGCUAGAUGGAAAAAUAAAUAAUCUUACCUUAUAGUGAUGGCCCGCUCAUUGAACGCGGUCCAAUUUGCAUUCUCAGACCCAAUCAAGUUGCAAAAGCUAACCAACGAUCAACGUCAACUCGGUAUGGACUUCACUUAGUUCCCAAAAUUCAGUCCCUUGCAUUGCAUAAAACGAACCAUUUUUACUAAAUUUUUAUUGCAGAGUUGAGAGAGAGAGAGAAAAGGAAUGGCAUGACAUUGAACUGUUAGAUUCUAUUAAUUAAUUCGAUAAUAAAGUUAAAAAAGUAACUACUGGAAGUAAUGGUCCACCGAGAUACAGGUACUUGUCGGAUUCCACUUAAAGCAGCCCUUCUUUUUCGUUCUUUUUCGAUUAGUUACUUAGAGUGCGUUUGGUAACGCUUUUGUUUCCAGGAAUAAUUUUUUAUCAAAAAUAAAUUAUUUUUUUUGUUCUUCAGAACAAUUUCUAAAUAUAAGAACGCACUUGAUAACUGCACAAAAUUUAUAUUUCUGGGAAAGAAAUGUGUUUGGUAAAAUUGUAUAAUUUUGUUGUUUCUUUUAAUUUUUUAAUAUUUUUAUUAUAAUUUUUCUUCUUUUCUUCUCUCUUUUUUCUUUUUUUGUCUCUCUCCUUCUUCCUCUUUUGUGGCCGGUUGCCAGUGACUAGGUUGGCGAGGUCCGACGAGCUCACCGAAGCCUUCUCGGGCCAAGGCGGGAGUUGGCGAGCUCGCCGGAGGCUUGCCUAACCCCCGCAAGGCUCAGCCUCGCUAAAUUUAGGCGAGGCCGAGCCUCAUCGGUGGCCUCCGAGCAUCACAAGGCUCGACCUUGCCCAGGCAGUGCGAGGUUGGCCUUACCUAGCCUAGGCGAGGCCGAGCCUUGCCAUCCCUCGCCUAGCCAUGGCAAGGCUCGAGUUGACGAGCCUCGCUGUGGCUCGGCAUUUCCAGGGGCCAACAACAUUCCGGCAAGGUCGCCGGCCCUCAUCUAAUCGGUUGCCGAUGCCAGCCAUGGCCAAGGCCAACGACCAGCCAAAAGGAAGAAGAAGAAGAAGAAGGAAAAAAAAAAGCAAAGAGAGAAAUAUAUUCUAGAAAUUGUUCUUGGAAAUAAGAAAUUACUUUUAUCUACUUCUCAUUUCUGUUCCAAAUCUAUUCUCGAAAACAAAAAUUUUACCAAACAAGUUUCUAUUCUUUUUUCGUUCCCCCAAACAAAAGAACAAAAAUAGUUGUUCUAGGAAAUAGAAACAGAUUUUAACAAACAGCUCUUAGGAUGCAAGAUUUGGUUUUCAAUUUUAGUGGAAGUCUGUUGGUUUAGAAAUCAGGAUUUACGAAGUUGCAGCAGAUCCGCUGUUUUGCUUUGCUGGGUUGUAAUUGUAAUAGGUGCAACGAAUCACCCACCUUUGAAGUGGACACUUCAAUUUUCGUUGUGGGAUGUUAAGUGUCAACUUCAUCCAUAUUCACUCGGCCCCCACCUCUCAAAUCUCAGGCGGAGCAGACGAACCCAUUAAGCUUUCGGUUUCGGUUUCAACUUGUUUGAUUCUUUUGACAUUAACCAAAGGUUGUUUUGGGCUUUGACUCAUAAUAUAGAACCAUUGAUGGAAUGGAAGUAGUCCGCUGAUGAGGUACGAUGAGGUAGUAAUCCAACAUUUGCAAGAAACAGUGACUAGACAUGCAAGUUUCUCCAGAGAAAUGUUGCGGGUAGACAUACAAGUUUCUCUUUCAUCAUUUCUCAAAGAUGGGAAAGAUGAAAUUGGCCGACCAUCAUCCACACUAAAGACAAAAAAUUGGCAUCUGCUAAGAGAAAUUCUUGAGUAGCAACAUAUAACAGGCCGAGCUCAUGAACAAAACACAUCCAGAGCAAGAAGGUGCCACUUCGCACAUCUCGCCAUUGAAACAAAUGAAAUGCUUCCAUAAUAGAUUCCCUCCUUGCAGUGGCCAACACAUCGUUAUUGUGUGAAGAGGAAGAAGUUGCAACAUUGUUGCUCUUUGAAUAACAAAUGGAAAGAGAUAGCACGAAUACAAACACCAAACUACAAGCCCUUGUCUUUAGGCUUUCCCCACUAAUUAGUUCACAAUACCCAAUUACUGCACUGCAUAACACUCGUUUUGUUUAUAUUACCUAUACCUUCAGUUCCAAAUGUAAGCAAAAGAGAAACUUCGAAGCAACAUUUAAGAGUUCUGCUGCAAGGAUUACCCAAUGAAGCCCUAGUUCUUUCAAUAACUAAUUUACUUAGAACACAACAAACCAUUUCUUACUCUCUCUCUUGUGCCAGUAAUCAGUAUCCAGAAGUACCGGCAGAUGCAGACAAAGUGGUUCCAGUCCAUGGCCCUUCAAUAGACAUACUCUUGCUGAUAUUCUCACCAACUGCCUGAUGUUCGUCACCUCUAAAAUGCUUCUUCAUGGCCUCAAUUUUCUCCUGAGUCAUGAUAGUGCCCGCAGAGUCCAGCACUGGAACAGCAACCUUGCCUUCAAGCAUGCUAACCACAGAUGACAUUGGCGGCCUGAGUGCUGGAGUUACAUUAGUACACAUCAAAGCUACCUUUAUCAAUGCCAAUGCCUCCUCUUUGUUAAAGUGAGAACCAAGCCUCGGAUCAACUAGUUCUAUCAAAUUCUCUCCCUCCUUCAGAAAGUGUGCCUAGAUACAGAAAUGUAAAGUGAAGGCAUUUCCCUUUCAAGCUUCAGGUAUUGAUCAGUUGCAAAAUAUGCUCUAAAUACUGAAACAGGAAGAAGUAUAUUAUCUCCCUUGAUAAUUACACGGCAAAUGCAGUUGAUAAGCACCUGCUAGUUCUAGGGUAUAAAUGGAUAAAAAGAAUCGAAUGAGUCAAUACAGAUCCAACAUGAUUUUUUUUACCGAUUUUAAAUAAAAGAUACUAGACUACAACAUCACUUACUAAUAGUUGACCGGUUGCCAAGAAAUCACCUACACCGUUUAAAAAUCGCCAGCUAUUGUCGAGUUUUAUCAGCACAAAUUAUUUGCCAGUGUCAUUACAUGAAACGGCAGACUUGUCUUUCAAUGUUCUUGAUUAUGCAACUCAGGCGACAAUCAGAUUUAACAAGGACUAAUAAUGAUGGUUUGCUCUAAUGAUUGCUCACUCAAAGCAAAACAAAAUCUAACUUAAGGAGUCAAUCAUAUGAAUGUGAAAAAAGUUAUACCUCAAUCGAAAGUAUAUGGAUAUUCUGGUCAAGACAUGGUCUUGAAAACUUUUUAAUUUAACAGUAAUUGCCAAAAUUCAAUAGUAGUCGAAGGACUUGUUUGGCGCUAAUGAAACUACAGGGAGUAUGAAUGUCAAGCAUAAAAACAUAAAGACUAAAACUGAACUUUCAAGAUCCAUCCUAAAUUAUGGGGUCAACUUCCCCAAAUUUCAAGGGAUAGAAUUUUCUUCAUUCCAAAAAAAAGAAAAAAAAAAGAAUCUACAUGAAAAUUCAGAGUAGACCAACAUGAUAAGAAGAAUUGGAUUAAUUUGCAAUAACAAAUUGCACUUAACAGCAUGACAAUUUGUUAAGCAAGUUUCAAUAGCUGUUAACUGUGAAACUCCUUUGCAACCAUUGAAAGUGCAUGUGAGGAUUUAAAUACGGAUAUGAUCAUAAUUGAAAUGAUAGAGUUGAUUACCCAAUCGAGUAGAUUAAAGCAUUCCUCAGUUCUUUGGGAGCUAGUGUUGCUUCGGCCAUUAACAACUUCUAAGGCAACAACGCCAAAACUAUAGAUGUCGGCUUUGUCAGUGAGAUAACCAUGCAUUGCAUACUCCGGUGCCAUAUAUCCACUGCACAACAAGAAAAGAGCUUGUGUUUGCAACAAGGUAACUGCCUUAAAUAGCACAUACUUAAUAUUCCUAAAAUUCAAAAGAAAGAGUCGUUCCUAAAUGUGACGCUAUGGUCUAAAGAGUAGAGGAAAUAAACAAAUGCAUCCUAAUAUAUUCAAAUAUAUCAUUUACCGAGAAUAUUUCAGGAAAUAAAAAAGAUCAUUGUUGUUCUUUAUAAACUUUUUUUUUGGUUUGAAAUAUAAGUAUCAUUUAUAAGAUGACGUACAUGAGUUUAAGGGCAUUUCCCAGCAUUACAAAGAUAUCUAAGAACAUGCAAAAAUGGAGUGAGGGAAUCUCCAUAUAGUACCCAAUAUUACAUUUAUUUGGGAAGGCCUAAAGUUUUUGUAAUGUGAAGCUCGCCCUAUAACAAGUUUACGAAUUUUAGCCACGAUGAUGGGGACAUCAUUUGACUUGUUUUGGAAAUGUCGAUAGUUACAUUUAUAGUUCUUUUUGUAGAAUGAACGUUAGAGUUAGUAGAAUGAACUUACAAUUUUAUCUUUUCCCUAAUUAAUCACAUUCCUUUCAAAAACAAGUUGACUUUUCACACGCAUUAAUGCAAACAUCUAAAACAUGUGAACAUGCUUAUCUAUGUUUUUCCAUGUGCAUACAAUAGAAACAUGGGCGAAUUUGCUAUAAUACUAAGUUAUAUUCAAAUUAACAAUUACAUAAGUCAAUAUCAGAGUAUCAUUACUUAAUGGUAGAGUAUGACACAAUUUACAUUUUUUUCCUAAUUAAUGUAAAGAGUGGUGGGACAGUCAUAAAGCUUUGUGGUUAAGCUGAAUUUGUUGAGCACCAUGCUUUGGGAUGAUGUGAAUCCACCACAAAGCUCCAUUCAACUCACUUUUCUUAAAUCAGAAUAUAUGUUUCUAUUCCAUGCUUUUAUGUUGUCACUGGCUCCUACUUAGGUUAACAGGAACAAAAAGCAAGAAACUUACUAAGUUCCAGCAAUCUUGGUGCUAAUAUGUGUUUUUUCCUCCUCAUCAAGCUUUGCUAAACCAAAAUCCGAUAUUUUAGGGUUGAGAUCCUUAUCCAGUAAAACAUUAGUAGCCUUAAUGUCUCUAUGCACAAUCUUCAGCCUUGACUCUUCAUGAAGAUAUGCCAAUCCCCUGGCAAUACCCACGCAUAUCUUGUGUCUUGUCCACCAAUCCAACUUUAACUGAAAUUCUUCAGGACCUUCAAUUGUAUCAGAAGACAUCAAAGCUGCUUUACUGCCAUGUCAUUAACUGAAGUCAAUGAAGCACAAUGUGAUAUCAAAUUACCAAAUAAAGCGCGAGCAAGACUGUUAUUUUCCAUGUACUCGUAAACCAGCAAAAGUUGAUUUCCUUCAAUGCAGCAUCCAUAGAGUUUCACAAGAUGUGGAUGCUGAAGAGCAGAAAUCGUCCCAAUCUCAGUCAGGAACUCAUUAUUUCCUUGUUGUGAUUUGGAUGAAAGCUGCUUCACUGCUAUAGUGGUGCCAUCUGACAGAAAACCCUGCAAUUCAACUUUGGCAUCAGAUCUAUGUUGUGAAAAUUGAGUUACAUUGAAUGCUGCUUUCUACAUAUCUUCUCUCUUGGGAAUUGGGGGAAUUUGGUUAGUCAAUUUUCCAGCAUACCUUGUAUACAGAACCAAAACCACCUUCUCCUAUCUUAUUGGCAGCGUCAAAAUUGUUUGUGGCAGCUUUAAUCUGUCGCAAGGUAAAUAAACCAAUUUGCGACGCUAGACCCUUCAAAUCUGCAACACGUUUCAGAACUUCUAUGAAUUUGGAAAAGUCAACAGUUAAAGUAUGUAAUCCACUAUCUAACAAAGAUGUAUCAAUUCCUUCUCAAUAUUCCAGAAAACCUUUUUGUGACGUUUUGGUCUGAGCAAGUUCAGUACAGAAUAGCUUAGCAUCUUGAAAAUUAUUUUCUAGGAAAGUCUGGCAUCAGUUGGCAGUAUGUAUUUUUGAAAAGUAAAAUGAGAUUGUCCCUAGGGUAUUUAAUAGUGAAGGAAAAUAAAAAUCAUACAGAGAACCCCCUUGGAAACAUAGGGUAUGGUUUGCAUGUUUUUAACUUCUCAUGCACGUGAAGUUCUGGCAGCUAUUUUUGGUGUCUUAAAACGUAGACUUUGUGUAUACACACACACACACACAUCUGAGAAACAAUCUACUGUCUCUCCCUAUAACUAUCUAUUCCUUCAUUUUUCGGAUUUCUAAAUAAAAAUUUAGUUUGUUAAGCAAACCAACUGGUUCUAUGACACUUUAGCUGUAUAUCGCCUAAUAAUAAUCUUUGGCUUUUUGCAUCGAGCCAAAUUCCCUAUGGAAUGCACAAAUGUCAUGCAUCAACAGUUUUAUGGGAACUGUAAAUCUAGAUGGAGCAUUAAUGAUCCAUUGUCAUUACACUUUCCCCAACCAGGAAAGUAAGAAGAAGAAGAAAAAGAAGUAUCAUGUGCCAACAGUGUGACAGGACAACUGUGCGAUUUAGCUGAAAUAUAAAUGAAGCAAUGUGACUAUCCUCCCUCUCCACCAGAAUAUGGAAGGGGGAAAAUGUAUUCAGAGUGCAUAACAUUCUCAUAUUUCUUGACAAAUACACAUGGACUAAAUAGCGGAGAUUCCAGGUAAGCAACUACCUUGUGCCAUUUUAUCUUUACGUCCAAGGCAUCCUCUCCACCAAAGGAUAACCAGGAUAAGGAAAACUACAAAAACUAUAGCAGUCAGAAUCCCAGCCACUGUGCCAGCAGAUAUGCUGGCCGGGGGAUCAAAGCCUGUAAUGAAGAAAGAACAAACAAAUAUUUAACCAAAACUGUUAAAUGGGGUAGACGUAAAUGCAGAAAAAUAUCUGUAACUUCUUGUUGAACACAAAGAAAUUGAUGGAGAACACAAUAAUUGAGAAUUAAGAGGACAUAAAACCGCCCAGAGUACUCCACAGAAACUAUCAGAUAAAUGAGCACAGGAAGAUAUCAUCUAUGGAACAUGUAAUACAAAAUACAAAGGGAAAAAAAAAAACAAAAACAAAAAAAAAUUCUACUCUUCAUUCUCAAGGCUGUACUGUAUUAUACAGGCACAGUGGUUGUAAUCCAUAGCAGAAAAGUGAACAAGGCUAUCAAUUCGUAGUCAAAUGGAAGGAUUAAAGAUACAUAGAGAAAACAUGCUCAGAUAGAAAGAACACAAAGCAACCUAUAACCAAUUUUCAACUCUAAGAGAAUAAUAAUAGACCCUGGUCAGCUAUUGUGUGUAAUUGACUUGAUCUACAAAGACAUAUGCCAAUGGCCUGAAUCCAACAGUAGGCAUUUGCAACCAAACCAAGUAACUGAAUAGCCUAUUGAUGACUUCUGGUGCAAGAAAAAAUAUAGGUAUUCCUUUCAACAUGAAUAAGAGUAACUUUCUCAACAGAGAAGCACCAAGCGAAACAUGGAUGUAUCCAUCUGCGUACCAGGGUAGACGGAGAUAGCAGAUAUAAGAGGACCAUAGACUCCUACGUCAGGUAUAGCAGUGGUUCCUUUCCCAGCCCAAUAGAAGCGUAUCUCCAGAGUGCCCUUGGUCACGAUGGCAGCAAAAUUUCUCAUGACCUCCUUUCCAACUCCACCUGCUUCACUCUCAAUGUUGAAAUCUUUCCAAACCAAUUUCCCCUGAAAUAAUAUUUCAUCUGAUUCAAGUUGAGGUUCUCCACACUGAACAAGGUAAAACUUUCAGUCUCCAUAGAAUGUACAAAUUGUGAAAAAAUCAUGAUUUGCAAGUACAAGAUAUUUGGAUAAACUUCCCAACCAUAACAUAUUGAACGCUUUAUGUGCUUUAUAUAUUAGAACCAGCACUCCAUAAUGCUCUGAGUUUACCUGUAUAUAAAUAUUAAAAGCUCUCCUUCCAAGGCUUUUAUAACUUUUGUCGCCUGUGAACAUUAUCUCCGCAAAAUGAAGGGUUACAUUGUAGGGCCCAUCCAUCAGACAAAAACCGUAAUAAGUUAGAGAGAUGGCAGAACGUCGUGCUUCCAUGUAAAGUUGGGCAUUAUUCAUGGACAGUGUGGAUGUGUUUUUAACUUCAUAGCCAACUGCAGUGCCAUCGUCAUCGGUGAAGUCACCAGUGCUACUGUAGGCCCAGUAAUUACUCUUGAAGAAACUUGAAGGUGUAGCCCUCUGUGAGUCAUCUUCGUAUGUGAUGCCCCUUACUUUUGCUUUGCUCCCACCACAAUUUAUGAAGAGGUUAUACCGAGCUGGAUGGAGUAAAGAAGCAGCCACAGAGAAAAUUCAGUUUCUUCUAUUUGUUAAUAUGGAGUGGACUUUCUAGACACACUAAAUAAGCUAGCAUUCACUCAUUGGAAAAUUACAUAGAAACACCCAAGUUAUGAGCAACCCAUUAUUUCAUGCAGGUAGCUUUUGAAAUUAUUAGGGCAAUUAUGCAUCAACCAUUAAAGAUUGACACAAUAGCCAAGAGGAGAGUUGACAAGGAGAUAAAUUUGAUGAGAAAUUACACAGAGAGUAAGAUGCAAUAUUAGAAUCUGAUGAUAAUGAUAGGAUAUGUUAGAAUAAUUUAAAUAUAAAAUCACGCAUUCUUCUAACAAUUUAAACUUUUAAAACAGUUGGCUGUGAUCCUAUAAAAUCUCAUAUGGUAUUAGAGCUGGAUUUCAUGAGUUCAAAUCUUUCGAAGCCUAAUUUGCCUCCCUAAUUAAAUAUGUCCACACUUCAUCUAAUAGCUUAAACUUUUAGAACAAUUGGUUGCUGUCCCACAAAAUUUCAUAGGAGACAGCACGUCAAUUUACAUUUUAUAUAACAAUGACUCUGCAGCAUAUUAACUUACUUUUUGCACAACGUUGACUCUGCAAACAUGAGACAAGUCCACUUGUGGCAGAAUAUGAGGUUCUGAGCAAGUCAGCAAAGAUUUUACUGUUAUAAUCAUCAUCAUUCUUAAUGAAGUUCAAUGCUAAGUACAUAAUCAAUAAAAAUGUGGGUCCUUAGAAAUCCAAGUCUCUCGUUGAAAAGUUAAUCGCAAACAUACGCAUUCUCAACCUCGGAGCUUGCGAACAAGUUGCUGUAGAGAAAAGACAAAAUCAACAUUCAGCAGAGAAAUGGAAAUAUUAUACACAAACAGGAUAUAAGUUACUCAAUAAGUGCACAUUUGGGGGGAGCCCUGGACUGACUGAAGGAAGUAGGACAUACACAGAUCCUUCUUGACAUUCUGAGUCUCCAGCAGCGAAGUUGUUGUAUGAUAAAUCACUACACAGAGAAACAGUCAACCAUUUCCAAAAUCUCAUCAGUUUGAAGAAUACGCUGAAAGUCAUUCCAUCAAAUGAUUUUUUUUUUCAAUAAUUCCAUCAAAUGAUUAGUAUGUACAAAAAUGCAGACAAGUUGCAAAAAAUGGACAGGUAAGGCAAGAUGAAAGGCGAAAACAUCACAAGAUGAUGAAAUUGAUAUUUUAUUCCUACUGAAAAUAUCUUAUCUUAGAAUAUGAAAAGGAGAAAGACUAACGGAAGUAAACGGAGACUUUAAAACUAUUUAUAGAGUAUAAAAAUAUUUUUACUCAGUAACAGUACCACAGUCAUGAUGUCUAAGGCAAAGAGGCUUAAAUAGAACUGUGAUUCCACCUACUACUACGUCGCGUCUUCUACUAAGAAAUUAUCCAGACCACAUUUAUCUGUUUAAACUACCUCACAAGGGCUUCAUUCCUACACCCAUAAGAUAAUAUCAACUUCGCCUAAGUACACUCAUUUUGGUUGUAGAGUUUCUCAAAUACACAAACCCAUUAAAACAUUGUUAUCAGCAAGAAAUGGCCCAAGCAGCUAAUCAUAUACUGCAGGUGAUACGUUAGACAAACUUUCAAAGAGGAUUAAUAGGAGCUAAAAAUUUUCCAAACAUAAUUUUAAUCAUUCCAAUAGGUCUGAAAAUGAUCUACAGCUGGGAAUGGCUUUUUGUAUAGGGGAAAAUGGAGCUAACUAGGCACUUCCCAGAAAAUCCACUUUAUAUUCUUUCAUGCAUAUCAUACAGUUCAGCCUCUUUUGUUACAUACAUCCAUCCAAUUAACAGAUCCCAACGAGGAGAAAGGUACUUAUGAUGUUUCCAUUAUCUCCAAAGGCUACUAACCAUAAAGAUGCAAGAUGUGAAUGCAUAAUUGCUUGGUACAGAGCAAGAUUAGCCAGAUAAAGCUAGAAGCAAAUUCAUGAUUAAACAAGAUAUUUUCUUCAGGCAGCAAAGCUUACACAUUUUUAACUUGCACCAGGAUCCAAUCAGGGACUGCUCCAGUCAAUUGGUUUCCAGUUAGAUACCUAAACAAGAUUAUUUGAACGAGUCAGCUCCUCAUGUACUUUAUACACUCUAACUGAAAUUAUUUAAGACUUAUACCUCAAAAACGCAUUAUUUGGCAGAUUAUUAGCAUUUUUGUUUACUUGUGGUGUAGAAAAAAAUCAGUUUAAGUCAUGAUAACAAUAUAGAGCUUUCAGCUAGAGAUGAAAGAUUAAGGAAAUCAAUGACAGAGGAAAACCCUGAUCCCUGCGAAACUUGGAGCGCCUGGAGAAAGAUUACCAUAACAGUAGUACACAAAGCUGGACUAGCGAAGGGUACCUCCAAAUUAGCUUAUCAACUAUUUCCUCGUGAUAAUGUUUUUGUCCUUCUAAGACAAAAUAAAUAAUUAAGGAAGACGUGCCAUUGUCAAGCUUCAAUCGUAGGGCAGAACGAUGAAAUCCAAUGUUAAACAAUCCAAGAAGCUUAGGACUAUAGUUUCUCAUCAUUCUCAAAACUAGGGUUAAGAUACCAAGGUCCUCCACAGACCUUCCAAAUAGCACUUAAGAGCUGCACUCACCAAACUUCUAGAGCCAUUGUUGUGGAAAGAACCAAGUAGAGAGCCUAAGGACUUUUGCUAUAUUUAAUCUCCUAUACAUCAUAAAAUAGGCACACAAGACAUGCAUUGAGUAAAGAAACAUACAACUGUCAAAUGCUAAAGCAUCACCGAUCCAUUUAACUCUUCUAGCAUAAACAAGUGUUAAAAAAAUAUAUUUUGGAUGUGUGCGUGCGUGCGGAAGCAUGGUUUUGGUAAUAGUUAUAAUUUUUGGUUUGUGGCGUGUGCAAGUGUAUGGUAUAAUUUGUGGAGGAUGAACAAGGGACAAGGUAGGAUAAUUUGAAGGAUAUAAGACAUUAGAUAUGGGGGAAAUAGUUUUAUUAGUUAAACAAACUAGUUUGAUGAAAGUACAAUGAAGGUCUAAGACCUUUCAAGGUGAAGAGUUCACCCCCACAUACAAGGUGGAGGUAACCUCUCACACAAGGUGGAGGGUUUUCUCCUCACACAAGGUGGACCUCUCACACGGUGGAGGUAUUUCCCUCAUACUCAAAUGAUCAACUUCCAAGCCUAUUUAUAGGCGUGAAUUCACCGCCAUACUCCACCGACAUCUAGUACAAAAAUUAAUAUAAAAUUACAACUUUGCUUCUUUAUCUCCUGCUCUUGCGGCUUCUUAGGAUCUUCUGGUGGCUUCUCCAUUUUUCUUCAUUUUUCUAAUCUCAGCAGCUUUUGUUGACUUUUCUUUCAAGAUUUCCCAUGCACAAAUUUCCCAUGCACGUAGAGCUUGUUCUCUUGAAAACUCCAGCAACUACUAUAAUAUUAUUUUAUUGUGUGCCCCUCUUUUCUUGAUCAACUUGGGCUUCUUCACGUGAUCUUGCUGUCCACGUAGUACCAGAAGCUUCUUCAACAUUUGAGGGUCUUCAAGCUUAUUCUUCAUUAAGCUAGUAGCUUCUAGAUUUUGUUGAAAAUGGAUCACCAAUUUCCAACAACAAGUAACUUUUUGAAACUUGUGAAUAAGGCGAAGAAAUGAUCAAAAGGGCUGCUCUUUAAGCAACAGAAUAUCAACGAUCUACGCCUGCUCCAUGACUAAAGUCCCACCAAAAUAAUUACUUGACAAUAAUCAUAAAUUCUUAACUCAAUUCAUUACAAAAUUUGGAUGGUGAAGUAAUAAGCAUUCACGACCUGAGGACUUUGAGAGUUAAAAAAUGAAUAUGUUAUCAUGGUCUAAGUUCUAUUGAUAGCUCAACUACUUUAUGGUAAAAGUUGCCUGUAGCUUGACCAUUAGAAAACUUGAGACUUUAGAUUCUUCUACAAAAUACGAAAAGAAGCCUAAGUUCAGCAUCGAAGUACUUACAUAUAUUCUAAGUUUUCCAGGCUGCAGUAGGAUGUAGGGAUUUUGCCACUCAGUUUGUUGAAGCUGAGGUCUCUGCAAAGCAAGUUUAAGUGAAUAUAUAAUGAGAAGAUACUUUUAACUGACUCCCUCAGGACACUCUUUGAGCAUACUUCAGACGAUUGUACAAACACAGACAACAUCAAUGAACAUACAAAGUCUAGUUCAGAUGUUUAGACAUACAGGUCAACUGUCUAGUGCCUAAGCUUUCUACUAGACAUUCAUCUCCAGAUGCAUUCAUUGCCUAAGUCCAAGUUUCAAGUUGGUCACAUGCUAUAAGUAUACAAAACUGCUGUAAAUCAAAUUUACAAAAUGGAAAUUUCAAUUUAUAUAACUAGAAAAGCUAUUUGGGCACUAAAUUGAGUGCGUCCCGAGGAAUGCACCAUAUUAUAGUUCAGAUUGGGAGAUUUCACUAAUCUAAUAGGACCGAAACUAAAGCUAAUCAUAAUUUGUUGAAAACAUCUCCUUCACAAUAUAUUAUUUAUGAAUAAAGGGAUGCCGACUCAAUACUAGGGUGCUUAGAAAAGGAAAUAUCAGCUUCAGUGAAUAAAAAAAUAAAGAACAAAAUGAGGAUUUCAAAAAACAGUUAGGGAAUAGAGUAUGUGAUAAGCUGCAGCAGAACCACAGAAAUUUGGUCAUUCAAGAAUGUCAGAAAAACAAAAAAUUAAAGCUCCAUUUGUUUCGUGGAAAAUGUAACAUUUUUAGAAAAUGUUUUCCAUGAAGUUAUUUUUUUAGGAAAAUGAAAAUAUUCCGGUGCUUGACUGAAUCCUAAAAAUACCCGGAAAAUAUUUUCCGUCGUUUAGUAUGGAAUAUUUAAUUUGAUUUUCUAGGAAAAAAUUGCCGAAAAUUCGAAUUUUUUAAUUUUUUUUAAUCAUUUUCUUUUAACUUCUUCCUUGGCCGGUUGUUAGCUAUGGCGACAAGCCAUGGGAUAAAAAAAUAUUUUUAUAAGAACAAACAUUUCAUUAACUAAGGAUCCAAACUUGAGCACCAAGGACCUGCACAUGGCCUUCGCGGACUCAACCUAAGUGCUGGGGACUAGAGCUUGAGUGUCAAGGACCCAAGCACUGCUUUUAUGUACUCGGGGUUAGGUAUUAGGGCAUUGGGCUUGGGCACCAGGGCUUCGGGCCCAGCCUCGAUGGACUAGGCCCGGGCGCUGAAGACCUAGUCCUGAAUGCUGAGGACCAAGAACCAGGCGUUGGGGUGUCCAAGCAAAGAGUUGCGGGUCCAAGCACCAAUACCAACUCAUAGUUUGGAAAAUGUUUUCCCACUUUUUCAAAAGAGGAAAUCAUUUCCUAAAUUUAAACAUAGAUCUUUCAUUGACUCGGAAAACAUUUUUCAUUAACUCAUUUUCCUAAACAAACCAAACGUUGGAAAAUCAAGAAAAUGUUUUUCGCGAAACAAACAAAGUCAUGACAGAAUGGCAAAAUGUUGCUGUUAAAAGUAGCGUUUAUUAAAUCUUACAGAGAUGACCACAUGAACAAGAAGAAUUGACUUGUAUAGAGAUGCAUUUGAAGCCAUGCUCUCGUUUGAACUAUGAAUGUUAUGUUUAACAAGUGUACAACAGUCAAGCAUAAAACUCCAGCUAGAUAUUGUAGGGCUGAGAUUCGAGAAUGUAAACCACCGGAAGGAAAGUUUCCAGACAAUCAACCACUAGAAGCCUCCAUUUUGCAUUAAUGCUCUUAAGAAAUUAAGAUGACAUAUUAAAGCAAAAGUAAAUUAGAUGAAAUGGGAAACCACAACCAAGGUAAGAAUUCUUGCUGGAAAAGUGAAAACAAAGAGAGUGUUAGAAUAUUUAAAUAACAAAUCACGCUUUUAUCUAAUAGCUUGAGUUUUUAGAACAGUUGACAAUAGUUCCACAAAUUCUCACAGAGAGAAAAAGUCAAUAUACUUUUGUGCGAAACUCUAUAUUCUACAGCAGAGGCCACAAUCACCAAGAGUUUAAAUGCCACAUCAUUCACAAUUCAGCAAUAUCAAUAGAAAAUAUCAAAACACCAUUGAAGUCAGUAAGGGACCUUCAAGCCAUCUUAAAUGGGUUCUUUAACUGCAACCAAUAGUCAACCAAAAACUAGUAGAAAUUUCACUCCUUAAGGGUAAAAUUAUUUAUUCUGCUUGGAAUAGCCAAAGCGAAAAGCCGCUUUCUACGCACAAUAUUUUUAGAUUUGUCAUAUUUACUAGAUAACCAAGUAGCUCUCCCAUGAGAUUGCAGCUCCUCAGAAUCCUAUAAGAAAAUAACACCGAUAUUGUCACAUUGCUAAGACAAUUUGGCUCUCUUGCAUAAAGUAAACUAUCUGUGAAGGAGCAUUGAUCUCACAGUGUUUCAAUAUUUGUACUGUUAAGUUGUGGAACACAAGACUCGGGUCCAUCGAGGUCACUUAUUCUCCUGCAUAUCAAAAUCAAAUAGGAGCUUUAUUUGAUUGAUAACAUCUUAAAGAAAGAGAGAUCAUAUCGAAAUGCCAAAAUUCCAUACUGACAAGUUGUUCAAUCCCUCCAAAAGUGCGAUCCCAGAGGGAAUCGGCCCUUGCAAUCCACUUCCUUGAAUAACCCUGACGAUACAAUUCAUAUAUGGAAUUGUCUUGGGGGUAUAUCUAUAGAGACCGACUUAAAAGGGGAAGAAGCAUUAAGCCUUACAGUGUUGUGAGAUUUGUCAAGUUCUGAAUGAAAUCGGGUAUCUUUCCCGUGAACUGAUUAUCACCAAGUCGCCUACAGUGCAUUAAACAACAUGAUUCAUAUGAAGGAGAAAUAAUAGAAAGGGCUAACUAUUAGCUGAGUUUGUGGAUACUGGAAACUAACAGGUCAUCCAAUUCCCUGAAGUUAACAAAUGUUUGAGGCAGCUCCCCCGUGAAAUUAUUUGACGUAAGCCACCUGAAACAAUAAAAACCCAUGACAGCACAUUGGUUAAUAGAACCUGAAUGCUGUAUCUCUCAACAGAUCACUCCAAUGGAUAAAAUUCCCUCGCCAGAUACAAAAUCAUCAGCGAAUAAAAACUCGAUGCCUAACACAGAAAUUUGCAUCAAGAGACUCACAAAUAAUAUAACCCGGACAAGUUCCCGAGCUCUGGAGGAAGAGGUCCAGAAAGCCAAUUGCUUUCGACGAAUCUGAGCGGAAUAUGAAAGUUAAAAUCUCGAAACAUCAAUCAAAUUUAAAACAGCGAAGAGGCCAAAGGCGAGCGUCGGGAUGAGUGGUCACUCACAAUCCCUGAAGUGCGGAUAUGUUCCCCAACUCCUUCGGGAUUGGACCAGUCAAUCGGUUUCCGAGUACAGAACUGCACCCACAUCAUCGCAUUUCCCCCAAUCAAACAAUAAAACAUACACUCGUGAGAGAGAGAGUGAGAGAGAGAGAGAGAGCAUACAUGUCGGUCAAGUUCGUAAGGCCCCAUUCUUUUGGAAUUGAGCCGCUCAGGUAGUUGCGGGAGACAAUACUGUUUAUAGAGAGAGAGAGGAUGAUGAAGAAGAAGAAGAUCGAAAAUGGGGGAAAGGGGAAAUGGAGAAAGAGAGUGCUUACAAUGUGUCGAGGAAAGGCAAUCUGAACAAUCGAGGCGGAAGGGUGCCAGCAAGAGAUUGCUUCCGAAGAACUCUGUUUUCGCAACGACACGAAGGCUUUAUUCUAGCUUUACUUGAAAACUAGGCAUCAAAAUGAUGUUACAAAAUGGCUUUAUUACAUCUAUUGAUAUGUAUACAUAAAUCUCAAUUGAUUCUAAAUGAAAAAAUUCUUCAAAAAUUGCCUAAGAAAAAGAAGGUUUUGUUUAAAGCAAAUGAAUAUAUAGCUAAUGUGAAAAGCGCGCAUCACUCAAAGUACAGCCCUACCAUGCAUUAGUAUGAAUAAUUUAUGUAAUAAAGAGAACCCUUACAAUUAAAGUUAGAGGGAAUAUAACCCUCAUCACUUUGAUAUUUAAUCAUGAUCUUUGAGUUUGACAUUCCCAUUAAUCACUAAAAAUGUAAUUUAUAUAAUUAAAUGCUAAGCAUAUAAUAUGUGAUUGUAUUGAUUAAACUUAUAAAAAUUUGUAUAAUCAUACCGUGAACAAUUAAUAUUAUGCUCAUAAUUACUUCAUGAGUAAUUUUAAUAUGAUAAGAGAUUACAUAUUGUUGCUACAUUUCCACCAAAAAAUCGGCUAAUGUUUUUAUUUUAUUUUAUGAAAUACUAAUAUGGUGCAAAGAGAUUCAACUUGGUAGCCAGUCAACUCUAUAAAGAGAAAAGAUUGGUGUGCAAUUGCAUGAUUAAAAUUAAAGUCUAGCGAGGAAUCUACGAUGGUAUAAUUCAUGAAAUUGAGGGAGAAAGAGACAUGCUGAUGACGUGAAUAGUAGUGUUGUUGUGGGCAUUGGUAAAAUUGUCGCAGGUGACGGUGUUGGUAGUUGAAGAAUAGUCUUUGUUGUCACCCCAUCCACCCUCUACACCGCAUGGAUCUGCGUUGAAAUCCCAAUCCGAUUUCCCUAACAUCUUUGCUAUUUCUUUCAACGCAUCCACUGAAAGAGAAAAGAGUCGAUAAGUCAAAGGAACAGCAAUGUAUCGUGCAAAGCAAGCACAAAGAAUGUCAGAUUCACAUGUACUUGAGAUUGAAUAUAUGUAUGAAAAACAAGCACCAAAAAAAAAAAAAACCUUGGUGUACGUUGGAGCACAAAAGGUAAAGGAACAAUAUGAUGAAAGCAAUAAAAGAUCGAUGGGUUUUUUUUUUUUUUUUUUACCUUCGUCUUGGGGCAAAAGAGUGGCGGCAACAGCUAAGGUAGUGAUGCUAAGAAGGACGAGCAUAGAGAAGAGAUAUCGAGCCGAGAAGAGAAUCAUCAUCAUUUCAGUCUCGAGCUCGACACACACAUAGAGAGAAAGAUCUACCGUUCUUUAAUCGGAGUCUAUGAAAACAAAACUCGGCUAAGCAAGGGAGCAAGAGAGAGAGAUAAUUGUUAAGUGGGCAAUCUGACUUCAUGCAUUUAUGUACAAAAAAAGGGAGAGUGGAUAAAGACUUUUUGCUCUCGUAUAUUUGACGACCUCAAGUCUUCCUUGAACAUAUCAAUAUUCAUCUAGAAUUGAGUGAGUUUUGGUUCAACUUUUAUUGCAUAAUAACUUUCUUGGACCACAGAGAGAGAGAGAGAGAGAGAGAGAGAGAGAGAGAGAGAGAGAGAGAGAGAGAGAUGUGAUUGUUAAGUGAGUGGUACGAAAAGAGAGAACGGACAAACCUCUUUGCUCUUGUAUGUCUGGAUGUGAGAGUGAUGUGUGAGAGUGAGAGAGAGACGACCCAAAGUCUUCCUUGAUUGUUAAGGAGAGACGACCCCAAGUCUUCACGAAAAAGAGAGAACAGAUAAAGACUCUUUGCUCUUGUAUGUCUAGAUGUGAGACCGAUGUGUGAGAGUGAGAGAGAGACGAUCCCAAGUCUUUCUUGAUUGUAGGGAUAUCCAUCUAGAAUUGAGCUGUUAAGCUUUUGAGCUUGCCCAUCUCUUCUUGUGUAAUAACCUUUUUCAUAUUGUCAGUUUUGAAAGGGCUAGUGACAAUACCUAGAGGGGAGGUGGAUAGGUGUAAAAAUAAUUUCGCAAGAUUCAGUAGAAGUAAUUUGCUUUUAGAAAAUGACAAACUAUAAACAAGUUCCGACUCUAGCAACAAAAUAAAGGAGUUCAAGGAAGAGAAUACGAACACAAGGUUUAUAGUGGUUCGGCUUAAAUUAAGCCUAUGUCCACUCUCCCACGCUGACAGCCUACUGGUUGGAUUCCACUAAUAAAUAAAAGAGAUUUUACAAUUUUGUGAUCUCAACUUCACAGCGAAGAGUCUGCUUCUCUCUCACAAAGUCACACUAUAAGUUUUUCUCUCUUUUGAGUACAAAUUUGAGCUCAGUGAAUGAAAUAACAAUAAACUAAGAAGUUUCAGACUUUGAAAUUUUUCUUUCCCGCACACAUCGAAUGACUAGAGACAUCUCCUUUAAAUACUCUUUCAUAUUGUCUCAAUCAUUGUACUUUCCAAAGAAAUUCUUUCAAUCUACCCGUUGGAUAGAAUCAAUCAAGGAGAUCUCAAGUCGUUUGAUAAUUGUGAUGAAAGCCCGUCAAUCAUAUUCACCCUCAAGAUUUUGAUUUCCAUAAGUAGAUAAUUUCCAAGUUUACUUGCCUUCCAAGAAAUUUGAAUAUCGAAAUUGAUUCCAAUAAAGAUAAAUAAUCACGUAGGUGUUAUAUUCAACCAGAAAGCCAUCCAUAAGCCAUACAAAUCGAAUUCUUGAAGAAAUAAAGAUAAUCCUACGUCUGGAUAAGUCUUCAUUCUCCAAUAGCAUUUAGUAUGUAAUUUGUUAGUGUGGACAAACUUUGAACCUAAAGUCUGGCGAUUUUCAAACUUUGACACUAAAUUUUGGAAUUCUUCAUAAUAAACUUUGUAUAAGUUUUGUCAACUUCAAAAUAUUAAAGGAGUUUUCUCCAAUAAUCUCCCCCUUUUUUUAUGGUGACAAAACUUUCCUACAUAUUUGAGAACUUUCUUUUUUAAGAACUUUUGAUCUACAAAUAAAGGACAAAUGAAAUCAAUUUUGUUUUGGAAUUCGAACGAGCUAGAAAUCUCCCAUUGACUGAAUUAUCUCCUCAAUCUUCUGGCACUGGAGAGAAACAUUCUAAACUAUAGUCUGAACAGUCUUCAGCAUUUCAACAUUUUCAUCAUUCUUUACCACAGAUUGAGAAACUUGCUGAUUCAGAGUCUAUACCUAUCCAAAAAACUAUACCUUUAUGUCAAAAGAUUGUACUGUCCUAGUGUGUAAUUCAGAAGACGAUUUGAGGGCAACAUGAAGUUUCUGUAUCUCAUACUCCAUAGCAUAUUGCUGGGCUUUCACCUCCAAAAGAAGUUCCAUCAACCUUGGAUAAUCAGCAGUUGUGUCAAUUUGUGCACUAGCUUUAGUGAAAUGAAUUCGAGGAGUGUUGAGAAUUGAGAGGACUUCAGCUUGUCGAACACCUUCACUUGGAGAGGAUUCCUCAAUGCUAGUUUCAGGAAAAUGGGAAGUAUAAACAUCCUCUGGAUCGGCAGGAGAUCUACUAACAUCAUCACCUGUAAAGAUUGGAGAAAAAGAAGUACCUAUUUGCUCGCGAACUCCCCUUGUUUUUGUGGCUACAAGUGGAGAAAGGAAUUUUUCUUCUUGUUUCUUCUCAGUUUCAGCAUCAGAGUAAUGGUCUUUUUCAGUUUGAGCUCCUACAGUUCCACUCCUUGCCUUCUCUAAAUCCUCAAAUAAGGAUACUGCCAAAGUUGGUUCAAUGGAAUCAUCAUGACCCUCUUCUUCUUCAGCUUCUCUUCCUGCUUCUUCUCUUGCCUUUGUUCUUUCUCUGUCUUCACUUCCUUCUUUUAUUUGCUCAGUUUCUCCUCUUGCUCUGUCUUCUUUGUCCUGUUGCUGCUCAAAACUGACAAAACUCUUAAGAUUCUUCAACGCAAAGGUAGAGAUAGUAAGAUCAUCUUCAUCCUCUUCGUCUUGUAGGAUAAGAGAUCUUUUCUUCUUAGCAGGUUCAAGCAUGAGCUGCUUGCCUUUCCUUUUCUGUACAACAGAGUCAUGUUUGGUUUUGUUGGGGGACUUUUCCUUCAAGCGCUUUAGGGCUUUGUUCAGUUCCUUCAACCUCAUCUUGGACACCAUCUUCAGUCCUAUAACCAUAGGAGUAAUAGUUCGAACACAGAGAGAGGCUGGAAGCUGAAUGUGAAAAUGCCUGAACAGUUGUGGGACCAGCGCCGAGUAAGGGAGCUGGCCCUUAUCCUUUACAAUAGUCUUGUACAUAUGCAUCAGGAUUGUAUGAGGCAAAGAGAACUUCAUUCCAUUACUGAUGGCAAACAUCAGUUUCGCUUCAAAUCGAGAAAAAUUUGUCUUUGAAGUUGACUUUGGUUGGAUGCAAUUGAUUAUGACUUUGUGUAGCAAAAUGUUUAAGGUAGACAGUCUAGAAUAAGUAAUGCUGCCUUUAGAAAGUCUAUCUCUAACAAGAGAACUUGUCGCAUGACUAAUAGAGACAUUUAUUGGUUGGAAACUACCUCUUUCCACACCAAUAACAUUAGUCAACGUGUCAACAUGCACCACGUAAGCUUUCUCCAUCAUAGUAAAACGAAAUCUAUUCGAGUCAAGAAAAGACUGGUUCAAAUAGAAAUAAGCAGUUAACUUAAAAUAAGCAACAUAAGUUUCAGAGCAAAAAUUUUCAAGUUGAAGGAGAGUCAACUUCUCCCUCAAGUUCACCUUUAUCAUAUCCAAGAAAUCAAAGAAGAUCGAUUGAGGGUUCAUCACCCAUCUUUUUAGCAAUUUUGAGUAAGUCUUUCCAUAAUCUUUAUAACGAAACAAACUCAUUUCAUUACUACGCACUUUAGUAGCAAUGCCCAUUUUUGGUUGAAGAUUCGAGUACAUUCUCUCAUCAUCAUCCUUGCUCUCCGGCUAAUUGAAAGAACCAAAACGGGGAUCAACAAGAAAGUUACGAAUUGCUCUAUCAGCCUCUUCUUAAGGUGAUAUUCCUAAUCUUUCCAUCGUUCGCAAGAACUGAGUUUCAUUCUUGUAUCAUCUUUCUUUUAGAAAGUCAUCAAUAAAAGUCAUAGUAGAACCACCCUUCUUCAAAUGACUAUAAAGUUUAUAAAUAACUUGGGGUUUCAUGAAUCUGAGAGGUUCGGCAUCUUCCUCGAUUUCUUCUUCCACUAGUUGACGCAGAGGAUUUUGUGUAAUACGUUGUGGAGAAUAUUGUGGAGAAUCUUCUUCCUCGAUCAGAUCAAAAUGUGUAGGACCCUCAGGCAUAUUCCGUGGUCCCCUACUUGAGAUCCAAGAUGACUUCCUUUGUAAAGACAUCUUCACAGUCUUUGAGGAUUUCCCGAACAUGUUCGAAUGAAAAAGAUGAAAACUUGAGAGUAAAAAUGAGAGAGUAGAAAGUCUGUAUGCUAGGGUUUGGUAAAAGUGCUCGAAAGGAAUACGAAAGGUAUAUAAAGAAAAUGAACGGUCACAAAUAAAAGAAAACAAAUCGUCACAAAGAAAAUUACCUUUUUCGAAAUAAUUGAAAAUAAAAACUGCCAAAAAUUCAAAAUUCGAAAAAAAUAACUUCCAAAAAUAAAAUAGGCAAACAAUGAUUCGAUUAAACAUACAUUUUAAUUCCAAAAAUAAAAUACCUAGAUUCUAUUAUUGAAGUAGAGUUUAGAAAGUUUGAGUCUGACCAAUAUCAGACUUCAACCGGUAGGAGGUAAAAUAUUCAAUUUGGUGUGAAUAGACUAAAAUAGAUUUUUUUUCUCCGAAGGCUUUGUAAAUAUAUCUGCCAACUGAUUCUUCGAGUCAAUGAACUGAAUCAUAAUCUCCCCAUUUUGGACAUGAUCUCUUAUGAAAUUGUGUCGAAUUUCUAUAUGCUUUGCCAUUGAAUGAAAAAUUGGAUUCUUCGUGAGAUUAAUAGCACUGGUGUUGUCGCAUUUAAUCUUAGUAUACGAUUCUUCAUUUUCAAAGUUUCUUAACUGUUGUCUUAUCUACAAAAUUUGAAAACAGCAGCUCCCAAGAGCCACAUACUCUACUUCUACUGUUGAUAGAGCCCUAGUACUCUACUUCCUUGAGAACCAAGACACUAGCAUGCUGCCUAGUAGUUGACAAGUAUCAAAAGUACUCUUUCUAUCGACUUUACAACCUGCUAAAUCUACGUCUGAAUAUUCAAGAAAAGUAAAGUCUCAUUCUUUGGGAUACCACAGACCUAGCUUUGGAGUAAUUGCAAUAUAUUUGAUGACACGUUUUGCGGCACUUAAAUGAGAUUCUUUGGGAUCAUAUUGGAAUCUAGCAUAGAUGAAACACUAAACAAAAUGUUAGGUCUAGAUGCAGUAAGGUAAAGAAAAGAACCGAUUAUGCUUUUGUAAAGCUUCUGGUCUACUUUAUUUCCUUAUUCAUCCUUGUCCAGCUUCAAAGAACUUGAUAUUGGUGUCUCCAUCUUCUUGCAAUUUUCCAAUCUGAAUUUAAUGAUGAGAUCUUUUGCAUACUUCUUUUAAUGGAUAAAGAUACCUUUCUUCGAUUGCCUAAUUUACAAUCCUAGAAAGAAAGUUAACUCACCCAUCAUACUCAUCUCGAAUUCAUCCUGCAUACAUCUAGAGAAUUUCUUGCAUAGAUUUUCAUUAAGGGAUUCAAAGAUAAUAUCAUCAACAUAAAUUUGAACCAACAAAAAAUCUUUACCCUCUCUUUUUAUGAACAAAGUAGUAUCUAUCUUUCCCUUAACAAAACCAUUUUGGUUUAGGAAUUUACUUAACCUUUCAUACCAGGCUCGAGAUGCUUACUUCAAUCCAUAGAAGGCCUUUUUCAGUCUUUAGACUGAGUCUGGCUUUCUUGGAUCUUCAAAUCCUAGUGGUUGUUCCACAUAGACUUCUUCUUGGAUAAAUCCAUUUAGGAAGACACUCUUUAUAUCCAUUUGGAAUAACCUGAAAUUUUUAUAGUAAGUAAAAGCAAGUAAUAAUCUAAUUGUUUCUAACCUCCCUACUGGUGCAUAGGUCUCGUCAUAGUCUAUCCCUUCUUCUUGCAUAUAUCCUUUGGUAACGAGUCUUGCUUUGUUCUUUACCACUUUUCCUUUCUCGUUCAUCUUGUUCUUGAAAACCCAUUUUGUCCCGAUAACAGACUUACCUUUAGGUUUAGGGAUUAGCUCCAAAACAUUGUUGAUGCUGAGUUGUCUGAGCUCUUCUUGCAUAGCUUCGAUCAACUUUCAUCAGACAGGGCUUCUUCUACAUUUUUGGGUUCUAUAUCAGAAACAAAUGCUAGAGCACUAGACUAUUCUCACCUUGUGGAUCUAAUGCGAAUUCCUUCAUUGAUGUUGCUAAUGAUGAGUUCUUUGGGAUGACUUGACUUAUGUUUCUAGUUGUUGGUUGGUCUGAGAGUCUGCUGAUCCUCUGCUUCAGUUGAAUCUUCUAGAUUUGCUUGUUGCUAAUCUUCAGAAGUCUGAACUUCUUUGGGGGGUAAGUAGACUUUGAAAAGUCUAUAAUGGGUUCAAAUUCUUCAAGUUGAGUCUGAUCUAGCUGAUUCUGCACUGAAUCCUGAAAUUUGACAUUCAUGAAUUAUUCCACAGAUUGAGUCUUUUUGUUAAAGACUUUGUAUGCUUUGCUUGAAGUUGAGUAGCCAAGGAAAAUUCAUUCGUCUGAUUUUUUUUCAAACUUCCAAUUCGAUCAUUUGCAUUUUUCAAAACAUAACAUUUACGGCCAAAUACAUGGAAGUAAGAAACAUUUGGUUCUUCCCUUUAUACCCUUCAUAAUGAGUUUUCUCUAAAAUAAGUCUCAAGAAUACUCUAUUGAUGAUGUAGCAAGCUGUAGAAACUGUUUCAGCCCAAAAUUAAGAGGACAUUUUGCUCUCAAUUAAGAGGAUUCUGGCCAUCUCCUAUAAAGAUCUAUUAUUCCUUUCCAUGAUCUCAUUUUGUUCUAGAGUGUACGGAGAAGAGAAAACAUUUUGGAAACCAAAUUUAUCACAGAAUUUCGCAAAAUCUUGAUUUUCGAAUUCACCUUCAUGGUCUGUUCAUAUGCUUAAAAUAGCAUAUCAUUUUCAUUCUUAACCUUCUUGGCAAACUUUGAGAAAUAGGAGAAUGCUUCAGACUUAUUUGCCAGAAAGUAAACCCAAGUAAAGUGAGAGUAAUCAUCCACGAUUACUAGACACUACUUCUUUCCACCAAUAUUUUGAGUUCUGAUUGGUCCAAAGAGGUCCAUAUGUAGAAGCUGCAAAGCUCGAUUAGUAGAAACUUGACUGACAGAUUUAAAGGUAUUUCUAACCUAUUUUUCCAAAACACAUGGAGUGCAUAGAUAAGACUUUUGAUAAGUCAAGUUAGGAAGACCACGAACAAGCUUCUUGGAAGAAAUCUUGGCAAUAUGCUUCAUGUUAACAUGACCAAGCUUUCGAUGUCAAAGAUUUGCUUCAUCUUGAAUAGAUAUGACACUGAGAACUUUUUAUUUUUAUAUGCAAAAGGUAAAUAUUCACAUGCCUUCGUCCAAUGAAAGAUUGAGAGAAAUCUCUACUCGUUCCCAAAUAGAUGCUUUCUUAGAAAUUUAUUUUGAAUCCAGUAUCACAAAGCUGACUUAUGCUGAGUAGAUUAUAAUUCAGACCUUCCACCAAGGAGACAUUGUUGAUAGUCAAGCUUUCAAUCUUCACGGUUCCACAUCCAACAAUCCUUCAUUUGCUGUUUUCACCAAAAGAAACUUUUCCGCCAUUCAAUUGAACAAGUUUUAUAAAACAACUCGAAUAUCCUAUCAUGUGUCUUGAACAUCCACUAUCCAAAUACCAUUUGAUCUUCCUUUUGAUAGUGACUUAAGAUCAAAAUAGAAAUUCAAAUUUUCUUUGGUACCCAGAUUUUCUUGGGUCUAGGAGGGUUAGUAUUAAAAACAUUCUUAACCCAAUCUCUCUUAACAGGUCUCCAAAUCUUGGGACAUUCAUUCUCGAAAUGUUUUGAGUUGUUACACUUUGAACAUUUGAGAGCACUUCGGCCAACAGGUUUUACAAAAACCUUUUGAAAGUAACUUUUGUAAAAUGCCCUUGUAGGUCUUUGUUUGAUUCUUUCUUUAAUUUUGGGAAAAUCAAUUAAAUGAAUAGUUUCUGAAGUCAUACCCAAACUGGAUUUAUUAAAAUAAGGUCUUUGUACUGAAAUAAUUUUCUCCAACUUCUUAGAUCGUUUUGAAAAUCUUUUUAUAAUAUUUGAAAUAUCUUCUUUCAAAAAGGCAUUUUCCAUCAAAAGAAAACCAGAAUUGACUUUCAAAUCAAUAAGACUUUUAUCCAGACUUUCAAACUUUUCUCUCCAAGAAGUUUCCUGUUGCCUCAAUUUAGAAUUCUUCCUUUUUAGUUCGGAAAUUCUUUUAAGAGAUGUUUUGAGACUGAGACAAAGUUCAUCUAUAUAUUUUGAGACUUUAAUAGGAAUUUUUAAAUUGCUAACCUUAACUUCUUGAUCAGAAUCUGAAUCAGAGUAUGUUUCUGAUUUUGAGUAUGAAUCAGAAUGGGUCAUCAAACAUAUAUUGGCAUAUUCCUCUUCACUUUCUCCGCACUCAGUAUCACUCCAAGUUUCUACUUUGAGAGCCUUUUUGUAUCUCUCAGUUCUUCCAUUAUUUUUCUUCAACAGAGAACAAUUAGGUCUGAUAUGCCCAUUUUUCUUACAUUCGAAGCAUAUUACAUAUUUGCUUGUUUCAUUAUCCUCUGUCAAUCUCUUUUGGAAAUUUUGAGUGCUCUACUUAUUCCAAUUGAAUCUUCUUCCCUUCCUUUUCAACUUUCUAAACUUCUUAAUCAUAAGUGCUAGCUCCUUAUCAUCCAAGUCAUCUUCUGAAUCUGUAUCAUCAGAAUCAUCGUUAGAUUUUAAAGCAACUGACUUCUUACCUUUAUGAUCUUCUUCCUUAUUGAUUUGCUCCACUUCAUAUGAUUGAAGUGUGCUACUAGUUUGUCUAUUGAAAGAAGCAUGAUCCUCUGGAUUUCUCUAAUUGACAUUUUCACAUGAUUCCAAUCUUUGAAGAGUCAACACAGUAGUUUAUUGACCUUCAUUGUUCCUAAGAUUGGUUGUCCUUGAUAUGCCAAUCCAUUCACGAUUUCAGUGAAAUGACUGAGCAUAUCAAUUAUGGAUUCUCUAGGUUUCAUCUGAAGGUUUCAUCUUGAAGGCUUCAUCUUGAAGGCUUCAUACUGUUCGAGUAGAAUAUUGAUUUUUAUUUCCUUUACUCAAUCAGUUCCUUCAUAGGUAACAUGCAACUUGUCCCAAACUUCUUUCGUUGUUUCACAGGAAGAAAUUCGGUUAUACUUAAUAGGAGAUAAAGCACAGUAUAAAGAGUAGAUAGCUUUAGCAUCAAGAGCUUGUCUCUUGGUUAAUUCUACUUGUGUUAUUUUGCUAGCAUCUAUAGCUUCAUUUCCUCUUUCUGAAGUUGAUGUAAUUUAGGGAUUGAUCCAUUUUUCUACCACAUCCCACUCCAGGGGAUCUUUUGAUAUUAGAAAUGCCUUCAUCUUGUUUUUCCACACAUUAUACUCCUUCCCAUCAAAGUAAGAAGGUCUAGUGUUGCUUUAGCCUUGAACCAAACCUAGAGCCAAAACUUUUUGCUCUUGUAUGUCUGGAUGUAAGAGUGAUGUGUGAGAGUGAGAGAGAGAUGACCCCAAGUCUUCACGAAAAAGAGAGAACGGACAUAGACUCUUUGCUCUUUAUGUCUAGAUGUGAGAGUGAUGUGUGAGAGUGAGAGAGAGACGACCCCAAGUCUUCCUUGAUUGUUAAGGAGAGACGACCCCAAGUCUUCCUUGAUUGUUAAGGAGAGACGACCCCAAGUCUUCAUGAAAAAGAGAGAACGAACAAAGACACUUUGCUCUUGUAUAUCUGGAUGUGAGAGUGAUGUGUGAGAGUGAGAGAGAGACGACCCCAAGUCUUCCUUGAUUGUAGGGAUAUCCAUCUAGAAUUGAGCUGUUAAGCUUUUGUCCAUCUCUUCUUGCGUAAUAACCUUUUUCAUAUUGUUAGUUUUGAAAGGGCUAGUAACAAUACCUAGAGGGGAUGAAUAGGUGUAAAAAUAAUUUUGCAAGAUUUAGUAGAAGUAAUUUGCUUUUAGAAAAUGACAAACUAUAAACAAGUUUCGACUUUAGCAACGAAAUAAAGGAGUUCAAGGAAGAGAAUAAGAACACAAUGUUUAUAGUGAUUCGGUUUAGAUCAAGCCUACGUCCAUUCUCCCACAUUGACAGCCCACUGGCUGGAUUCCACUAAGAAACACAAGAGAUUUUACAGCUUUGUGAUCUCAACUUCAAACUGAAGAGUCUGCUUUUCUAUCACAAAAUCACACUAUAAGUUUUUUUUUUUUUGGUACAGCCGCGCCAUAAACCCCCAAGUGACACUUAAGCAGGAGGACCCACCACCCCUGAGUCACACUUAAUACAUCUAGCGCCUCCCCUGGGUUUUGAACCCUUCACCUCUUCGUUGAGGAUCAGCAGAGUCUUAUCCAGUGGAGCCACCGCAGCCGGUGGUAAUCACACUAUAAGUUCUUCCCUCUUUUGAGUACAAAUUUGAGCUUAGUGAAUGAAAUAGCAAUGAACUAGGAAGUUUCAGACUUUGAAAUUUUUUUUUUAUGCACACAUCGAAUGACUAGAGACAUCUCCUUUAAAUACUCGUUCAUGUCGUCUCGACCGUUGGCACUUUCCAAAAGAAUUCUUCCAAUCUACCUGUUGGACAGAAUCAAUCAAUGAAAUCUCAAGUCGUUUGAUGAUUGUGAUGAAAGCCCGUCAAUCUUGUUCGUCCAUACAAUGAGGAUUUUGGUUUUAAUAAGUAAAUACUUUCCAAGUUUACUUGCCUUCCAAGAGAUUUGAAUAUCAAAAUUGAUUCCAAUAAAGAUAGUCAAUCAUGUAGGUGCUAUAUUCAACCAAAAAGCCAUCCAUAAGCCAUACAAAUUGAAUUGUUGAAGAAAUAAAGAUAAUCAUGUGUCUGGAUAAGUCUUCAUUCUCCAAUAGCAAUCAGUUUGUAUUUGUCACUGUGGGCAGACUUAAACCUAAAGUCUGGCGGUCUUCAGACUUUGACACUAAAUUAUGGAAAUUCUCAUAAUAAACUUUCGAUAAGUUUUGUCAACUUCAAAACAUUAAUAGAGUUUUCUCCAACAAGUUUAUCCAAUCCCUCUUUUCAUAUUGUUCUUCCAAUGACAAUAGUCUUUUUCAUUGCUCUAAUUUUGGCAGUCGACACCAAAUUUUUGUUGUUGACUUAAAGUUAAGUUAUAUAGAAAAUGAUGGUUUAAUUUUUAGCCUCUAAAAAAAAAUCCAUUAAACUACACAGCAAAGCACUGGUCAACGCUAGGGCACGAAGGAGGAGAAGGGAUUGCUGGGGUAGCCUAUGGACUGGCCAACGCGCAAGAGACUGAAGGGUGAAGAGUCUCCAUCGAUUGGACUCUUCCACAAGUCAAGAGCCUAUAGAAGGAGGCCUCUGGACGCUUAUCGGGGAGUUUAAAGAGGUUUAGCACAUAAGGAAAAAAAUGGAGAUAGAGAAAAUAGAGGAAAAAAGGUCUGCAAUGAGAAAUUGAGUGAGUGUCCUCCAACAACAGACACACUCGAAACCUGGCCGACAACCUACGGAUGUCAGCCUUCUUCUCGAGCUGAAGCCAUGGUGGGUCUUGGUUCUAAUCUUGUUUGUUCUUCUUUCGGGUGUGUCACGUCGAGUUCCCAAGGAUUCUGGCUCGGAGGCAUGCAAGGUGACCGAACAUUAUCCAAUCUAUCGAGCUCACCCUCAUUCGCCACCCCCAAGCCGGUUAGGGAGCACCAUCAAUGGCCCCUUUCUGUCCCUCAUCGUUAUGAUUUUGUGGCUUGAUUCGGGCUUGCCGGACCAGGCUACUGUUGUCAAUAAGUCCAUGAGCGUUCCCCGGUCGCUUUAGGUUUAAGGAAUCUGGGCUUGUUUUAAUGUGGAGAGUUUGAGUGUGAUUCGGCAUUGAUAAUGGUGGGCUUAGUUUGGCUUGUUGAGUUUGGGUUUAAUUUGGUUGAAUGGGCUUGGAAUUUGUCCUAGUUGUGGCCGAAUUGCGCCUCAACUGUUGAGCCCAUCCCUUUCUUUAGGCUUUUAUUCAAAGCCUGACCUGAAGGCCCACGGUAGUCCACAUCCUGACUGGGCUCUAAGGCCCUACCCGAAUACGCAUCUUCGGAAUAAAAAAUUAAUAUUAUUUAAAAUAUUUUCAAAAUAUUUCCAAUUAUUUUAUUUUAUUUUUUUAAGUUAGGAUGAAGCUUAAUAAUUAUUUUUUGAGUAGUUGUCUCUUAAAAUAUGUGAAAAUCCUUGAUAAAUAGAUUGUGCUUUAUCAUAUUGUUAUUUGCAUAUUUCCAUCAUUUCGAUUGUGCGCUUUUUAUAAUCUAUUUCCUUAGCCUAGUUAAGAAUACAUUUAUUGGACUCAUGAAUGCUGCAUGAGUACUUUAUUUGGUGAUUGAACAAGAAUAAGUACCAAAAGGGCAUUAGUUGGCUAAUUAGUGUGGUGAUUUGUAUGUCAAAAACUCAAAGCAUAAGUUGCGAAUUAGUAUGAGCUUGAGGGAGUUCGAGCUAGAUUUGAACUUAACAAUCCAUUAGCCAAAUUCUUAGUGGUCCAUCCAAGGAUAGGUCACAAAAAUUUUGCUAUGACCAUAUCUUAUAUUUAGGUUAUUAUAUUAUUUAUCGAUGGUGGAGUCCAAAUUCCAUUAUUCUUAGAAACUUCAUUAGCUCAUUCGGGGUUAUGGCUGUGGAGACCCAAUAAUGUGGAGGCCAAAGAAAUACCCUUGAAGCCCUACAAAUCGGUUAAGUUCAAAUCUUCGAACCUAGACCUAAUAUUAUUUGCACGCUGUUGGUGGUAUCAUAUAUGUUAAAUAUAAAUAAUGGACAAAAAUUGUCCUAUUAAUGUGGUUACACCACAAAAAUAUCAUAUAUGUCGAGUUGGAAUCUAAUUUACAUAGACAUAAUAAUAUCUUAGGAUUUUUUAGGACAACAAUUGAAUUGUACGAUCGUGGAAAUUAAAAUAUUUGGUAGCAUAGUCUAUCCCAUUCACUAAUAGGUGCAUGUUGAAAAGUGUUUCACCCAUUCAACAUGGAAUUAUUUGAAAUAAAUUUGAUUGAAUUUGGAUUCGGAGCAUGAGGGUUUUGUACUUUGACUUGCUUUGGCCUAACAUGGCCUAUUUUAUCUCCGUUCCAUGUUAUAAAUCUAGACACCAACUGUAGAAAAAUCGCGGCACAUAAAACAAAAGUUUAGACUCAGACCAAAUACUAAUGGUUCCAUGGGUGAGGUCAUGCACAAGACUUAGGCAAAACGUCAUCUUCUUUGCAUGUUUAGUCAGAUUAAUGUCAAGUCAUAGAGGGUUAUUUUAAUAUUGUCAACCAACGCAAUUAUAUUGGACCCGCAUGUUUAGGAGAGCUUUGAAAAUUCCAAGUUAACUUUAAAUGAUGAAUUCUAAGCAUGUAAUUUCGUCAUUUACUGUUAACCCCCGAACUUUGAACGUGCGAACAUCCCACAAUGGUUGAUUAAAAUGCAACUUCUCAGGAUGCAUCGUUGACCCAUUCUUUUAUCUUUCGAUUAAACGCAUGCAGAAGCACUUAAGAUAAACAACACUGAAUCAAACAACAAAUAAUAGGGAUAGUAAAAACUAGGGGUGUGCAUGGUCCGGGCGGGCGGUUCCCGACCUAGAACCGGGAACCGCCCGCUAAGGACCGGUUCCGAAAAAUCGGAACCGGGAUCCACCCGUUUAUUGCAUGGAUCCACCCAGGAACUGGACCGCCAGUCCGGUCCGAUUCCCGGGUGGAUCCAUGGAACCGAUUUUGACGCCAAAAAUUCUGGUUUUCAACAGCGAAACAAUUUUGGUUGAAGCAAAGCUCCUUUCCACGCCAAAGAGCCGCUGGAGGGAGAAGCAAAUCAACAGGGUACUACAAUUGCAAGUCUUUCAUUACUAUACAAGGCCGUAGACAAUUAAAUCACCUGCACAAAUGCGAAGGGGCGGACAGCAGUGGCGGAGGAGAAACAACAGCGGUGUCGAGGCUCAGCGAGGAAUCAAAGAAGAAGGGACUGAGCGUCGGCGAGGGGGGUGGACAGUAGAGGUGGAGGAGCAGCGGUUGUGGCGAGUGGCGACCGGCGCGAGGGGGCUGACAGUGGCGGAGGAGAAGCAGCGGCGGCGGCGGCGUGGAUGCUUGGUGAGGAAUCGAAGACGAGGAGAAGAGAUUGAGGAAGAAACAGAGAGAUAAUCAAAGACUGAGGAAGAAAUCGGAAGAGAAUCAAGAGAUGAGACACGAAUUAGGGCUUCGUACCUUGUUGAGUGACGGAAAAGGGGCUCGCUGGCUCGGUCGAGAGUUCUUGCAGAGGCGGAGGAGCAACGGUUGUGGCGAGUGGUGACCGGCGCGAGGGGGCGGACAGUGGCGGAGGAGGAGCAGCGGCGGCGGCGUGGAUACUCGGGGUGGAACCGUGGAAUCGAAGACGAAGAGAAGGAAAGGAACAGAGAGAAUCGAAGGCUGAAGAAGAAGAAACGCGAAUUAGNNNNNNNNNNNNNNNNNNNNNNNNNNNNNNNNNNNNNNNNNNNNNNNNNNNNNNNNNNNNNNNNNNNNNNNNNNNNNNNNNNNNNNNNNNNNNNNNNNNNCAGUUUUUUUUUUUUCGGGGGUGGGGGGGGGAGCGCACGGGCGGGACUGCAUUAGACAUGACAGCUGACACAAUGUCAUCAAGAAGAGGAAACAGCAGUGCCCAAUUUCCAGAAAAUGGUAGCUCAAAAUUCUGCAAGCAGAAUAUAGAAUCUAUGCAUACGGACGCAACCUAGUAAUCUCUGUGAUUACUAACAGUAGAAAAAAGUUCUGGAUGCUCACAAAUAGAGUUGGUCUGUCGAUAAUCAGACAUCUGUUACAAUGAAUUUUCAAAUAUGACCUAAAGGACUCCCCCUUUAUCAAGUGUAUCAUCAGCAGUCAAGUGUAUAUGCGCAUGUGAACAUAUAUGAAUCUUUCAUUUUAAUCAUCAAUAUAGCUUGCUAACAAUUCUAUCCACAAGCAUUCUCUCUCCAUUACCUUUUAGCAUUUACAUUGAUGGCGUGCUCAUUUCCUGGUUCUUUGUCCGUUGAUACAUCCAUUUCAUCUCUUCCCCUCUCAAACUCAUCUUUCUCAUUUAGAAUGCCAAAUCUUUUGAGAAAUGACACAAAAAUUUCUCUGGUUGCAGAAGAAUCCGUAAUAGAAGCUAAGCAACCAAUAGCAUCCUGAGAAUUCAAAACUGAGCAUGAUAAUCUAACAAAUAUUAUGGAUGUCAAUUACUAAGCAACGGGAAAAGUAAAAGGUAAUCCGUGAGCAUUGACUGAAUAUAUAUCUCGGAGUUAAAGUUCUUUAAGAUGGCUACUCAAUACAGCUUCCUUUUGCUAAUUCAAUGCAAUCCACAAGACUCAAUCCUCUUGAAAAAUUCAUUCGCAAAAUUAGUGAAUGCUUUAUAGUGCCCAGAAAUUUGAUCCAAUUCACAAAGCAGCCACAAAGUUCUGUAACUCACAUGCAUGACGAUCCCUUCCACAAUGGCUAACCUAAUCUAUCUAAUCGAAUCUAGUACUUGGAAGUAUUCUGGUGUUCCAUCGUGAGUUCAUGGAGGGUAGACACUUGGUACACUACAUUGAUGCCACUUCACUUCUCAUAGCUUUAAUUCUUUUUAACUUUUCCUUUGAGGUUUUCUAGUAACAAGUACACGAUCUAUUGUUUCAAUGCCAACCCAACCCAACCUCACAUAACUUUUGACUUUUUUUUUUCCUUUUUUUAUUGUCCAUUUCUAAAGAAUAAUUUGUUGUCAGUAAGAAUAUAAUAAAAAACCAUAAAAAUUCUAGCUUAUGCAUGGCUAUCAUGCUUCUAACAUAUGUUUCUACCACACAAAAGCAAUACCAUUAUUUACCUUCACUAGUUUACAUUAAAAUAUAAAAUUACAACCAACAAAUAUAGAAAAAUAACUAAUCAAGUAAAAUAAUAUUAUCUAAUCCAAAGUUUAAUGAUAUGAACUUUUUUUGUGCAUGUUGAACAUAAAUUUCGACUUGCUUAUAAUAUUUUACAAAUUAAAAAAAAAAAAACAGAGGAUAUGAAAAUGUUCAAGUUGAAUCUUGAAUUGAUAGUCAAAAUUAUAUUUUCUUAAAUCAGUUCAACUCUAGCUUCCUGAAGUGACAGGAUCACAUGUCCUAUAGAAUCACCCUAAUUUAUCAUGCCAAAAAAAGUUGCAUUGACCUCUUUAUACCAACCAAACUUACUUUCAACGGCCAUGUAAUGUUGCAUUAUUUAAAACCUACUCGGCCUAUUCUCCACCUAAUGCUUUUCUCCAUAUACAUAAUUUUUCAUCUAAAGAUUCGAUAUUGUCAAUGGGGUGAGAAAAGGAAAGACAAUCAUGCCGAGUAGAAGAUUCCGAGUAAGUUGCAUAAUUUUAGGAUCACUGCAUCUUGAAUUCACACUUCAUUCUAGGGAGUCAAAAGUAUAUAACUAUUCCAAUAGGGAAGGUUUUUCUAUUAAUUUUCUGAUUUUUCAAAAGCUGUUGUUGUCUGGUGGGGCACACUAGGGAACUAUUCUCUCAUGCAAAGCAGGGAUGGAACAAUAUUUUCCCCAUAGGGCAGGGAACGGGAACAAUAUUUCUGGCCCGCUCCUCCCAAUGGCAACCCCUAGCGCGUGCAAUUCAAAAAGUGCCUUGAAUGAUGCAAUCAGAAGUAUUAAUUGUACUUAAGGAAAAUUUACAAGUCAAAAGGGCUGGAGGGAGAUCUAAAAACGCGACAGAAACUUCUAGCUAGAAUCCCAAAAAAUUUUAAGCUUCCAUAGGAUAUCAAAUAGCACAUAAUGACCUAAUAUAUAUAUCCAUGUAGCCAACCCCAUCUAUGUGAACUGUUUACACAAUACUUUCUGCAGCACUUAUAAGAAUGAUGCGGCCUCACUAGGAAGGAAAUUAGGCAGGUCUGAAUCUGACCAACCCAACAAUCAAAUUUAGCAUGUCAACUACCUCAUACUAAACAAAAACCUUCAAAUUCCUCUCUACUUCUUCCAGCAUUAACAUUGACAGAAAGAGCUCCUACUAGUUAUACUAUUUUCAAUCUGGACAGGACUGAGGAGGGAGAUGGAGUUUGGAUUAUUAUAGAGUAUUAGUAUCUUGUUAUUAUCUUAUAGUGCACAUGAGUCCUAUUAGCAUCUUUGAGAUGAGGCAUAUGCCUAAAAAAUUGGAGAAGAAGUUCAGACAACCAAAGUAAGUGGAAAAUUAUGAAUAUGAAAGGGGAGAGGAGAAAACAACUGCGCAAUAACUAGUAAGAAGUUUAGUAUAGAGCCAAAAAUGACUUUAGUGAUUGAGGGAGAACCUUCAAGUAUGACCUUGUCGCAGGAAUGGAAUCGACAAAUAAGUCCAAUAAAAGUUGGAGCAACUCAGUAGAGCUUGAACUUAAAGCCUUGAUAUUUCUGCUUGCAGUUUUCUUGGAGUAAAUCGGUAGAGUUCAGAAUUCUAAUCCGGAUGCUUGCGCAGUACAGGUGUCUAAAUCUUUAACUACUCUAGAGCCGAGUACACUUGUAUUCUGAUUCACAAGGAUCUGCAGAAUUAGAACAGUACUAUCAGGAGAUAUGAAAAUGGUAUAUAACAACCUCUUCCCAGCUAAAGAACAAGUGUGAGCCAAAUGUCACCAACGUGGCAAGAAAGAUCACCUUUAAAGCGAGAGCCACACUUUCAUGCAUAAAAGAAUAUUUUUUAAGAAAAUCAGUCAAUAAUACUACCAAACGUCUAAACUGUUUGUCCGUAUCACUUGAACCCCGGCAAAAGGCUGGUAACAGUUUCCAAAGGUCAUGAGCAUGACCCAGCAGCUCCUCACCAAGUACUGAUUUCUUAACUGAAGAAAAGAUAAACAGAAGCACAAUCAAAUCCCCAAUGUCACUAAAAUGUUAAUGAUGAACUGAACAAAACUCAAAUCAAGUAAUGCUGAUUAAGGACUCCACUACAUACCUGAAAAAUCGGCAUUCAACCAAAGCUCACACUAAAAAAUAUGCAUCAAGGAAGGAAAAGUUAAUGUCACAGAGGCAGAUGAAGAAUAAAAUUGCAUGAACAACAAUAUUUUGCUCCCCAGACCUGUCCCUCCUAUCAAAUAUCUACAGAAUGCAAAAAAAAAAAAGACAUGCCUUGAGAUGAACAAUUGCGAUAAGAAAAUAUGAUAUGCAUAAUUCAAUGGGUAUCAUAAGCGCAGUAAGGAGAGGUCAACGCUUUGGGAUGGUACCUAUCAAAUGGGAUCAACACAUAUAAUAAUAAAUAAAUAAAAAAUCAAGAAGUUGACAGUUCUGUUAUAAUGUUUCAGACAAGCUUUCAGCACAGCUUACAAGCAGGUUGAAUUACCCAGCUUGAUAAGUCUAUGGAGACUCUUAUUGAAGACUAAAGCUCCUUAAAGCAUAGCUUGUGAACAUGCAAAAUUGAUCUCACGUGAUGAUUAUCUAUUGCGAGGAGUUUAUGAUGGACAAAAAAGUUUUUGUAUUGAGUUUUGGUUAAAACGCACGGAAUGUUGUGCACUUAUUCCUUAUAAAAUGUGUCUCCUGUCAAAGAACAUUUAGUGGUGCCUUUGCAAAAAGCAGGACUUUUACCCUGCUUAAACUGAUUUAAAUCUGAAUACGGAUUAAAAGAUGGAGAUUCUCGGUUGCUUUUAAUUGAUAACUCAUAAGUUAUGCACAACCAAUGGUGAAUCUGUGCCAAACAGCCAAGGAUCUCCACACUUAUUAUGACGUCAAAUAUGAUAUCUGAAAAAUAAAAAUCACGGGAACAAAAGUCAUGUAGAAUGAUGACAUACCUCCAGAACUAGCACGCUUGAAAGAUUUUGCGAGGGGCACAAUAUAAUCCAUGUAAUACUCAAGCUAUGAACCAACCACAUAAUCUCUUAGAAUGGGCACUAACCAAACAUUACUAGAACUAAAAAUGUCGGGAUGCAGUGAAAUAGGCACAACAGAAAGCACCUUUUCUGGGCCCAUAGCAAUUACAGCAGAACCAAUACAUCUCUGAAGCUGUGAAUCACAGUAAAUUAAAUAUUGAUGAGUUACCAUUCAAACAAUCUUCAAACUACACAAGUAAUUGUUUUAUAAAGCUAGACAGUCAAUUAUUUGUUUCAUCAGACAAUGGCAAAGUACUAUGCUCAAAGCUCUGUUAAAUUGUCAUCUACCCAAUUUAGUAAAAGAAGCUUUUGUUAAUCCUUAUACGUAAGUGAAAAAAUAACCUGCUGUUAAUGCUCCAAUCAACAAUUCAAUCUAACUCUAACAAAAUUCAUGACGAUGUUGACACCUAAUUUUGGCAACUCUAAGAAAAUAAAAAUAAAAAUCACAAAUAAAAGGAAAAAAUAGGGGAAAAUCAACUUGAUUGAUUAUGCAUGGAAGCUGGGAAUUUUGAUGAAUAUCCAAAUUUUGUUAAAUACGAAAGCAAUUAGAAAAUUAGGUGAAUAAAAGGUAAUGAUUUUGAUAAAAUGGAAUGAAUCAAAGUAAAAUCGAGUUGAUUGCGAAAUUACUUUUGAUUUGCAAUUAUGAAUUAAUGCGACAGAAAGCGGAAGCUCGAAAAUUGCCAUGAAAAGUGGCCAUCUAAAAUCAUUAUAAAAGAGAGUCAUAAUUUUCGUGACCAAAGAGAAAGAGGGAAGUUCGAAAAAAAAAUUCAGAGCGAAUUCGAAAAAAUCGAGAGAAAAAUUGAUGCGAAAGGAAUGCAAAAAAAGGAUGAAGAGAGAUAGAGUAGAGAAAAAAAAAAGAAGAAAAAAAAAAGGAGGGGUUCUUUCCGUCGGGGCUUCUUCCUUCGUUUCCUUUCUGGGUCAAGAGAAAACAACACAAAAUAAAAAGAAAAAGCUCUUCUGAGGGACAGCAAAAGUCAGAAGGUCAGCACAGCAGAAAAAGCGCAACAGCAGAAAGGACGUGUGACCGGCAGAGGCAAAAAGAAGAAAAAAAAAAGAAAAAGGGAAAAAAAGCAAAGGUUACUGUUCUUCUUCUUCGCCUGUUCCUUGCCGCUCGAUCCGCCACACCCCUGCUUCUCGUCCCGCCGUUACCGCUCCGCCACCGCCGCUCUGCUGCUACCUCGCCAACGCCCGGCGUUUGCUCGCGCCUCCGUUCCCCUCGCCGCGCCACCGCCGCUCCGCUGCUACCGCGGCAGCGCCAUCUAGCCAGCCUCGCCUCCGCUCCGCCCGACGCCUGAAGCCACCGCGCCUCUGCCUGUUCCUCUGCCCAAGCGCUGCUGCCACCGCGCCUCCGCCUACACAUCCGCUCGGAUCCCAACGCCGCCGCACCUCUGCAACCUGCGACCCAACGCCUGCACCUCAGCCCGCCGCAGCGACCUGCAGCAACCUGUGAAUCCGCUGCCGUCCCGUCUGCUGCCGGAGUCCUCCAUCGUCCGCGUCGCUGCUGCUGUCUAGAGGCCGCAACGCUGCUGCAGUCAUCGUCUCCGUCUGUCCGAUCCAACCGCGCCCGACGCCUAGCAGCCAGUGGCUCCGCCUCCGCCCGAGCGUCUCUGCCCGCCGCUGAACGACGCCCCUACCUCUGCUCCGCCCGGCGUCCGACGACCGUGCUCCUGCCUCCGCCGACGCCGUGCCACCGCCCCUGCCCUCUGCUGUUCCUGCACCUCCGCCGCGAGCAUCCAAACACCUCCGCCGCGCACGCUGCGCCUCAGCCCGCGCCGCCCCUGCCGUCGACCUUGGAGCGCCCUUCAUCGCUGCAACCGUCUCACCACGACCGCAACCCAACGCCGGGCGGACGGUGGUGCCGGAGCUCCGACGCCGGCCACCGUCCACCCGGCGCCGACCAACCUGCUGGCUAGGGGUGUGCAUUAGACCCGGGAACCACCUGGACCGCCCGGAACCGGACCGGAACCGCCCGGAACCGGCGGUUCUUGAGGGAACCGGUCCGGUUCCCGGUUCCGUGGGCGGAUCCACCCGCCCGCCCACCCGGACCGGACCGGUACUAUUUAUAAUUAAAAAAAAAAAAGUCGCGAAGCCCCCUGCCCCUAAUUCGCGAAGCCCUAAUUCGCGUUUCUUCUUCUUCAGCCUUCGAUUCUCUCCGUUCCUUUCCUUCUCUUCGUCUUCGAUUCCACGGUUCCACCCCGAGUAUCCACGCCGCCGCCGCUGCUCCUCCUCCGCCACUGUCCGCCCCCUCGCGCCGGUCACCACUCGCCACAACCGCUGCUCCUCCGCCUCUGCAAGAACUCUCGACCGAGCCAGCGAGCCCCUUUUCCGUCACUCAACAAGGUACGAAGCCCUAAUUCGUGUCUCAUCUCUUGAUUCUCUUCCGAUUUCUUCCUCAGUCUUUGAUUAUCUCUCUGUUUCUUCCUCAAUCUCUUCUCCUCGUCUUCGAUUCCUCACCAAGCAUCCACACCGCCGCCGCCGCUGCUUCUCCUCCGCCACUGUCCGCCCCCUCGCGCCGGUCGCCACUCGCCACAACCGCUGCUCCUCCGCCUCUGCUGUCCGCCCCCCUCGCCGACGCUCAGUCCCUUCUUCUUUGAUUCCUCGCUGAGCCUCGACACCGCUGCUGUUUCUCCUCCGCCACUGCUAUCCGCCCCUUCGCAUUUGUGCAGGUGAUUUAAUUGUCUACGGCCUUGUAUAGUAAUGAAAGACUUGCAAUUGUAGUACCCUGGUGUGCAUGGUCCGGGCGAGCGGUUCCCGACCUAGAACCGGGAACCGCCUGCUAAGGACCGGUUCCCCUUUCCUUAGAUUGCUUACUUUUCUUUUUAUUUUUAUCUUUCAUUUAUUUUAUAUUAUUUUAUUUUAUUUACCUUCUUUAAAAUUUAGCUAUUAUUGUACCAAUUAGAAUAUUGGGAGUUGAUUUUCAUUUUAUUGCCGUCAUUAUUCACAAGAUUUUGCCCAAAAUUAUUAUAAUUAUUUAAUUUNNNNNNNNNNNNNNNNNNNNNNNNNNNNNNNNNNNNNNNNNNNNNNNNNNNNNNNNNNNNNNNNNNNNNNNNNNNNNNNNNNNNNNNNNNNNNNNNNNNNNNNNNNNNNNNNNNNNNNNNNNNNNNNNNNNNNNNNNNNNNNNNNNNNNNNNNNNNNNNNNNNNNNNNNNNNNNNNNNNNNNNNNNNNNNNNNNNNNNNNNNNNNNNNNNNNNNNNNNNNNNNNNNNNNNNNNNNNNNNNNNNNNNNNNNNNNNNNNNNNNNNNNNNNNNNNNNNNNNNNNNNNNNNNNNNNNNNNNNNNNNNNNNNNNNNNNNNNNNNNNNNNNNNNNNNNNNNNNNNNNNNNNNNNNNNNNNNNNNNNNNNNNNNNNNNNNNNNNNNNNNNNNNNNNNNNNNNNNNNNNNNNNNNNNNNNNNNNNNNNNNNNNNNNNNNNNNNNNNNNNNNNNNNNNNNNNNNNNNNNNNNNNNNNNNNNNNNNNNNNNNNNNNNNNNNNNNNNNNNNNNNNNNNNNNNNNNNNNNNNNNNNNNNNNNNNNNNNNNNNNNNNNNNNNNNNNNNNNNNNNNNNNNNNNNNNNNNNNNNNNNNNNNNNNNNNNNNNNNNNNNNNNNNNUCGCAUGUAGGUUUAGUAAAUUAGGAUCGCAUCUUUAAGAUUACAUUUUUUUUUUUUUUUAGGAUUUUACUUUUAAAUAGAUAAUUUUUGUAAUAAAUCAGGAUUGAUUUUUUGAUAGACAAACUUUUAAAUAAUGUUGGCACAUCUUGAUAAUCUCUUUUUUUCUAAAAAAUAGUUUUCUAAGAUAGGAUAUAAUUUCAGUCAAAUUAAUUCCUAAAAUAAAUUAAAAAAUUCCUCAUUUUAGAUAGUUUAAUUACGAUUUUUAUGAUAGUUUAAGUACGACUUUUAUUAAUUCCGAAUUUCAAUAAAAAAAUAUAAAAUAUUAGUUGCAGGUUGAAAUGCACUUGACAUAUUCUAUAAAAUAAUUUAAUGACAAGCUCAGUACACAUUCAUAGAAGAAAACAAGUUCAAUAUUUACCUUGUUCAAUGCUUGCCCUCACUCGAUUUGAUCAUUGCACUUUUAGGCAUUUGUAUUUCUUUCUCCAUGCUUGAUUUGAGAUCGCAUUAUGGUGGACACUAUAGUUGCAAUUGUAAAUAUACUUGAUGAGUGAAUCUACUCAGGAACCAGAUCAAAUAUACUUAAUGAGCGAAUCUACUCAUGAACCAGAUCAAACUGGCGGUCAAGUUCUCAAGUGGAUCUAUGGAAUUAAUAAGCGAUUCCUGAUUCCAAUUUUUUUAGAAUCAAUCAUCAAUGGCCAAUUCCCAUUUCUAAUGUGGAAACCAUCCACCUGGACCAUGUUUAUCCUUACUGAUGACCUUUGCCAAGGGCUUGUAGGCCCUCUCCUAAUUUUUCUUUUUUAAAAUUUUUCUUAUUUUAGCUUAACUUAAAUAAAAUUUGUACUUAAAACAUAGAUUUAGACCAAAUUGACAUAAUUUUAGUCAUGUCGGCAUCAUGUAAGAAAAGGAAAAUUAUAAUAAAAAAAAAAGUAAUGUUAGCGUUUUUCAUUAGUUAAAUUAGACGGAGUUAACAAAGUGAUUUGAUUGCACAAAUUUUACAUGUUUUAUGAUUAAAUUACACUAUUCAAAUGUUUUAAGAUUCAAUUACAAUUUAAUGGCAAGUGUUGGAACUUCUAGUGCACUUUAUCCCUACUUUAUCAAUCGAACUAGUUAGGCUGUUAACUAAGAUUUACAAGCGAGUCCGCGGUUAAGAUCAACGGCCUAAAACCGGUCCAAUUCGCUCACUCUGUGUCCGACCGGGAUCAGUCGACUCAUCAGACCUAAAGUAGCCUCGUCGCCUAGUUAGCGUUCCUUCAGCCAUUGCACCGGCGACCAUGGCCGUCGUCAGCUCCCGCUGAGGAAGGUCUCGGUCCGGCGAAGUGAAGCAGAGAAAGAGAGAGAGAUGGCCAUCGGGAGGAGCAGCAGCAGUGCUGCGAAGGCGGCGGUGAAGAAGGCGCUGGGGGAGAUGUGCUUCAACAGCAGCGGCGGCGCCAUCAACUGGUUCCCCGGCCACAUGGCCGCCGCCACCCGCGCCAUCCGCGACCGCCUCAAAGUCUCCGACCUCGUCAUCGAAGUCCACGACUCCCGCAUCUGUACUCUCUCUCCCUCUCUCUUCUUCUUCUUGUUCUUUUUCUUUUCUUUGUUUGGUUUGAAUUCUGAUACUCUGUGUGCAUGGAAUUGGUGAUUCGCCUCGCUUGUCUUCGAUCAGAUUCCGCUGUCGUCGGUGAACGCGGACUUGCAGCCUCACCUCUCCAAGAAGAGGCGGGUGAUCGCGCUGAACAAGAAGGAUUUGGCCAACCCCAACGUCAUGCACGUAAAAAAAAAUCCCAACUUUCGCUUUUCUCUGCUUUUCCCACUUCCGUAAUGAUUCCCUCGAUCAUGUCUUUCGUGGCAACUGAUCAUUCGAGUUCUCGCCCCUUUGUGUUUGCCGUGCAGAAAUGGACUCACUACUUCGACUCUCGCAAUCAGGACUGCCUUCCCAUAAAUGCCCAUAGCAAGAGCUCUGUUAAGAAGGUCCGUCGAAAUGCGUUUGCUUUUUGAUACCGGGCACUUUUUAAUGAGUGCAUCUGCUUGUCAAGAACGUUGAGGGAUGUCCUCAUAGAAGUUUUGGGGGCCCUCUUAAUUUCGUAAAGCAUAAGAUAGAUGUUGGUCGAGAAAGCAAGAAUUGACUUUGGCAGUUGAUUUGCUCUGUUGCAUAAAGCCUUCGCCCGGGUUUCAAGAAUCAAUCUGCUUGGCCAUAGGCUGAGACCGACUACUGGAGUUUUGCAUUCUUGUCCAAUGUGGCAGUGUCAAAUUUGCUUUAGCCUUUGAGGUUUGAACACUGCGACUGGAUUUUACCUAUGAAGACUUGCUUCUGUUGUUGCUAGGUGUCUUUUUCUCUUAGCUGCUUUUGACCUGCAUUUUGCUAACCCUUCUUUGUAAUUGCUGCAAGACACUUUGUAUUAUAUGUCUUACUGUUAGGGAAUGCUGCUUCCAUCAAUGCAGUAACUGCAUGAUUGUGCUUUUUCUAUUCUUGGAGAUGUGAUGCCUUGGAUAUAUGUUUUGCUGUAGCUUCUGGAUCUUGUGGAGCUUAAAUUGAAGGAAGCGAUUUCAAGGGAACCUACUCUCCUAGUCAUGGUGGUUGGCGUUCCUAAUGUGGGCAAAUCAGCUCUAAUUAAUUCAAUUCAUCAAAUUGCAUCCUCUUGUUUUCCUGGUAAGAGUUUCUUCUUCCUCACGAUUUGUAUUGGUAAGAGAUACAAAGCUCCUCUUUGGCAGUUGACCUCAUCUGUGUAGAAAGAUACUCCACACCUGAUAAUUUGAUAGUGCAAUACAAUUUUCUUAACAGCUAUAUAUAGUGAGGUUGAGGCUUAAUCAAGUAUCAUGGAUAUAUCGUAAUGUUACCUGGUAACUUUGCUUUAUUUUCUAUUGCUUAAUGAUGAUGGCUUUGAGUUUUUCUUAGUGCAGGAGAAGAUCAAGAGAGCAACAGUGGGCCCCUUGCCUGGUGUUACGCAAGAUAUUGCUGGUUUCAAGGUCAAAUUUUCUUCUGCUGUGAUAAAAAUUAUGGCGGCAUUCUCUCAAGCAGUCUGACUUUGCAAUUCUCUGCAUGAACUCAGAACCCUCUAGAUUGAUAGAUGCAUGAUCUUGGCUUUAUUGAUUGGCUGCUUUUGUAUUAACAUGCAGUGAAAAGACAUCAGCAAACUUUUAUAAUUAAUCCUCAGAGACUCUUGCUUUUAUAUGUGCUUGAUUACAAUCACAGAUGAACUUUCUUGCCAUCUGUUAACAUCCUUUCCUAUCCUUUUUUUCUCAUUAUAGAUAGACCUAAUCAGAAAAAUUUCCAAUUGAUCCAAUGUUCUCUCACCUAAUAUAGUUGUAUAUAUUAUAAUCUUUUCUGACUUUGGACUGUGAUUUACAGAUCGCUCAUCAUCCAAGUAUCUAUGUUCUUGACACUCCUGGUGUAUUAGUUCCUAGUGUCCCAGACAUAGAGACAGGAUUGAAGCUAGCUCUUGCAGGUUGGCUAUUGGUUCUGUUUGUGUUUUUGCACUCUAUACCUUCUAUAAUGUGAUCAUCUGCUUAAUUCAUUUGCUGCAGGCAGUUAUUUUCUAAACUAAUAAACUUGUUACUUGUGAUUUGGGCAUCUCUCUGCUACUUCUAUUCAGUUUAGUCUGCCAUAGUGGAGUGCACACUAGGGGAAAAGGAUUGGACAUUAGCCAUCAACUUCUAGAUGUUGUGACCUGGCAGAGCUUUGUGAAAAAUCGUUCACCAUUAUCAAGAAGAGAUUCUAAAAUUUUCCAGCUUAUAAAUGUAGGGAAAUUAGUGUAUGUUAGAAUGUUUCAUGCUUUCCUCUUUAAGUAUUGAAGAUGGCUGAAUUACUUGAAUCCAGUUUCAUCAUUAGGUAACCCAGUCCUGACUGUCAUUUGGGUUAUAGAAAUGGUAGAUAGAUGAAUCUCAUCCGAGAAUAUGCUAUGAUGACUUCAUUAAUUAGAGCUUGUNNNNNNNNNNNNNNNNNNNNNNNNNNNNNNNNNNNNNNNNNNNNNNNNNNNNNNNNNNNNNNNNNNNNNNNNNNNNNNNNNNNNNNNNNNNNNNNNNNNNUUCGCUUUACAUAGUGCAGCCUCAUAUGAUUUGACUAGACAACCACAUUGCUUGACGAGGGAGAAGUAUAAUCCAUCUGGUACUUGUUUCAUGUUUUUCUUUUGAUUGGUAAAAAGAAGUAUAUCUUAUAUAUAUUGCUUCCGUCGUCUAUUUUAUUAAAUUUUACCCUUGUUGGUGGAAUUUGCAUUUUCUUGAUUGGUGAGUUGUUCACUGUUUCCUGCUUCAGUUUUUCCCUCUUUUCACAUUCCUAAUGCCUGGGAGAUAUAGCUUAGUGUCAGUCCCUCUUGUAUCUUCUUUAUAAUAUAACUUAUGUAUUAAAUGUACCUGCAGGGUCUGUCAAAGAUUCAGUGGUUGGUGAAGAGCGCAUUGCUCAGUACUUGUUGGCAGUAUUAAAUACUAGAGGCACCCCACUUCACUGGAAGCAUUCAAAUAACAGAAGAAUGGAGGGUAUUCGAUAUGAACCAGAAGAAAAGCAUGAUUACAACCUUAAAGAUCUGCGGCCAAAGAAGAAACCACCUAAUGUCUCUGAUGUCCUGUAUAUAGAGGUACUUUUUAUGUACAAUAUGUGCCUAUAUAUGAGGUUUAUAACGUGUCAUGAUAAACUUGUAGUAUUUGUUGGUAAUUGAUUGUAUGCACCUGGAAGUUGUGGUCUUGGGUACUUAGAGACUAAAUUCAUUUAUAGUAUUCCAUACAUUUUCAUGAUAAUGACCCGAAAUUCGUUAGCAGUCCAUGUCAUUGAAAGCCCUUAUAGUUUUGAGCUGCUUGAUUCUUCCUGUAGAUGAUAGCUACAAGUUGCCUUGAAAAUUGUGAUCCACUUGAAUUAAUCUUCACUUCAAACUUGGAGUUUUGACUGGAUGGAUUCCGCCUUUAGAUUAGAGUAAAAGCAAAUCAGUGCAACCAUCAGAAGAGAUGAUUUUUUGCAAUGUGACCCUUAUGUUAUACUAUGCUUUAUGGUUUGUAAGUUUACUGACUCUUCUUAUUUAGUAUGAAAGUUGUUAGUUCAUUUAUUGACACUGGUCUAGAAUGGUUUCUGUGCAGCAUCUUCAAUUGACACAAAGGAUCAAAUAGACAAAUGCCGUGCCCACGAUAUCGCUAGAAAUUUUGGUCAGCAGACUGUGUUGCCAAAAAAAAAAAAAAGAAAGAAAGAAAAAAGGAAAAAGAAAGAAAGUACAAGUUAAGGGACUCUGUUCAUAGUCCAUAGUCUCUCGUUUUAAUGCACAUCGUGUGGGAAAUAGUCAGAAGGGACAGUGUAGUCUAUAAAUGAAAGAUGCCUGUGAAGAUUUGAACUUGGUACUUCAAUGUUUUGAGAUAGUGGAGAAAGCAUGUAUUGAUUGUAAUGUCAUUCGUUAGAAAGAUUUAGUAUAGAUUUAAUCCUUUAAGUUUUAGUGUGUGUACGAAAUGAUCCUCUAAUUAUUAUUUACUCAAUCAAAUCCUCUAACCUUCUGGAUUUGUGCUAUUUUGUCUUCUAAUUUCUAUUUUGGGCAAUUAGGUCCUCUUAACUUUCUAGAUUUGUGCAAUCAAAUCCUUCGGUCUAGCUAAACCGUUAAUUUAAUUAAUGAUGUGGCAUUGCAUAUGCGACAGAAAAUUUUAGGUGAUGCUAAUUUGCCGCCAAAUGAGCAGAAAUAAAUUGGAAAAACAAGGGAAAAAAUAUCCUGAUUUGACAGUAUUAGUCACAGUGGGUAAUCAAAACACUCGAAUGCACCAAGUAAGAAAGUUAGAGGAUUUGAUUGCAGAAAAUAAAACUUAGACGACCAUAUUGCUCAAAUCCAGAAAGAGGACUUGAUUACACAAAUAAAAGUUAGAGGAUCAAAUUACACCAAUUUCGAAACUUAGAUGACUAAAUCUGUACUCAACCCAAACGACAAAAAAAGGGGUUAUGAUAUAGUCAAGAAGGUGAAACUGCAAAGGUAGAAGGUCGUAUACUAAGAGUUUGUGUUCCUAGAAGCCAUUCAAAAUAGAUGAUUUCUGAAACCGCUUUUAAUGUUCAUUUGAGCAGUGUUAGCUCUGUGUGUUUCUUUAUAAUUAAAAUCCCACAGUUCAUGCCUUGUAAAAUUGCUGUUACUGGUCUGUUUGAUGGAGUUAGUUCCUUUCCUGUUAGUGACUAACUGGUAUCUUUUUGGAGCUUCAGCUUGCUUUGUGUAUGGGUUUGCACCUCGUUGGUGCCUCUAUAAUGAAGCUUAUAGUUUUUUACUGAUUUAAAAAAUGGAUUGCAAUUAUCAAAAGUUGAAUCUGUUUUGGUUGGGAUUAGUAGGGUGAUAGCUACUUAACUACAAUUUGCUCAUGGAUAGUCAUGCAUUCCUUGCAGGAUAUGGUGACAGAAGUUCAAAGGACAUUGUAUUUUUCUUUGUCUGAAUUUGGUGGUGAUGUGGAAAAUGAGAAUGACUUGGAGUGCCUCAUCGAGGAGCAGUUUGAGGCACUGCAAAAGGCUCUGAGGAUACCCCACAAGGCAUCGGAAGCUCAUAUUAUGGUAUCCAAGAAGUUUCUUACUUUGUUUAGAACAGGCAAACUCGAUCCCUUCAUCCUUGAUGAUGUCCCUGAAGUCAAUACUGCAGCAUGAAAAGUUCUUAGGAUCUGCAGGAGUUCAUUUGUAUUCGGAUUUAUUUUCUGUGUAAUGUGACCUAAUGUGGAGUAGGUUUUUGGAAGAGUAGUAGUCGGUCUCUAAAAUUACUUAAUAGUUGUGCCUUUGUAAGUUAUUUUCAGGUUCUUCCUGUUGUAGGUCUAGUAUACAAAUCCAUUAACUGUAAAAUUGAAUCUGAGCACCCGAUUGAGCAUGGAUUCCUUUGGUCUUUUUAUUUAAAAUUUAAGGUUAUGAUUUCUGUUGCCUUGUGUUAUCUUCUGGUAAAUAUUAUGUCGGAUCCUUUUGAAUUUAUGCUUUCAUGUGCAUUCAUUCCCAUGGUACUUUUUGGUUCUAAGUAUCACUGCGGUCAAUAAUUAAUCGGAAAUUACAGACAUUUCCAGCAGAUUCAUGAAAGGUCUCUUGUCUGUGAAAAAAUACAUGCUCGCCCGCAAGAUUGUCUCGUUGUGAAAGGAGAAUUACUUGGAUGAGUGCCUAACCAGUCAUUUUUCUAGAUGGAAGGACAAAUGCCGUAAAUGAAAGAAGAUUUGGGCCGAAGUAUCGUGAAGCUUUUAAUUGCAUCGACAUUGCGUUGGUCAAGACAUGCGGCAUGAAACGCAGGUGGCAUAAAUGAAAAUAUGAUGGCAGACAAUGCAAUGUCCAUAAAUUUCUCCUUGGUUCGCAUCAAAUCCAAAGAUUGUGAGACUCGCCUUGGCAUUUGAUGGUGUUAAUCCGUAUGGCAACCUCAGCAUUAGAAUUGGCAUGUGGCUGGUUAUAUAUUUCCCAUAUACUUUGCCACUUUGGAAAUGGCAUGAAGUCAUCAUUAAAUUUGCUUUCAUUAUUGAGACAUAGGGUCUACCUUCAACUGUCGAUUGUCAAGUUAAAGGCAUUACGAGAAGAGAGUCGAGACCUUCCGUCAUGUUAAACAGCGUGAUUUUCGGAUGCAUGUUGCAGUGCUUUGGAUCAUCGACGGUUUUCCUGCUUACUGUGACCUACCUGGAUGGUGUACGGGAGAUUACAAACUAUGCCCGAAAUGCAGUGAUAGCAUCUUAGUAGGGGCAAUGGUAGAUGGGACUGUUUUUGUAGUUUCCCCUCCACUUUGAUUGGUUUAUUCCCCGUUAGUACCAAUUGUUCAUGUCUAAAUCCUAGUCAUCAUUUCCAUGAUAUGUGGAGGAAAUAUUAAAGUUUUCAUGACUGCUACUGGUUAUUUUGGAAACCAAAUUUUAUAUGAAAGGAAGUUUGAGGACUAAAAUUUCUUGGUGACGAUAUGAUAAUUGGCCAAACCCAAGUAAUCACUUAAAGCAAAGUUAUGCUUUCGUCAGUCCCUCAACCCAUGUACUUGAAUAAAAGAGAAGCAAAAUGAACUCCUCUUUUGUGCAUCUCAAAGAUUCGUGAAAGGACAGAGGAGAGAGAGAGAGAGAGAGAGAGAGAGAGAGAGAGAGAGAGAGAGAGAACUACAGUCGGCAGAAACAUAAGAGGAAGAAAGGAAAAAAAAGGAUAAACGGAGCACGAACAAACGUUGCACGCAUGCUCGGAGAUCUUGACAAACCAGAUUAACUCCAUUUCAUUUCGAUCUUGGAUUCACAUGCAAUAAAUUAAACGUAGCCACGUAACCCAAUGCUCGAGUCUGGUGUAGCAAAAGCCUAUAUCCCAAAUAUCCAAUUAUAGCUGGACUUGAUUCAUUCAAGAGCUACAAAAUAACCAUUUAACAUAUCACAUAUAUAUACUUUUACGAGAACAAUAUAUAUUAUACCUUGUUAAAGGGUAUGUAUUUACAUUAGUAUAAGUUUAACUUAACAUAACAAUAACUAAGUUCAUCACAAAUAUAUCAUGUCGAGACUAGUUAAAACUUAUUUUAUUUAUAAAGGAUAUGUUAAUCUUAAAAUUUUAUUAUAAUUUAAUGUUAUUAUAAUAAGUUAAUGAAGUUAUUAUGCUAGUAAGUGUCCUUAAUAAAGUCAUAACUUAUUAAUUUAUAUAUAUUAAUGGUAUAAAUUAAUAUAUGUUAUAAGUUAAAUAAAAAGUUAAUAUUAUAACAUAUAUGUUAUUAACUAAAUCAUAUGAUCAUGUAAUCAUUCUUAUAAUUCACUAAUGGUGUUAUCGUUUAUACCUUCCUAACAAGCAAUUUGGAUUAAUCUAUGAAGUUUAGCAGCAACAGGGUGGACACCGGAACACUCUCAAGCCGCUCGCAUGUCUUCUUUUGGAGCUUUUUCUUAAAAUUCUUCUUGUUUAAUUUCGAAGCUAUGGAAAUUCUUUUCCUGAAAACUUGACUGUUCGUUUGAAAUUAGUUGGUUGUGAGAUUGAAUGCACGAGAAUUUGCUGGCUGUGUUUUGCGUUGAUGAUUGCUCUUCCUCCGGUCCAACCAUAGCCUGGACCUUCCUCACCUCGAGACCUUUGGGAAGAUGUAAAAGAGGAGUUGCAAAACAAAACUGAAGUGUUGAAAAAUAUGUUAGUUGCCUUGAAUAAAUGAAAUGACUUCCGAUCUCCGGUUUAAGAAAUCUCAUAUUAUCUAAUAUUUUUUAUUUACAAGAAGUUAUAAAAAUCCUAAAUUAGUGGUUAUAGACAUAAUUACCAAGCAAUUAUGUUUUUAUUUUUAUUUUUUAUAUAGUGUUUGCUUCCUGUCGAUAACAUUGUUAAUUAACUUCUCAAGUCUUGAUGCAGCCUUUCUACAUUAAGUUUUACGUUGUGUUGCCAAUGACUUCAUUGGCCAAUUAUCAAUUAUUUUCAAAUUAUUGACCAUUCUGUUUUAUUGAUGAUUUCUGUUUUGAACAAACCCUGCUCUCUUCAACUAGUCGGUCUUGUCAAUAAUAAAAAAUAAAAAUAAAAAAUUGAUCAUCUUUGGUGUCAACAAUAAUGAGAAUAUAUGCGUCAAUUAAAUCGUAACCAAAACUAAAUUACUAAAACAUAGAACUCAUUAUGUCAGGUUUAUUUAUUUCGAUGUUAGUAGGAUAACUAAUCUUUUCUUCUGUUGUGAUUAAUGAAGAACAGUGACCCAAAAUUUUGUCAUGCAAUGGGUCGGUAUCUUUGCGCACCUUCUCCUUAGAUUAGAUAAACAAAUUUUACUCUCAACUUAUUUUAGUUACUCGCCGAUAAAUGUGGGCUUGAGGGGAGAAAGAUGAUGCUAAAACAUCACGUGAAGAGAGAGAGAGAGAGAGAGAGAGAGAGAGAGAGAGAGAGAGAGUACAGAGCAUGCUGGGGUUACGAACAAUCGCCAUACACACGUCAGGGACUGCAGAGAACAAAGCCAAGCGACCCAAACGGCUUUCUUUGUUCUUUCUUAGUCAAAAGCCACAAGUGUACGUGUUUACGUGAUCGAGGACCGAGUGCGAGCAGGUCAAUGUACGUUAAACUCGCGCAUGAACCCAAGGUGGUGGUCGCCAACUGCACCGCGCGCUCUCUGUGCGUCCGUGACUGUGAGUUAGAAAAGGAGACCACCUAGAGAGAGAGAGCGAGCCAGAGAGAGAGAAAGAGAGAGAGAGAGAGAGAGAGAGAGAGAGAGAGAGAGAGGAAAAUGAUGGAGGCGGGGAAGGAUGUGAUGGACAAGGACUUUGCAGAGAAAGAGUGCGACAGCGUUCGCGGCCAAUCGUCGGCGUCCUACCUGGUGUGGGACGACUUGACGGUGCCGGUGUCGGCCGGUUCCAAGAGGAAACUGCUGAACCGGCUCAGCGGGUAUGCUCAGACGGGUCGGAUCUUGGCCGUCAUGGGUCCUUCCGGUUCUGGAAAAUCCACUUUCCUCGACUCAUUGGCAGGUUUCUCUCCUUCUCUCUGCCAACCUUCUCGUUUUCGAACAUUUUCUUUCAACAAUAUAUCCAUUAACUUAGCGUUAUAUUAUUGCAUUUUUAUCUGAGUUGUUAUACGGUUUGACCGCCGGUGAAAUCCGAAUUCCACCUUCGAAGCAUUACGUACGAGAACUCCCGGUGAUACUGAUAUAGCUACUGAAAGGAUAAGACCACAAGCAUUGCCCAUAUAUGAAAAAAUACAGCAGCUUGACAUAGUCACCAAAAUUAUUAAUAGCAUUGAAGAUAUUGCAGAAGGCUACGAUGAUUACUCCUUUCCAUAGCCAAAUUUAGAAGUGUAGAAACGAAGUUAUACAUGGAGUUAACUUUGUGACUAACCAAAGUGUAGGAAGCUGUUUAUGUUAAUGAAUUUUGCUUAAAAACGACCGCUCCCCAAAAGCUUUCCUAACUUUUAAUCCUAAUUUUGCUUCAAAUUUUUUUUUUGUCUAAAAGUUGAAUUUAUAACUUUCACUAUAAUCUCAAAUGUACCCCGAGUCCCAAAAUUAUCACUAGUUAUUUUUUUUUAUUUUUUUUUAUGAAAAGUAUCAAUAUCAGAAUACUGCUGUUGUUCCAUACAAAUGUGAGGAUGUUGGAGAAAACACAUAUUUUAAUAAUGAAUCUCUAAUUGGCCUUGAUAUUGAUAAUUUUAAAGAAACUAGUGAUUAUUUUUGGACGCAAGGCAAAUUAUGAACUAUGGUGAAAAUCCGUGUUUUUUUUUUUUGAAGAUUAAAGAAAAGUUUAAGUCAAUAUAAGUAGGUUUUUCUUUUAGAAAAUUAAGACUUAUUUUUGGUCAUGCUCUUAUGCUGGCACACUUUUUUUUUUUAUAAUUAUCUUAUAAAAAUCCACAGACUUCGAAUUGGUACCCAGAUCUAACUCCUUGUCAAGUUCACAUCCAAUGAUCUCGUUAAAGACUCGACAAGUCAUUCCAUUUGUACCUGGCAAGAACUUAACGAGGGUCAAAUUUAGGAUGUUAGGUGAAAGUUGGUAUUUUAUUGUGAGAAAAAAAAGUUUGGAUUAGAAUUGGUCCAAAAAGUAAAGUCAUGAUCUAUUUACAAGACAAAAAUAUGGGUCAGAAUUGGGUCAUGACCUAAAGCUAAUAUUAUUCUAUGAGAAAAAAAUUGUGUCAAAAUUGAAAUUCAAGGUAAAGUUGAUGCUUUCUAAGACUGAGCAUUCUUUUUUGUAAAAUCGCAUACUUCUUUCCUUUCUUGACGGGGGUUGGAGUGAUUCAUAUUAUAUGGUGCAAAACUAUUGUCCUAAAUAUACAUGCUCCAGUAAAAUUACAACUUUAAAAGGAAGCCAUUGGAGUGUAAGUCCUGUUUUAUUAAUUCCCAUACGAUGUGAGGAUCAGGCGAAUGACACUGAGAACCGGCCAAUGCGACUUCCGGGCAAAGAGUUCAAGGAGGCUCCGCACACCUCCCUGCCUCAUUGCACGUCGGGUAAUGGAACUCUCGCCCUCAAAGUCGCCCUCAUUUUCGAGACCGCAUCUCUGCGGAUCAUGGCCCGGAGACUUUCCCAGGUCCGGAGCCGACCCGUCCUCUUCAUACAAUGGCCUGAUGAUGCUAGGCACACCAACUUCCACUUAAAGGGACUAUUUGGUUGCUUCAUAGUCGACAUGGGAUAAGAAGAAUGUACAGAGAGAGAGAGAGAGAGAGAGAGAGAGAGAGAUUUCUAACGUAGCAUUCCAUAAUUUAGGUACAUAGUCACAUUUACUGCAUAAGUACGUAUUUGACCAAGCAUACGUAUUUCAACCACUUAGCACCCACUUCAAUCGACUACUUAUUAUGGUUUAUUUUUCAACAGGUCGGAUAUCUUCUGACAUCAGAAGAGAGGGAAAUAUUUCCCUAAGUGGGAAAAAGAUGAAGCCCAUAAACCACAGAGAUCUGGUAAGCAUUAGGUCUAAAGUUAACUUUUGUUGUAAAUUAUUUGCGGUGGACAAACUUUAUACAACAGAGGAAAAAAGAUUACGAGACAAGUAUUUUGACUUUGUGGAAGAUAAUUCUCUAGGUUUAUAGGAUUAAAAAUCCCAAAUUGGUAUCCCCAUGACAUAUUUUUCCCAAAAUAGUUUUCGUCUUACCAAUGAUCCCAACUUUUCUAGCAAUUAAAAGAAAACUUUAGUCUAGCAACUGUUAGAUCAUCUGUGGAAUAACAAGAUUGCUUCCGUCAGCUUGAUCGGCGCUUUCUGGCUAUAGUUUCAGCUUCCCAUGCUAAUACUGUGCCUAGUAAACUCUAAAAUGAAGCAUCAGCAGGCCACUCCUGUCAAUUUUGUUUCAUGAACCAUCCUUUUAGCCCACAAAAGAUUAAAUAAUAUAUUGAACUUCCUCUGAUUCAAUCUGGCGGUUUAUGUGUGUGACCGGACGACAUUCUUAUAAUCAACAUUUGAUUGGUUUUGCCAUGUUUCUCCUUUCUGAAAUUUGAGCGUGCAAAAUGGCAAAUAAUUUCUAUCUGGUGUGGUGAUUGAUGUUUCAACCUGGGUCUCAUUCUUGAAUCUUCUCAUUUUGUGCAUUUUUUUCAGUCCUAUGUGACUCAAGAAAAUUUUUACUUGGGCACUCUCACUGUCAACGAGACAAUAGCUUACACAGCUCAUCUGAGGCUUUCUUCCAAAAUGACGAAAGCCGAGAUUGAUGAGGUGGUAGAAAUGACCAUAAAGGAGAUGGGACUAGAAGACUGCGCAGAGAACAGGAUUGGUAACUGGCACUUGAGGGGCAUAAGCAGUGGAGAAAGGAAAAGACUCAGCAUCAGCCUUGAAAUGGUGACAGGCCCACUGAUCUUGCUCCUUGAUGAGCCUACCACAGGCUUAGAUAGCGCCUCGGCUUUUUUUGUCACAAGAGCUCUAAGAAAUAUUGCAGAUGAAGGUAAAAUAAUUAUUUGCUCAAUGCACCAGCCGAGCAGUGAAGUUUUCGAUCUUUUUGAUGAUUUACUCCUUCUGUCGAGUGGAGAAACUGUGUUUCUGGGAGAAGCCAAAAUGGCCAUUGAGGUAAUAAAGAGUCAACACUUCAUUCUACCUCAAGAGGCAUUUCGGCUGUGCAGAAGCAAGAUCACUUAAUUUAACUCCCGGUGCAGUUCUUUGCAGAGGCUGGAUUUGCUUGUCCGAGGAGGAAAAAUCCCGCUGAUCACUUUCUGUGGUGUAUUAGCUUGGACUUCGAUUCUGUGACUGCCACUCUAUUGCUUUCUCCUAGAACUUGUGUGAGUUUUAACUCGAAGACUUCUAAACUCUGCAUCAGUUCUCGUGAUAUGUAAAGCGACUUCCGCCUAUUACCUGGGCUUGCUAUUUUAUCUUGCAGCAAAAUCCGGCCUCGUCUGGUUUUUCAAUGAGGAUGAAAACAGCAGAGAUUAAAGCCACACUCAUCCAAAGUUACAAAUCCUCAGAGUAUUCAAGCGCAGUUAGGAGGAAAAUGCAAGAAAUUGCAGCUACUGUAAGCACUCCAACUCAGAAGAUAUAUAAAUACAGAUCAUGCUCAAGCAGUCAUUUUUUUCAUCUUUCCCACUUACCAUAGUUAAUGAACAAUGUCUCCAUCUGUGCUUUUUGAAACUAAUGGAGUUACCUCUAUAUUGAAGUAGCAUUUUCCGGAACUGAUGUUAUCAAAACUGAAUCUCUUCUGUUGAAAACAGAAGGAUUAUCAGGUCUGCCAGUUGAAUAAGAAUACUAAUUCUAGCAAGUGGAAGCAGCUCAGGAUUUUGACUCAUCGGUCCUUCAUCAACAUGUAUAGGGACAUUGGAUACUCCUGGUUGAGGAUCACGUUCUACGUUUUAUCAUCAAUAAGUACCGGAACUCUAUAUUUUGACAUUGGAUACGACAAUGAGGCAAUUAUCAACAGAGGAAAGUGCGUUUCAUUUAUCUACGGCUUCAUGAUAUGUUUAUCUUGUGGUGGUGUCCCUUUCUUUGAUGAAGAACUGAAGGUAUAGCAAAGUGUCGAGGCUGAUCUAUUUUCCUCUAUUAUAUAUCAACAGUAUCUUCAUAAAUGAGGUAAUAUUAAAAUGAUAUGUUACUAGGACUAGAACUAAGUUUCAUCUGGAGGGCAGAGAAGCCCCACCAUGACAGGUGUGAAGUUGCAUGUCGUAGCCUAUCACGCUAUUAAUAACAUAAAGCUAACUAAUGAACUUUUAGUUGACGGCCUCCUCCGACUCAGUCACAGGGGAAUGUGAGAAUUGCACAAUCAGUUAGAGAGAUUAAAGCAAGAAUAUACAUUUAUUACAUAACAAAGGAGAAACUUUUUCAGUGUAUUACAUCCUUUUCUUGUCUAAAUCAGGUAUUUUAUGAUGAGAGACUCAAUGGGCAUUAUGGUGAGACAGUGUUUGUGCUUGCGAAUUUCCUUUCUUCACUCCCUUUCUUGGUGGCGAAUUCUCUGCUUUCAGGAACAACGAUAUUCUACAUGGUGAAGCUUCAUUCAAGGUUCUCUCACUAUGGUUAUUUCUGCAUUAAUCUCUUCUGCUGCAUCACCGUUAUUGAGAGUUGCAUGAUGGUUGUGACCUCAUUUGUCCCCAAUGCCUUGAUUGCCAUAGGAACUGGAGCUGGUGUCAUCGUAAGUAAAUUUUCUCUCCUAAAAUUUCCUUCUUGUAAUUGUUAUAAAGUAUGUUUUCAUAGCUAAUUUUUGUGAAUUCAGGUUCUGAUGAUGAUGGCAUCACAGAUUUUUAGACUUCUCCCCGAUCUUCCCAAGUUCUUUUGGCAGUACCCAAUGUCCUACAUCAGUUUUGCCAAAUGGGCAGUUGAGGUAGUUGGUGUAUAGUGAUUCACUAUUUUCUGAAAUCAAGCUUGAAAAUUUAUCAGUAUAUAAUUUGCAUAAAGCCAUGGAAAAUAAUCGUCUUCAGUUUCAAAAAAGCUGCCUGACUAGUAGAACUCCACCUUGAGAAAUUGCUACUGCUUAGCAUUGCAUAUUCAAAACUCACUGCAGUUCAAUUCUCAUCUUGCACCUGCGGUACAUAUAUGAGAAAGAAAUCUCAAAUCAACAGAUAUUAAGAUGCCUUUCAUUUUGCUGUGAAGAAAUGGGUUGAAAUGUUGACAGUUUUGCAUUCCCUUGUUCCUUUUUUCAUUGUUGGCCUUCUCUUCCAUAUGCUAGAGAUUAUGUUAAUCAAUGUAAUAGUGUCAUGCUGGAUAGGUUCUGUUGUCAGUCUCUUUCAGAUAUUGAUGUAAACAUGGCUUCACAGAAGCUUAUAUAUCUCUGUAGUUAAUAUUGCCUAUUGCCCAAGCUGUCAAGAGGCGUUCAUUACCAUCGAAGCUUGGUGAACAUUAUUAUUCCUAAGAAGAGACCCUGAAUCCCAGCCCCAUGUACCCCGGUCAUCAGCUUGCUUUGCGCUUUAACAGUUCAUGCAUUAUUCACGUGAUAGUUCUGCGACUGGCCGCGGCAGUCAACAAUACCAACAUAUGUUUUGGAUCAGUGAGCAAGAGUGCUCCCAAAUCGAUAAUAAUUCAGCUUGAUGAAUUAGAACGAACUCACACAAAUCAAUCACAUGCCUUGCAGGGUCAAUACAAGAAUGUCAUGACUGGCUGUGAGUUUGAUUCAGCAGAGCCAGGAGAACCAAAACUGAAAGGCGAGACCAUCCUCAAAACAACUUUCGGCAUAUCAUUGGAUCGCUCCAAGUGGUGGGAUGUAACCGUGCUUCUCUUUCAACUGUUUGUUUACAAACUGCUACUCUUCUUAAUGCUCAGGUACAAGAAAAGAAUGGCGCCCUGGUUAAAUGGGCACUAUUCUUAGCGUGUUUACAAACUACUACUUCUUUCUUAAUUUUAUGCUUUGCAAGAGGUUUAUAAUCUACGUUUAUUACGAAGAGGAAAGGGUGGAUCCAGGCCGAGAAAUAGGUAUAAAUUUCGCCACAUUCUCUCUAAUAAAAAUAAAUAUCCAAAGCCGAAUUCGUCAUUGAUAUUAAACCGAAAAGGGGAACUGUACGUGGAUCUUGUGACAACAAGAGACACAUGCGUCACUUACAUAACCUUGGUGGGUUAGGUGCUGAUAAAGCAGGUACAUUCUGGAAACAUUAAGGAUGCUAACUGCUAUUUGGAACACUUAAUCAUCUGUCAUGACGCCUUCCUGAAUAACACUAAUGAUGACAGCCAUGUAACUGCUUAUGUGUGCGUGUGAUAAAGUGGUCACGAUUACAUCUUGUUCGAAAAACAGCCAUCAACCACAAGCGAUGAUAAAAUAUAUUGAUUACAAGAUANNNNNNNNNNNNNNNNNNNNNNNNNNNNNNNNNNNNNNNNNNNNNNNNNNNNNNNNNNNNNNNNNNNNNNNNNNNNNNNNNNNNNNNNNNNNNNNNNNNNNNNNNNNNNNNNNNNNNNNNNNNNNNNNNNNNNNNNNNNNNNNNNNNNNNNNNNNNNNNNNNNNNNNNNNNNNNNNNNNNNNNNNNNNNNNNNNNNNNNNNNNNNNNNNNNNNNNNNNNNNNNNNNNNNNNNNNNNNNNNNNNNNNNNNNNNNNNNNNNNNNNNNNNNNNNNGGCCAUAUAUGCAAAAGCCAAGAAAGUGUACUAGUCCCCGAAUGCACAACUUUUGACCUGCCCAGGAGAAACAAACUCAAGAUAACUUUAAGAUGCUCUGCAAAAAAGACGCCAGUAUCCUCGUCCUUCCUACUUAUUUCUUCUGUUUUUUUCCAUCCGGCAUUAUAGCCAUUGCGUGCUCUGGAUGCUUUAUGAUUCCUUAUUGUGGUUUCCACGUUCAUACUUCUUUUCAGUUCCAUCUUUCUCUUUUCCCCAAUUCUAAGUUGGUGAAAGGUCCUCCUCCUUUUCUUUCCAGAUUCAUUGGAUUGAAUCUUAGAAAAUUUUUAUGCAGCUGAAUCACCAUCCUAUUGAGGACCUUCUAAUCUGCCAUUAGCACUAAGAGAAGUUUAAUAUUCUCCUGAGUGGAGGGAGCUGUCUUGGUUCUUCAAUCUUUUUUCAUAUCCUCAUCCCGAAGAUCUUUCUUACUUGCAGAAGCUUCCUUGUUUGCUAUGCCGCCUUCAUUUGAGGUUUUGUUUCGUCGAUUCUGAAAGGUAAAACAUGACAGCAAAACCAUAAGAAUGAUUGUGACCUGUAUAAUCGUACUUUUCUUGGGUAGCAAGCUGAAUGACAGCAGGACCCCACUUCCUAAUCAUUAUCUCAAGAAUGAUUGUGACCUGCAUAUACAGUGACAAUGGAAAUUCAUUACGAGCUUGCAGAAAGGAGGCCCGUGGAAGGAUGCAUGCAUGGAAUUAUCACAAAACAUCUCAGUAAACUCCCAGUAUAAUUUCACAUGCCUAUGAUCUGAAGUAAUGUCUGAAGACCGAUGACCAUGAAAUAACACCAUCAAUAAUGUCGGAAAGUAAACUUUGGGUCUUCAUUUUGCAAGCAAGACACUAAUACUUUCACAAAACCUAGAACAGCCUGCACAGAUCUCAGGCGGAGCAGAUGAACCCAUUAAGCUUUCGGUUUUGGUUUCAACUUGUUUGAUUCUUUUGACAUUAACCUAAGGUCGUUUUGGGCAUUGACUCAUAAUAUAGAACCAUUGAUGGAAUGUAAGUAGUCUGCUGAUGAGGUAGUAAUCCAACAUUUGCAAGAAACAGUGACUAGACAUGCAAGUUUCUCCAGAUAAAUUUUUUGCGGGUAGACAUACAAGUUUCUCUUUCAUCAAUUCUCAAAGAUGGGAAAGAUGAAAUUGGCUGACCAUCAUCCACACUAAAGACAAAAAAUUGGCAUAUGCUAAGUGAAAUUCUUGAGUAGCAACAUAUAACAAGUCAAGCUUGUGAACAAAACACAUCCAGAGUAAGAAGGUGCCACUUCGCACAUCUCGCCAUUCAAACAAAUGAAAACCUUCGGUAAUAGAUUCCCUCUCUUGCAGUGGCCACCAUCCACAUCAUUAUUGUGUGAAAAGGAAAAACUUGCAACAUCAUCUCUCUUUGAAUAACAAAAUGGAAAGAGACAGCACGAAUACAAACACCAAACCACAAGCCAUUGUCUUUAGGCUUUCCCCACUAAUUAGUUCACAAAACCCUAUUACUGCACUGCAUAACACUCGUUGUUUUGUUUAUAUUACCUAUACCUUCAGUUCCAAAUGCGAGCGAAAGAGAAACUUCGAAGUAACAUUUAAGAAUUCUGCUGCAAGGAUUACCCAAUGAAGCCCUAGUUCUUUCAAGAACUAAUUUACUUAGAACACAACAAACCAUUUCUUACUCUCUCUUGUGCCAGUAAUCAGUAUCCAGAAGUACUGACGAAGCGGUUCCAGUCCCUGGCCCUUCAAUAGAGAUACUCUUGGUGAUAUUCUCACCAACUGCCUGAUGUUCGUCACCUCUAAAAUGCUUCCUCAUGGCCUCAAUUUUCUCCUCAGUCAUGAUAACGCCUGCAGAGUCCAGCACUGGAACAGCAACCUUGCCUUCAAGCAUGCUAACCACAGAUGACAUUGGCGGCCUUAGUGCUGGAGUCACAUUAGUACACAUCAGAGCUACCUUUAUCAAUGCCAGCGCUUCCUCUUUGUCAAAGUGAGAACCAAGCCCCUUGGAUCAACUAGUUCUAUCAAAUUUCCUCUCUCCUUCAGAAAGUGUACCUAGAUACACACAUGUUAAGUGAAGGUAUUUCCCUUUCAAGCUUCAGGUAUUGAUCAGUUGCAAAAUAUACUCUAAAUACUGAAACAGGAAGAAGUAUAUUAUCUCCCUUGAUAAUUACGCGGCAAAUGCAGUUGAUAAGCAUCUGCUAGAUUUAGGGUAUAAAUGGAUAAAAAGAAUCGAAUGAGUCAAUACAGAUCAAACAUGAUUUUUUUUACCGAUUUUAAAUAAAAGAUACUAGACUACAACAUCACUUACUAAUGGUUAACCAGUUGCCAAGAAAUCACCCACACUGCUUUAAAAUCGCUAGCUAUUGUCAAGUUUUAUCAGCAUGAAUUAUUUGUCAGUGUCAUUACAUGAAACAGUAGACUCGCCUUUCAAUGUUCUUGAUUAUGCAACUCAGGCGACAAUCAGAUUUAAUGAGGACUAAUAAUGAUUGUUUGCUCUAAUAAUUGCUUACUCAAAGCAAAACAAAAUCUAACUUAAGGACUCAAUUAUAUGAAUGUGAAAAAAGUUAUACCUCAAUCGAAAGUAUAUGGAUAUUCUGGUCAAGACAUGGUCUUGAAAAUGUUUAAAUUUAACAGUAAUUGCCAAAAUUCAAUAGUAGUCAAAGGACUUGUUUAGCGCUAAUGAAACUAUAGAGAGUAUGAAUGUCAAGCAUAAAAACAUAAAGACUAAAACUGAACUUUCGAGAUCCACCCUAAAUUAUGGGGUCAACUUCCCCAAAUUUCAAGGAAUAGAAUUUUCUUCAUUCCAAAAAAAAAAAAAGAAUAUACAUGAAGAUUCAGAGUAGACCAACAUGAUAAGAAGAAUCGGAUUAAUUUGAAAUAACAAAUUGCACUUAACAGCAUGACAAUUCAAUAAGCAAGUUUCGAUAGCUGUUAAUUGUGAAACUCCUUUGCAACCAUUGAAAGUGCAUGUGAGGAUUUAAAUACAUAUAUGAUCAUAAUUGAAAUGAUAGCUGUUAACUGUGAAACUCCUUUGCAACCAUUGAAAGUGCAUGUGAGGAUUUAAAUACAGAUAUGAUCAUAAUUGAAAUGAUAGAUUUACCCAAUCGAGUAGAAUAAAGCAUUCCUCAGUUUUUUGGGAGCUAGUGUUGCUCUGGCCACUAACAACUUCUAAGGCAACAAUGCCAAAACUAUAGAUGUCGGCUUUGUUAGUGAGGUAAACAUGCAUUGCGUACUCCGGUGCCAUAUAUCCACUGCACAACAAGAAAAGAGCUUGUGUUUGAAACAAGGUAUUGCCUCAAAUAGCACAUACUUAAUGUUCCUAAAAUUCAAAAGAAAGAGUCGUUCCUAAAUGUGACGCUAUGGUCUAAAUAGUAGAGGAAAAAAAACAAAUGCAUCCUAAUAUAUUCUAAUAUCAUUUACCGAGAAUAUUUCAGGAAAAAAAAAAGACCAUUGUUGUUCUUUAUUAAAAAAAAAAAAUUGGUUUGAAAUAUAAGUAUCAUUUAUAAGAUGACCUACAUGAGCUUAAGGGCAUUUCCCAGCAUUACAAAGAUAUCUAAGAACGUGCAAAAAUGGAGUGAGGGAAUCUCCAUAUAGUACCCAAUAUUACAUUUAUUUGGAAAGGCCUAAAGUUUUUGUAGAGUGAAGCUUGCCCUGUAACAAGUUUGCAAAUUUUAGCCACGAUAAUGGGGAUAUCAUUUGACUUGUUUUGGAAAUGUCUAUAGUUACGUUUAUAGUUCUUUUUGUUGAAUUAACGUUAGAGUUAGUAGAAUGAACUUACAAUUUUAUCUUUUCCCUAAUUAAUCACGUUCCUUUCACAAACAAGUUGACUUUUCACACACAUUAACACAAACUUCUAAAACAUGUGAACAUGCUUAUCUAUGUUUCUCCAUGUGCAUACAAUAGAAACAUGGGCGAAUUUGCUAUAAUACUAAGUUAUAUUCAAAUUAACAAUUACAUAAGUCAAUAUCAGAGUGUCAUUACUUAAUGGUAGAGUAUGACACAAUUUACAUUUUUUUCCUAAUUAAUGUGAAGAGUGGUGGGAUAGUCAUAAAGCUUUGUGGUUAAGCCGAAUUUGUUGAGCACCAUGCUUUGGGAUGAUGUGAAUCCACCACAAAGCUUCAUUCAACUCAUUUUUCUUAAAUCAGAAUACAUGUUUCUAUUCCAUGCUUUUAUGUUGUCACUAGCUCCUACUUAGGUUAACAGGAACAAAAAGCAAGAAACUUACUAAGUUCCAGCAAUCUUGGUGCUAAUAUGUGUUUUGUCCUCCUCAUUAAGCUUUGCUAAACCAAAAUCUGAUAUUUUAGGGUUGAGAUCCUUAUCCAGUAAAACAUUAGUAGCCUUAAUGUCUCUAUGCACAAUCUUCAGCCUUGACUCUUCAUGAAGAUAUGCCAAUCCCCUGGCAAUACCCACGCAUAUCUUGUGUCUUGUCCACCAAUCCAACUUUAACUGAAAUUCUUUAGGACCUUCAAUUGUAUCAGAAGACAUCAAAGCUGCUUUACUGCCAUGUCAUUAACUGAAGUCAAUGAAGCACAAUGUGAUAUCAAAUUACCAAAUAAAGCGCGAGCAGACUGUAUUUUCCAUGUACUCGUAAACCAGCAAAAGUUGAUUUCCUUCAAUACAGCAUCCAUAGNNNNNNNNNNNNNNNNNNNNNNNNNNNNNNNNNNNNNNNNNNNNNNNNNNNNNNNNNNNNNNNNNNNNNNNNNNNNNNNNNNNNNNNNNNNNNNNNNNNNNNNNNNNNNNNNNNNNNNNNNNNNNNNNNNNNNNNNNNNNNNNNNNNNNNNNNNNNNNNNNNNNNNNNNNNNNNNNNNNNNNNNNNNNNNNNNNNNNNNNNNNNNNNNNNNNNNNNNNNNNNNNNNNNNNNNNNNNNNNNNNNNNNNNNNNNNNNNNNNNNNNNNNNNNNNNNNNNNNNNNNNNNNNNNNNNNNNNNNNNNNNNNNNNNNNNNNNNNNNNNNNNNNNNNNNNNNNNNNNNNNNNNNNNNNNNNNNNNNNNNNNNNNNNNNNNNNNNNNNNNNNNNNNNNNNNNNNNNNNAAAGUCAACAGUUAAUGUAUCCCUUGCUCGAUUUUCCUUUGGAGCCUUGUGCCAUCUUAUUUGGAAAUACAGGAAUGACAUCCUUUUUAGGAACCUUACAUUCACGGUCCUGGUAUUGAAGAAUCACCUCAUUAAGGUGGUCAAGGAUAAGGUCUUGACUUUUACAAAUGUGGAAGACAAUCCAAGAAACAGAAGAAUUCAACGUAGUUGGGGGAUUGACCCUUGCAUUUUUCAUUCAUCCUCGGUGGUUCCUUAGGAGUCCUAUUGCAGAGUGUUUGCUUUAUGGGAUUCUUCUCUUCCUCUGGAUGCAUCCUGCCUUGUUCUUGGUUGCCGUUUUUGCGCUCUAACGUUUUUGUGUUGGGUUUUGGGCUUGGGUUGCCAUUGUUUGGCUGGCUGAUUGCCUUCUUCUGUUUUGGUUCUUUAGGAGGUGGCCGCCUUUGUGCUGUUUGUGCCUUCUAGCUUUUGCCUUGUUGGCUUUUUUUUUUUUUUUCGGCACCCUUCCACUCAAUAUGCUCUGUUCGUAUUGAGUGUAAGCCGGUGCCGUUGCUUGUACUUAUUGGCUUAGCUUAAUACAUUUACCGUUCACCAAAAAAAAAAAAAAAACAGUUAAUGUAAUCCCCUAUCUAACAAAGAUGUAUCAAUUCCUUCUCAAUAUUCCAGAAAACCUCUUUGUGACUUUUUGGUCUGAGCAAGUUCAGUACAGAAUAGCUUAGCAUCUUGAAAAUUAUUUUCUAGGAAAGUCUGGCAUCAGUUGGCAGUGUGUAUUUUUGAAAAGUAAAAUGAGAUUGUCCCCAGGGUAUUUAAUAGUGAAGGAAAAUAAAAAUCAUACAGAGAACCCCCUUGCAAAUGUAGGGUAUGUGGUUUGUAUGUUUUAAUUUCUCAUACAUGUGAAGUUCUAGCAGCUAUUUUUGGUACCUUGAAACAUAGACCUUGUGUGUAUACACACACACACACACAUCUGAGAAACAAUCUACCGUCUCUCCCUAAAACUAUCUAUUCCUUCUAUUUUCGGAUUUCUAAAUAAAAAUUUAGUUCAUUAAGCAAACCAAGUGGUUCUAUAACACUUUAGCUGUAUAUCACCUAAUAAUGAUCUUUGGCUUUUUGCGUCGAAUCAAAUUCCCUAUGGAAUGCACAAAUGUCAUGCAUCAACAGUUUUAUGGGAACUGUAAAUCUAGAAGGAGCAUUAAUGAUGCAUUGUCAUUACACUUUCCCCCACCAUGAAAGUAAGAAGAAGAAGAAGAAGAAGUGUCAUUUGCCAACAGUUUGACAGGACAACUGUGCGAUUUAGCGAAAAUAUAAAUGAAGCAAUGUGACUAUCCUCCCUCUCCACCAGAAUACAGAAGGGGGAAAAUGUAUUCAGAGUGCAUAACAUUCUCAUAUUUCUUGACAAAUACAUGUAGACUAAAUAGCGGAGAUUCCAGGUAAGCAACUACCUUGUGCCAUUUUAUCUUUACGUCCAGGGCAUCCUCUCCACCAAAGGAUAACCAGGAUAAGGAAAACUACAAAACUAUAGCAGCCAGAAUCCCAGCCACUGUGCCAGCAGANNNNNNNNNNNNNNNNNNNNNNNNNNNNNNNNNNNNNNNNNNNNNNNNNNNNNNNNNNNNNNNNNNNNNNNNNNNNNNNNNNNNNNNNNNNNNNNNNNNNNNNNNNNNNNNNGUACCUUCUCGUUGAACACAAAAAGAAAUUGAUGGAGAACACAAUAAUUGAGAAUCAAGAGGACAUAAAACUGCCCAGAGUACUCCACAGAAACUAUCAGAUAAAUGAGCACCGGAAGAUAUCAUCUGUGGAACAUGUAAUACAAAAUACAAAGGGAAAAAGGAAAAAAAAAAAUCUACUCUUCAUUCUCAAGGCUGUACUGUAUGAUACAGGCACAGUGGUCGUAAUCCAUAGCGGAAAAGUGAACAAGGCUAUCAUUUCAUAGUCGAAUGGAAGGAUUAAAGAUACAUAGAGAAAACACGCUCAGAUAGAAAGAACACAAAGCAACCUAUAACAAAUUUUCGACUCUAAGAGAAUAAUAAUAGAUCCCGGUCAGCUAUUAUGCGUAAUUGACUUGAUCUAUAGUGACAUAUGCCAAUGGCCUGAAUCCAACAGUAGGCAUUUGCAACCAAGCCAAGUAACUGAAUAGCCUAUUAAUGACUUCUGGUGCAAGAAAAAAUACGGGUAUUCUUUUCAACAUGAAUAUGAGUAACUUUCUCAACAGAGAAGCACCAAGUGAAACAUGGAAGCAUCCAUCUGCGUACCAGGGUAGACAGAGAUAGCAGAUAUAAGAGGACCAUAGACUCCUCUGUCAGGUAUAGCAGUGGUUCCUUUCCCAGCCCAAUAGAAGCGUAUCUCCAGAGUGCCCUUGGUCACAUUGGCAGUAAAAUUUCUCAUGACCUCCUUUCGAACUCCACCUGCUUCAAUCUCAAUGUUGAAAUCUUUCCACACCAAUUUCCCCUGAAAUAAUAUUUCAUCUGAUUCAAGUUGAGUGUCUCCACACUGAACAAGGUAAAAUAUAUAUAUAUAUAUAUAUAUAUAUAUAUUUUGGUAAAAAUAAGAAUUAUAUUGAGCUUUAACCAAACUAUACAAGAGGCGAUCACGGCACCAAAACUUACACUCAAAAUGACAAGGAGUCUUAGCGAGUGGAAGGGUGCCUGGACAGAACAAAAGACUGCCAAAACAGCAGCACAAAACAGCCAACCGGCAAUACCCACCAACAACGGCAAAGUGGACAAGGUAAAAAUUUUAGUCUCCAUAGAAUGUACAAAUUGUGAAAAAAUCAUGAUUUGCAAGUAAGAUAUAUUUGGAUAAACUUCCCAACCAUAACAUAUUGAACGCUUUAUAUGUUUUAUAUAUUAGAACCAGCACUCCUUAAUGCUCCGAGUUUACCUGUAUAUAUAUAUUAAAAGCUCUCCUUCCAAGGCUUUGAUAACUUUUGUUGCCCGUGAACAUUAUCUCCGCAAAAUGAAGGGUUACAUUGUAGGGCCCAUCCAUCAGACAAAAACCAUAAUAAGUUAGAGAGAUGGCAGAACGUCGUGCUUUUAUGUAAAGUUGGGCAUCAUUCAUGGACAGUGUGGAUGUGUUUUUAACUUCAUAGCUAACUGCAGGGCUAUCGUCAUUGGUGAAGUAACCAGUGCUACUGUAGGCCCAGUAACCACUCCUGAAGAAACUUGGAGGUGUAGCCCUCUGUGAGUUUCGUAUGUGGUGCCCCUUACCUUUGCUUUGCUCCCACCACAAUUUAUGAAGAGGUUAUACCGAGCUGGAUGGAGUAAAGAAGCAGCCACAGAGAAAAUUCAGUUUCUUCUAUUUGUUAAUAUGGAGUGGACUUUCCAGACACAUUAAAUAAGCUAGCAUUCACUCAUUGGAAAAUUACAUAGAAACUCCCAAGUUAUGAGCAACCCAUUAUUUCAUGCAGGUAGCUUUUGAAAUUAUUAGGGUAAUUAUGCAUCAACCAUCAAAGAUCGACACAAUAGCCAAGAGGAGAGUUGACAAGGAGAUAAAUUUGAUGAGAAAUUACACAGAGUAAGAUGUAAUAUUAGAAUCUGAUGAUAAUGAUAGGAUAUGUCAGAAUAAUUUAAAUAUAAAAUCACGUAGUCAUCUAACAAUUUAAGCUUUUAAAACAGUUGGCUGUGAUCUUAUAAAAUCUCAUAUGGUAUCAGAGAUGGAUUUCAUGAGUUCAAAUCUUUCGAAGCCUCAUUUGCCUCCCUAAUUAAAUAUGUCCACACUUCAUCUAAUAGUUUAAACUUUUAGAACAGUUAGCUGCGGUCCCACAAAAUUUCGUAGGAUAUACAGCACGUCAAUUUACUUUUUAUACAACAAUGACUCUGCAGCAUAUUAACUUACUUUUUGCACAAUGUUGACUCUGCAAACAUGAGACAAGUCCACUUGUGGCAGAACAUGAGGUUCUGAGCAAGUCAGCAAAGAUUUUACUGUUAUAAUCAUCAUCAUUCUUAAUGAAGUUCGAUGCUAAGUACAUAAACAAUAAAAAAGCGGGUCCUUGGAAAUCCAAGUCUCUCGUUGAAAAGUUAAUCGCAAACAUACGCAUUCUCAACCUCGGAGCUUGCGAACAAGUUGCUGUAGAGAAAAGACAAAAUCAACAUUCAGCAGAGAAAUGGAAAUAUUAUACACAAACAGUAUAUAAGUUACUCAAUAAGUGCACAUUUGAGGGGAGCCCUGGACUGAUGAAGGAAGUAGGACAUACACAGAUCCUACAUGACAUUCUGAGCGUCCAGCAGUGAAGUUUUUGUAUGAUAAAUCACUACACAGAGAAACAGUCAACCAUUUCCAAAAUCUCAUCAAUUUGAAGAAUUCACUGAAAGUCAUUCCACCAAAUGAUUUUUUUUAUUUUUUAAUAAUUCCAUCAAAUGAUUAGUAUGUACAAAAAUGCAGGCAAGUUGCGAAAUAUGGACAGGUAAGGCAAGAUGAAAGGCGAAAACAUCACAAGAUGAUGAAAUUGAUAUUUUAUUCCUACUGAAAAUAUCUUAUCUUAGAAUAUGAAAAGGAGAAAGACUAACUGAAGUAAACGGAGACUUUCAAACUAUUGUUUUUUUUUUUGGUAAGAGUAAGCAAUAUAUUAAUAGGGGUCAAACUGUACAAACAACACGGCUCCAAAAGCUUACACUCAAAAUGAACACGCUCAUUAAGAGUGAAAGGAAGCCGCGGACAAGCAAACAAAACGACCUACAGCAAGCCAACGGCAAAACAAGCUGGCAAAAACACCUAAACAACCACCGAAAAGCCUAAGUCAGACUAUAAUCAGAGGAAGCAAAAAUAAUGGGGUCCACAUCCCACGAGCGUUGCAUCCGCCUGUUCCUGGGAGAGUCCUCAACAUUCUCAAAGGUAAGGGCCUUAUCCUUAACAACCUUGAGGAGAUGCUUCUUCAUGGCCGAAAUAGAUAACGGCUCCCCCCUGAACAAAAUAUUGUUCCUGUUUCUCCAGAUGAUGUGACACAGCGCCCCAAAGGAGAACCGGGCAACACGCUUAUAAAACUCCUUGCCGCUGAGCAAGGUAAUGGCCCAACUGAGAGUCUCCUCCCAAGUCCUGUUGGUCCAGGGGAGAUUGCAUCUAGUAGCCCAGAAAAAGGCAAUACUCGAGGUAAUGCGACAACAAAAAAAGAGAUGAUUGAUUGAAUCAGGCACCUCGUUGCAAAAAGGGCAGGAAGCAGCAUCAAUCCUACCAUAAGACAUGAGAAGAGACUGAGUAGGUAACCUCCUCUUGGUGAUGAGCCACAGGUUUAGUUGGUAGCGAGGCAGGAUGGCAUUACUCCAAAUGAAACAAUGCCAAUUGACUCUGGCCUUCUUCCUCCUUAAGGCCUCCCAAGCCGAGGCCACCGAGAACAAGCCCGUCGAGUCCUCCCUCCAACAGAACCGAUCUUGGGUUCCAGACAAGGAAGGAAGCGGCGAACCCCAAGACUCAAUCUCUGAUCUGAUAGCUUGUCCAUCCUCAGAGAAGAGAUCGGCAACCAAAGCCUGCCUAGAGAGACCGGAGCUGUAGAUGAGGGGAUCAGUGAAAUAUAAAUUCAAAGGACCCCUGGGAUGCCAAUUGUCAAACCAGAGUGACGUUGAUAAUCCAUCGCCUACCCUCCAGUGGAAGUGAAGCCGGCAAUCUGUCUUGAGUUGUAAAAAAAUUUUCCACGCCCAAGAGCAGCAGGUUGGCUUUUUAACUACCCAAAAGUUCUUGGUUUUUAAGAAGGUCGAGUGGACCCACUUACACCAUAACGAUUCUUUAUCUGAAAAUAGAUUCCAGAUAUGCUUGAGCAUGGCCGCCUUAUUACACUCACGCAAUCUCCGGAUACCAAGACCUCCCUCCACUUUAGGAAGGCAUACAUCUUCCCAUGAGACUUUGGCACCCCCCCUGCCCAACUCAGGUCCCUUCCAAAGGAAUUGUCUGAGAAUGUGCUCUAUCUGGUCCAGUACAGCUGCAGGAAGAAUAAAGACACUUGCCCAAAAAGCCUGAAUGGCAUGGAGGACUGACCUGAUCAGCUGAAGUUGGCCAGCAAAAGAAAGAAACCGAUGAGUCCAGGACUGCACCCUGAAGGUGAUGCGCCUCACAAGUUCAACGCAAUCUGCCUUCCGGGGCCUCGAUGUGAUAAUUGGAACCCCAAGAUAGCGGACUGGAAGGUUACCCUCAACAAAGCCAAGCUCCAGGAGGAUUUGAUUUUUCAAGGUCGGCAAGCCUCCCGAGAUGAACACCUCGCUUUUCCUUGGGUUUGGGAAAAGUCCGCUCCAAGAAGAAAACAUAUGGAGACCAUCCCUGAGAAGCUUCACGGAUGGCAGGUGGCCCUCGCAAAAUAGAAAGACAUCAUCCGCGAAAAACAAGUGCGAGAGGCAAGUAGUCUUACAUCUCCAGUAGAAUCUGAAAUCCGGCUGUAGCGAGCACCUCCCAAGAAUCCCAGAGAGCACCUCCAUAACCAAUGUGAAUAAGUAGGGAGAGAUGGGGUCUCCCUGACGUAAGCCUCGCCCACUAGGGAAGAAACCAUGUAACUCCCCAUUCAACGCGAUGGAAAACCGAGGAGUCCUCACACAGGUCAUGAUGAGGUGAACCAAUUGAUCAGGAAAUCGAAAAGCAAGUAGUACACUCUUGAGAAACCGCCAAUCCACGGUAUCAUACGCCUUUCUGAAGUUGACUUUGAUAGCACACUUGGGAGAAUAGGGUUCGAUAUGGAACUUAGAGAAAAGUUCCUGCGCCAAGAGAAUAUUAUCCCUAAUUCGUCAUCCCUUGACGAAGGCACUCUGAGACGGAUUGACAAGGUCUUUUAGCACUGCUGCAACCCUAUUCGCCAUCACUUUGGUAAUAAUCUUAUAGACCGUGUUGCAACAAGCAAUAGGCCUGUAAUCAUCAACGGUAGUCGCAUUGGGAACCUUCGGAACCAUGACCAAAAUGGUGUUAUUGAUUUCUCUGAGUAGUCUCCCCGAUGUGAAAAAGUCCUUGACGGCUUCCGUGACCAGCUGACCCACCGUAUCCCAAUUCUCCUUGAAGAACUCAGCCGUGAAGCCAUCUGGACCUGGUGCCUUACCUCUGGCAAGGGAAAAAAGAGUAUCUCGAAUUUCCAGAUCAGACACAGGGCGAGCAAGAAAAGAAAUCUGAUCAUCAUUCAGCUGGGUGCGGAUAACUUCCCGAAUCUCCGAUACCUGAGGGGUGUCCAGCUCCAUCCUUGGCUUAAGGAAAUCCUGAAAAUGCUCCACAAAAUGCUGUUGGACCAAUUGAGGCUCAGUGAUUUGGUUACCUGAGGAAUCCACAACAGAGAGAAUUCUGUUUCUCAGACUUUCAAACUAUUUAUAGUGUAUAAAAACAUUUUUACUCAGUAACAGUACCACAGUCAUGAUGUCUAAGGCAAAGAGGCUUUAAUAGAACUGUGAUUCCACCUACUACUACGUCACGUCUUCUAAUAAGAAAUUAUCCAGACCACAUUUAUCUAUUUAAACUACCUCACAAGAGCUUCAUUCCUACACCCAUAAGAUAAUAUCAACUUCUCCUAAGUACACUCAUGUUGGUUGUAGAGUUUCUCAAAUACACAAACCCAUAAAAACAUUGUUAUCAGCAAGAAAUAGCCCAAGCAACUAAUCAUAUACUGCAGGUGAUACGUUAGACAAACUUUCAAAGAGGAUUAAUAGGAGGUAAAAAUUUUCCAAACAUAACUUUAAUCAUUCCAAUAGGUCUGAAAAUGAUCUACAGCUGGGAAUGGCAUUUUGUAUGGGGGAAAAUGGAGCUAACUAGGCACUUCCAAGAAAAUACACUUUAUAUUCUUUCAUGCAUAUCAUACAGUUCAGCCUCUUCUGUUACAUACAUCCAUCCAAUUAACAGAUCCCAACGAGGAGAAAGGUACUUAUAAUGUUUCCAUUUAUCUCAAAAGGCUACUAACCAUAAAGAUGCAAUAUGUGAAUGCAUAAUUGCUUGGUACAGAGCAAGAUUAGGCAGAUAAAGCUAGAGGCAAAUUCAUGAUUAAACAAGAUACUUUCUUCAGGCAGCGAAGCUUACACAUUUUUUCCUUUCUCCAGGAUCCAAUCAGGGACUGCUCCAAUCAACUGGUUUCCAGUUAGAUACCUAAACAAGAUUAUUUGAAUGAGUCAGCUCCUCAUGUACUUUAUACACUGUAACUGAAAAUUAUUUAAGACUUAUACCUCAAAAACGCAUUAUUUAGCAUAUUAUUAGCAUUUGUUUAUUAGUGGUGUAGAAAAAAAUCAGUUUAAGUCAUGAUAACAAUAUAGAGCUUUCAGCUGGAGAUGAAAGAUUAAGGAAAUCAAUGACAGAGGAAAACCCUGAUCCCUGCGAAACUUGGAGCGCCUGGAGAAAGAUUACCAUAACAGUAGUACACAAAGCUGGACUAGUGAAGGGUACCUCCAAAUUAGCUUAUCAACUAUUUCCUUGUGAUAACGUUUUUGUCCUUCUAAGACAUAAAAUAAAUAAUUAAGGAAGACGUGCCAUUGCCAAGCUUCAAUCGUUGGGCAGAAAGAUGAAAACUAAUGUUAAACAGUCCAAGAAGCUUAGGAGUACAGUUUCUCAUCAUUCUCAAAACUAGGGAUAAGAUACCAAGGUCCUCCACAGACCUUCUAAAUAGCACUUGAGAGCUGCACUCACCAAAUUUCUAGAGCCAUUGUUGUGGAAAGAACCAAGUAGAGAGCCUAAGGACUUUUGUUAUAUUUAAUCUCCUAUACAUCAUAAAAUAGGCACACAAGACAUGCAUUGAGUACAGAAACAUAUAGCUGUCAAACGCUAAAGUAUCACUGAUCCAUUUAACUCUUCCAGCGUAAACAAGUAACUUUUUGAAACUUGUGAAUCAUGCGAAGAAAUUAUCAAAAGGGCUGCUCUUUAAGCAACAGAAUAUCAACGAUCUACACCUGCUCCAUGACUAAAGUCCCACCAAAAUAAUUACUUGACAAUAAUCAUAAAUUCUUAACUCAAUUCAUUACAAAAUUUGGAUGGUGAAGUAAUAAGCAUCCACAACCUGAGGGCUUUGAGAGUUAAAAAAUGAAUAUGUUAUCAUGGUCUAAGUUCUAUUGAUAGCUCAACUACUUUAUGGUAAAAUUUGCCUGUAGCUUGACCACUAGAACAACUUGAGACUUUAGAUCAUCUACAAAAUACGAAAAGAAGCCUAAGUUCAGCAUCGAAGUACUUACAUAUAUUCUACUUUUUCCAGGCUGCCGUAGGAUCUAGGGAUUUCGCCACUCAAUUUGUUGAAGCUGAGGUCUCUGCAAAGCAAGUUUAUGUGAAUAUAUAUUGAGAAGAUACUUUUAACUGACUCCCUCAGGAUACUCUUUGAGCAUACUUCAGACGAUUGUACAAACACACACAACAUCAAUGAACAUACAAAGUCUAGUUCAGAUGUUUAGACAUACAGGUCAACUGUCUAGUGCCUAAGCUUUCCACUAGACAUUCAUCUCCAGAGGCAUUCAUUGCCUAAAUCCAAGUUUCAAGUUGGUCACAUGCUAUAAGUAUACAAAACUGCUGUAAAUCAAAUUUAUGAAAUGGAAAUUUCAAUUUAUAUAACUAGAAAAGCUAUUUGGGCACUAAAUUGAGUGCAUCCCGAGGAAUGCAUCAUAUUAUAGUUCAGAUUGGGAGAUUUCACUAAUCUAAUAGGACUGAAACUAAAGCUAAUCAUAAUUUGUUGAAAACAUCUCCUUCACAAUAUAUUAUUUAUGAAUAAAUGGAUGUCGAUUCAAUACUAGGGUGCUUAGAAAAGGAAAUAUCAGCUUCAGUGAAUAAAAAAAUAAAGAAUAAAAUGAGGAUUUCAAAAAACAGGAAAGGGAAUAGAGUAUGUGAUAAGUCACAGCAGAACCACAGAAAUUUGGUCAUUCAAGAAUGUCAGAAAAACAAAAAAUUAAAGCUCCAUUUGUUUCGUGAAAAAUGUAACGUUUUAGAAAAUAUUUUCCAUGAAGUUAUUUUUUCAGGAAAAUGAAAAUAUUCCGGUGCUUGACUGAAAUCCUGAAAAUACCCGGAAAAUAUUUUCCAUUGUUUAGUAUGGAAAAUUUAAUUUGAUUUUCUAGGAAAAAAUUGUCAAAAAAUUCGAAUUUUUAAAUUUAUUUUUUAAUCCUUUUCUUUUAACUUCUUCCUCGGCCGGUUGUCAGCUAUGGCUAUGGGCCACGGGAUAAAAAAAUAUUUUUAUGAGAACAAACGUUUCAUUAACUAAGGAUCCGAACUUGAGCACCCAGGACCUGCACACGGCCUUCGCGGACUCAAUCUAAGUGCUGGGGACUAGAGCUUGAGUGUCAAGGACCCAAGCAUUGCUUUUAUGUACUCGGGGUCAGGUAUUAGGGCAUUGGGCCUGGGCACCAGGGCUUUGGGCCCAGCCUUGAUGGACUAGGCUUGGGUGCUGAAGACCUAGUUCUGAACACUGAGGACCAAGAACCAGGCAUUGGGGUUCCCGUGUCCGAGCAAAGAGUUGCGGGUCCAAGCAUUGAUACCAACUCAUAGUUUGGAAAAUGUUUUCCGACUUUUUCAAAAGAGGAAAUCAUUUCCUAAAUUUAAACAUAGAUCUUUCAUUGACUUGGAAACAUUUUCCAUUAACUCAUUUUCCUAAACAAACCAAAUGCUGGAAAAUCAGGAAAAUGUUUUUCGCGAAACAAACAAAGCCAUGACAGAAUGGCAAAAUGUUGCUGUUAAAAGUAGCGUUUAUUAAAUCUUACAGAGAUGACCACAUGAACAAGAAGAAUUGACUUGUAUAGAGAUGCAUUUGAAGCCAUGCUCUCGUUUGAACUAUGAAUGUUAUGUCUGACAAGUGUACAACAGUCAAGCAUAAAACUCCAGCUAGAUAUUGUAGGGCUGAGAUUCGAGAAUGUAAACCACCGGAAGGAAAGUUUCCAGACAAUCAACCACUAGAAGCCUCCAUUUUGCAUUAAUGCUCUUAAGAAGUUAAGAUAACAUAUCAAAGAAAAAGUAAAUUAGACAAGAUGGGAAACCACAACCAAGGUAAGAAUUCUUGCUGGAAAAGUGAAAACAAAGAGAGUGUUAGAAUAUUUAAAUAACAAACCACGCUUUCAUCUAAUAGCUUGAGUUUUUAGAACAAUUGACAAUAGUUCCACAAAUUCUCACAGAGAGAAAAAGUCCAUAUACUUUUGUGCAAAACUGUAUAUUCUACAGCAGAGGCCACAAUCACCAAGAAUUUAAAUGCCACAUCAUUCACAAUUCAGCAAUAUCAACAGAAAAUAUCAAAACACCAUUGAAGUCAGUAAGGGACCUUCAAGCCAUCUUGAAUGGGUUCUUUAACUGCAACCAAUAGUCAAUCAAAAACUAAUAGAAAUUUCACUCCUUAAGGGUAAAAUUAUUUAUUCUGCUUGGAAUAGCCAAAGGGAAAAGCCGCUUUCUACUCACAAUAUAUUUAGACUUGUCAUAUUUGCUAGAUAACCAGGUAGCUCUCCCAUGAGAUUGCAGCUCCUCAGAAUCCUAUAAGAAAAUAACACCGAUAUUGUCACAUUGCUAAGACAAUUUGGCUCUUUUGCAUAAAGUAAACUAUCUGUGAAGGAGCAUCGAUCUCACAGUGUAACAAUAUUUGUACUGUUAAGUUGUGGAACACGAGACUCGGGUCCAUCAAGGUCACUUAUUCUCCUGCAUAUCAAAAUCAAAUAGGAGCUUUAUUUGAUUGAUAACAUCUUAAAGAAAGAGAGAUCAGAUCGAAAUGCCAAAAUUCCAUACUGACAAGUCGGUCAAAUACUCCAAAAGUGCGAUCCCAGAGGGAAUCGGCCCUUGCAAUCCACUUCCUUGAAUAACCCUGAUGAUACAAUUCAUAGAUGGAAUUGUCUUGGGGGUAUAUCUAUAAAGACCGACUUAAAGGGGGAAGAAGCAUUAAGCCUUACAGUGUUUGGAGAUUUGUCAAGUUCUGAAUAAAAUCGGGUAUCUUUCCUGAGAACUGAUUAUCACCAAGUCGCCUACAGUGCAUUAAACAACAUGAUUCAUAUGAAGGAGAAAGAAUAGAAAUGGCUAAAUAUUAGCUGAGUUUGUGGAUACUGGAAACUAACAGGUGACCCAAUUCCCUGAAGUUAACAAAUGUUUGAGGCAGCUCCCCCGUGAAAUUAUUUGACGUAAGCCACCUGAAACAAGAAAAACCCAUGACAACACAUUGGUUAAUAGAACCUGAAUGCUGUAUCUCUCAACAGAUCACUCCAAUGGAUAAAAUUCCCUCGCCAGAUACAAAAUCAUCAGCGAAUAAAAACUCGAUGCCUAACACAGAAUUUUGCAUCAAGAGAGACUCACAAAUAAUAUAACCCGGACAAGUUCCCGAGCUCUGGAGGAAGAGGUCCAGAAAGCCAAUUGCUUUCGACGACUCUGAGCGGAAUAUGAAAGUUAAAAUCUUGAAACAUCAAUCAAAUUUAGAACAGCGAAGAGGCCAAAGGCGAGCGUCGGGAUGAGAGUGGUCACUCACAGAUGCAGAAGUGUGGAUAUGUUCCCCAACUCCUUCGGGAUUGGACCAGUCAAUCGGUUUCCGGGUACAUAACUGCACCCACAUCAUCGCGUUUCCCCCAAUCAAACAAUAGAACAUACACUCGUGUGAGAGAGAGAGAGAGAGAGCAUACAUGUAGGCCAAGGUCGUAGAGGAGCCCCACUCUUUAGGAAUUGUGCCGUUCAGGUAGUUGUAGGAGACAUCACUGUUUAUAGAGAGAGAGGAUGAAGAAGAAGAAGAAGAUCGAAAAUUGAGAAAAGGGGAAAGAGAGUGCUUACAAGUUCCGGAGGAAAGGCAAUCUAAACAAUUGAGGCGGAAGGGUGCCGGCAAGAGAUUGCUUCUGAACAACUCUGUUUUCGGAACGACACGAAGGCUUUAUUCUAGCUUUACUUGAAAACUAGGCAUCAAAAUGAUGUUACAAAAUGGCUUUAUUACAUCUAUUGAUAUGUAUACAUAAAUCUCAAUUGAUUCUAAAUGAAAAAAAUUCUUCAAAAAUUGCCUAAGAAAAAGAAGGUUUUGUUUAAAGCAAAUGAAUAUAUAACUAAUGUGAAAAGCACGCAUCACUCAAAAGUACAGCCCUACCAUGCAUUAAUAUGAAUAGCAUAUGUAAUAAGGAGGGAAUAGCAUUAAAAUUUUGAAACUACCCUUAUGAUUAAAGUUAGAGGGAAUGUAACUCUCAUCACUUUGAUAUUUAAUCAUGAUCUUUGAGUUUGACAUUCCCAUUAAUCACUAAAAAUAUAAUUUAUAUAAUUAAAUGCUAAGCAUAUAAUAUACGAUUGUAUUGAUUAAACUUAUAAAAAAUUGUAUAAUCAUACCGUGAACAAUUAAUGUUAUGCUCAUAAUUGCUUAAUGAGUAAUUUUAAUAUGAUAAGUGAUUACUUAUUGUUGCCACAUUUCGACCAAAAAAUCGGUUAAUUUUUUAUUUUUAUUUUAUGAAAUACUAAUAUGAUGCAAAGAGAUUCAGCUCGGCAGCCAGUCGGCUUUAUAAAGAGAACAGAUUGAUGUGCAAUUGCGUGAUUAAUAUUAAAGUCUAGCGAGGAAUCCACGAUGGUAUAAUUCAUGAAAUUGAGGGAGAAAGAGACAUUCUGGAGACAUGGGAAAUGGGGCUGUUGUGGGCGUCGGUGGAAUUCUCGCAGGCGACGGCAUUGGUAGCUGUACCGAUGUCUUUGUUGUCACCCCCAUCCACCCUCCACACCGCAUGGAUCUGCAUUGAAAUCCCAAUCCGAUUUCCCUAACAUCUUUGCUAUUUCUUUCAACACAUCCACUGAAAGAGAAAAGAGCCGAUAAGUAAAAAGGAACAUCAAUGUAUCAUGUAAAACAAGCACAAAGAAAGUUAGAUUCGCAUGUGCUUGAAGUUGAAUAUAUGUAUGAAAAACAAGCACCAAAAAGAAAAAAAAAAUUAGUGUACGUUGGAGUCCAAAAGGUAAAGGAACAAUACGAUGAAAGCAAUAAAAGAUCGAUGGAUUUAUUUUUUUUCACCUUCCUCUUGGGGCAGAAGAGUGGCAGCGGCAGCUAAGUUAGUGAUGCUGAGAAGGACGAGCAUAGAGAAGAGAUAUCAAACCGAGAAGAGAAUUGUCAUCAUUUCAGUCUCGAGGUCAACACACACACCCACACACACACAUAGAGAGAGAGAGAGAGAGAGAGAGAGAGAGAUGGGAAUCCUAUGCAUCUAANNNNNNNNNNNNNNNNNNNNNNNNNNNNNNNNNNNNNNNNNNNNNNNNNNNNNNNNNNNNNNNNNNNNNNNNNNNNNNNNNNNNNNNNNNNNNNNNNNNNNNNNNNNNNNNNNNNNNNNNNNNNNNNNNNNNNNNNNNNNNNNNNNNNNNNNNNNNNNNNNNNNNNNNNNNNNNNNNNNNNNNNNNNNNNNNNNNNNNNNNNNNNNNNNNNNNNNNNNNNNNNNNNNNNNNNNNNNNNNNNNNNNNNNNNNNNNNNNNNNNNNNNNNNNNNNNNNNNNNNNNNNNNNNNNNNNNNNNNNNNNNNNNNNNNNNNNNNNNNNNNNNNNNNNNNNNNNNNNNNNNNNNNNNNNNNNNNNNNNNNNNNNNNNNNNNNNNNNNNNNNNNNNNNNNNNNNNNNNNNNNNNNNNNNNNNNNNNNNNNNNNNNNNNNNNNNNNNNNNNNNNNNNNNNNNNNNNNNNNNNNNNNNNNNNNNNNNNNNNNNNNNNNNNNNNNNNNNNNNNNNNNNNNNNNNNNNNNNNNNNNNNNNNNNNNNNNNNNNNNNNNNNNNNNNNNNNNNNNNNNNNNNNNNNNNNNNNNNNNNNNNNNNNNNNNNNNNNNNNNNNNNNNNNNNNNNNNNNNNNNNNNNNNNNNNNNNNNNNNNNNNNNNNNNNNNNNNNNNNNNNNNNNNNNNNNNNNNNNNNNNNNNNNNNNNNNNNNNNNNNNNNNNNNNNNNNNNNNNNNNNNNNNNNNNNNNNNNNNNNNNNNNNNNNNNNNNNNNNNNNNNNNNNNNNNNNNNNNNNNNNNNNNNNNNNNNNNNNNNNNNNNNNNNNNNNNNNNNNNNNNNNNNNNNNNNNNNNNNNNNNNNNNNNNNNNNNNNNNNNNNNNNNNNNNNNNNNNNNNNNNNNNNNNNNNNNNNNNNNNNNNNNNNNNNNNNNNNNNNNNNNNNNNNNNNNNNNNNNNNNNNNNNNNNNNNNNNNNNNNNNNNNNNNNNNNNNNNNNNNNGAGAGAGAGAGAGAGAGAGAGAGAGAGAGAGAGAGAGAGAUCUCCCGUUCUUUAAUCGGAGUCUAUGAAAACAAAGCUUGGUUAAGCAAGGGAGCAAGAGAGAGAUAAUUGUUAAGUGAGCAAUUUAACUUCAUGCAUUUAUGUACGAAAAAAGGGAGAGUUGAUAAAGACGUUUUGCUUUUGGAUAUUUGACGACCUCAAGUCUUCCUCCAACAUAUGAAUAUUCAUCCAGAAUUGAGUGAGUUUUAGUUCAACUUUUCUUGCAUAAUAACUUUCUUGGACCACAUAUUUACCUUCAAUCCAGAGAGAGAGAGAGAGAGAGAGAGAGAGAGAGAGUGUGUGGUUUUCACAAAAAAGAGAGAACGGAUAGUGGUUUUCAUGAAAAAGAGAGAGCGGACAAAGACUCUUUGCUCUUGUAUGUCUGGAUGUGAGAGUGAUGUGUGAGAGUGAGAGAGAGACGACCCCAAGUCUUUCUUGAUUGUAGGGAGAGAGAGAGAGAGAUGUGAUUUUAAGUGAGUGCUUUCCACGAAAAAGAGAGAUAAGAUAAAGACUCUUUACUUUUGUAUGUCUGGAUGUGAGAGUGAUGUGUGAGAGUGAGAGAGAGAGACGACCCCAAUUCUUCCUUGAUUGUAGGGAUAUCCAUCUAGAAUUGAGCUGUCAAGCUUUUGUCCAUCUCUUCUUGCUUAAUAACCCUUUUCAUAUUAUCGGUUUAUCCAAUCCCUCUUUUCAUAUUGUUCUUCCAAUGACAAUAGUCUUUUUCAUUGCUCUAAUUUUGGUGGUCGACAAAAUUUUGAUUGUCACUUAAAGUUAAGUUAUAUAAAAAAUUAUGGAUUACUUUUUAGCCUCUAAAUCAAAAAGAAAAAAAAAAUUCCAUUAAAUUACACAGCAUAGCACAGGUCAACGCCAGAGCACGGAGGAGGAGAAGGGAUCGCUAGGGUAGCCUAAGGACUGGCCAGCGUGUGAGAGACUAGAGGGUGAAGGGUCUCUGCUGAUUGGACUUUUCUGUAGGUCGAGAGCCUAUAAAAAAAGGCCUUUGGACGCUGACUGGGGAGUUCGGAGAGGUUCAAGAUAGAAGGAAAAAAAAAACAGAGAGAGAGAGAAAAGAGAGGAAAAAAGGUUUGCAGUGAGAAAUCGAGCGAGUGUCCUCCGACGACAGACACUCAAAACCCGGCCAACAACUUACCAAUGUCAGCCUUCUUCCCAAGUUGAAGCCACGGUAGGUCUUGGUUUGAAUCUUGUUUGUUCUUCUUUCGAGUGCAUCGCGUCAAGUUCCCGAGGAUUCUGACUGGGGGGCACGCGAGGCGACUAGACAUUGUCCAAUCUAUCGAGCUCACCCUCAUUCGCCGCCCCCAAGCCGGUUAGGGAGCACCACCGAUGGCCCCUUUUUAUCCCCCUCAUCAUUCUGAUUUUGUGGCCUGAUUCGGGCUCGCUGGACCGGGCUACCGUUUUUAGGAAGUCCAUGAGUGUUCCCUGGUCACUUUAGGUUUGAGGAAUCUGGGCUUGUUUUAAUAUGGAGAGUUUGAGUGUGAUUCGGCAUUGAUAAUGGUGAGCUUAGUUCGGCUUGUUGAGUUUGGGUUUAAUUUGAUUGAGUGGGCUUGGAAUUUGUCCUAGUUGUGGCCAAAUUGUGCUUCAAUUGUUGAGCCCAUCCCUUUCUUUAGGCUUUUAUUCAUAGCCUGACCUGAAGGCCCACGGUAGUCCACAUCCUGACCGGGCUCUAAGGCCCUACCCGAAUACGCAUCUUUAGAAUAAAAAAUUAUUAUUCUUUAAAAUAUUUUUAAAAUUUAAAAAUUUAAAAAUUUCCGAUUUUUUUUUUUAAUAUUUUCAGUUAGGAUAAAGCUUAAUAAUUACUUUUUGAGUAGUUGUCUCUUAAAAUAUGUGAAAAUCCUUGAUAAAUAGAUUGUGCUUUUAUCAGAUUGUUAUUUGCAUAUUUCCAUUAUUUCGAUUGUGCGCUUUUUAUAAUCUAUUUCCUUAGCCUAGUUAAGAAUACAUUUCUUGGACUCAUGAAUGCUGCAUGAAUACUUUAUUUGAUGAUUGAACAAGAAUAAGUACCAAAAGGGCAUUAGUUGGCUAAUUAGUGUAAUUAAAUUUUCGACUUUAGAUUAUCUGGUUCAAAGUAAGUAAUCCUCCCAGUGUUUACUUGGGAUCUAAUCGAUCCACCUUAAAUUGAUUAUUGUCGUGAUUUGUAUGUUAAAAAUUCAAAACAUAAGUUGCAAAUUAGUAUGAGCUUGAGAGAGUUCGAGCUAAAUUUGAACUUAACAAUCCAUUAGCUAAAUUCUUGGUGGUCCAUCCGAGGAUAGGUCGCAACAAUUUUGCUAUGACCAUAUCUCAGCUUUAGGUUAUUACACAAUUUACCAAUGGUGGAGUCCAAAUUCCAUUAUUCUUAGAAACUUCAUUAGCUCAUUCAGGGUUGUGGUUGUGGAGACCCAAUAAUGUGGAGGCCAAUGAAAUACCCUUCAAGCCCUACAAAUUGGUUAAGUUCAAAUCUUCGGACCUAGACCCAAUAUUAUUUGCAGGCAGUUGGUGGUAUCAUAUAUGUUAAAUAUAAAUAAUGGGGAAAAAAUUGUCCUAUUAAAGUGGUUACAAAACAAAAAUAUCAUAUAUGUCGAGUUGGAAUCUAAUUUAGAUAGAUGAAAUAAUAAUAUCUUAGGAUUUUUUAGGACAACAAUUGAAUUGUACAAUCGUGGAAAUUGAAAUAUUUGGCAACUUAGUCUAUCCCAUUCAUUAAUAGGUGCUUGUAAAUUAGCAUAUCUAAGUCUCUGUUGAUGUUGACAAGUGUUUCACCCAUUCAACAUGGAAUUAUUUGAAAUAGAUUUGUUCGAAUUUGGAUAUGGAGUGUGAGGGUUUUGUACUUUGACUUGCUUUGGGCUAACAUGGCCUAUUUUAUCUCCGUUCCAUGUUAUAAAUCUAGACACCAAUUGCAGAAAAAUCGCGGCACAUAAAACAAAAGUUUAGACUCAUACCAAAUACUAAUGGUUCCAUGGGUGAGGUCGUGCAUUCUUAGGCAAAACGUCAUCUUCUAUGAUUGUUUAAUCAGAUUAAUGUUGAGUCAUGGAGGGUUAUUUUAAUAUUGUCAACAACGCAAUUAUAUUGGACCCACAGGGUUAUUUUAAUAUUGUCAACAACACAAUUAUAUUGGACCCACAAGUUUGGGAGAGCUUUGAAAAUUUCGAGUUAACUUUAAAUGAGAAAUUCUAAGCAUGUAAUUUCGUCAUUUAUUGUCAACCCCAAACUUCGAGCAUGCGAACAUCCCAUAGUGGUCGAUUAAACUGUAACUUCUCAGAACGCGUUGCUGACCCAUUCUUUUAUCUUUUGGUUAAACACAUGUGGAAGCACUUAAUAUAAACAACGCCCAAUGAAACAACAAACAACAUGGAUAGUAAAAACACAACCAACAUUCCCAAAAUAGCACUUUCAUUUAUAAACUGUUAACUCUAUGAAGUUUAAUAAUUAUAAACCUUUUUAUGACCACUUCACCAUCUCGAAAACUUGUAGGGUCAGGGUUAACUUAAAUUUCACUGAUGAUGAGGCCAACUAAAAGUGACACCAGGCAUGUCCACAUCUUGGUUCAUCGAAACCCCAAAUCGCACGUGACAGUUCUCCAUACUACAGGCUUGAAAAUAUUUAACAACAACAGGAUGAGAUACAAAUCUUAACGAGUCAACUCUUAAACCUCAAUUAGGAAGCUAAUUCACCUCAGAAGCAACCUAAACAUGCAAAGGCAUAUGAACUUACAAUCUGUAAAACGUAAUCUUAUUUACCCUCAACAACGAAUCCCUUGGGUUGAGACUUAUAGAUUGUCUCCUCAAGCUCGUCAUGCAAAAAAGUGUUCUUGACAUCAAGUUGCUUAAGUUCUAGAUUCAUAAAGGGCUACUAAUGCAAGUAACACACGAAUAGAACUAUGUUUUACAACUAGAGAGAAGACUUCAUUAAAGUCAAUCCCCUUCUUCUGACUAAAAAUCUUUCGCUACCAAACGUGCCUUGAAUCUCUCAUCGUCACUCCCAAAAUUCCCUCUUUCAUCUUCAAUCCCGGAGCUUCAUGUUGUCAUUUAGCCCUCCCUGCAAUCAAACUCUAAGGUAGUUCAAUUUCUUCUGCUUCGUCUUUGAUAGAAUUUGAGUCUUGUUUCUCCUUGUCACUUUCUAAUUGAAUAGGAACAUCUUCAAAUGUUUUCCAAGAAUGCUCAAUAUGAAACUCCACCUCUUUUCCAGCAUUCUCCUUCUAGAUACCCAUAGGCUGUAAGUAACAACUUUCCUCUUUUCAAGUAUGGAAUUUUCAUCAAAAGUAACAUCUCUACUAAUUAUAAACUUUGAUGACUGACGGACAGAACACCAUAACCUAUAUCCUUUAAUUCUGUCUAUAUAAACGACGAAAAUACAAUUCUUGGCCCUAGAUCCAAGCCUACCCUUUUUUACAUGAUAAUAAGCGAGACAUCAAAUUUUUUUAAAAUCAGAACUGAAAAACUGAAGGUAUAGCAAAGCGUCGAGGCUGAUUGAUUUUCAUCUGUUACAAAUCAGUAGUAUCUUCAUACUUGAGGUGAUAUUAGAAUGAUUUGUGGCUAGGACUAGAACUAAGUUUCCUCUGCAGGACAGACAAGCUCCACCAUGAUAGGUGUGAAGUUGCAUAAGACGCUGUAAAUAACACAAAUCUAACUAAAGAACUUUUAGUUGAUGGCCUACUCCAACUCAUAGUCACAAAGGAAUGUGAGUACUCCACAAUCAGUUGGAAAGAUUAAAGCAAAAUCAACUAAGUUUUUUCAAGGGAUGCUUAAGAUUAUUCAUAUGGGAUCAAUCUCAUCAUCAAAGCAAGAAUAUACAUUAAUUACAUAAAAAAGGAGAAAUCUCGGCAGCGUAUGACAUCCGUUUCCUGUCUAUCUCAGGUAUUUUAUGCCGAGAGACUCAAUGGGCAUUAUGGCGAGACCCUGUUUGUGCUUGCGAAUUUCCUUUCUUUGCUCCCUUUCUCGGUGGCAAAUUCUCUGCUUUCAGGAACGGCGAUAUUCUACAUGGUGAAGCUUCAUCCAGGAUUCUCUCACUAUGGUUAUUUCUGCAUUAACUUCUUCUGCUGCACCACCAUUAUUGAGAGUUGCAUGAUGGUUGAGAACUGGAGUUAGUGUCAACGUAAGCAAAUUUUCUCUCUUAAACUUACCUUCCUGUAAUUAUUAUAAAUUAUGUUGUCGUUCAUAGCUAAUUUUUGUGGAUUCAGGUUCUAAUGAUGAUGGCAUCACGGAUCUUUAGACUUCUUGCUGAUCUUCCCAAGUUCUUUUGGCGGUACUCCAUGUCCUACUUCAGUUUUGCCAAGUGGGCAGCUGAGGUAGUUAGUAUAUAGUGAUUAGCUAUUUUUCCGAAAUCAAGCUUGAAAUUUUAUCAGCAUAUUUAUGCAUAGAGCCAUGACAUGGAAGACAUUUAUCAUCAGUUUCAGUAAUAUCGUCUAAUUAGUAAAACUCCACUAGGAGCAUGCGCUACUGCUUGCAUUGCAUAUUUGAACUCAUUGAAGUUAAAAUUCUCAUCUUCCACCUGAGGUACAUUUAUGAUAAGGAAAUCUCGAAACAACAGAGAUUAAGUAAGAUGCCUUCUAUUUUGAUGUGAAGAAAUGGAUUGAAUGGUCGACAGUUCCGCCACUCCCUUCUUCCUUUUCGGAUUGUUGAUCCGCUCUUCCAUAUGCUAGAGGAUAUGUUAACCAAUGUAAUAAAGUAAUACUAUGAAGGAUUCUUCGACCAAAAAAAAAAAAACAAAAUACUAUGAAGAUUCUGUUGUCAGUCUCUUUCACAGAUUGAUCAGAACACCACAAGGCUUCACCACAUGUUUCACUGUCUCUUUACUCAAACUAGCGCUUCAGAUAAACAGGGCUUCUCAGGAACAGUUCUGCGACUAGCCAUGGCAGUCAACAAUACAAGCGUAUGAUUUGGAUUAGUGACUUCGAGUUCUCCCAAAUAUCUCAUGAAUUACAAGUCACCCAUACAAAUCAUUCACAUGCCUUGCAGGGUCAAUACAAGAAUUUCAUGACUGGUCUUGAGUUUGAUUCAGCAGAGCCAGGAGAACCAAAACUGAAAGGCGAGAUGAUCCUCAAAACAACUUUCAGCAUAUCACUGGAUCAUUCCAAGUGGUGGGAUGUAGCUGUGCUUCUGUUUCAACUCUUUGUUUACAAAGUACUACUCUUGUUAGUGCUUAGGUACAAGAAGAGAAUAGCGCCCCAGUUACGGUUGUCGUCACAAGUGUUACUCAAGAAGGUGUCUUGACAGAUGAUUUCGUUGCCAAAUAGCAGCUAGCAUCCAUUAUGUUUCCAGAACAUACUUUAUCGGCAACUAAUGCACUGUAGUUGUCGCAAGUUCUAAAUGCAAUUAACCUUUUCACUUCAAUGUUAUGACAAAUUUGAUAUUGGUAUACGUGACAAAAUUGACCUAAUUCUCGGCCUGAGGUCCACCCUUUCCUCUUUGUAAUUAAUGUAGAUUCUAAACCUCUUACAAAGCACAAAUUUGGACAUACGGCACUAAAACAAAAUAUGGACAGACGGCCCGUUUAGUGCCCCUCUCUCUGUCUCUCUCUCUGUGUGCAAUUACAAGCUACUGCAAGAUUCGAUGUAGUGGAUAAUAAAGUACAUUGAUUACAAGCAAAACAUAUGUCACGCAAUGAGUUACAACUUAUAUUGAAAAUAAAGAUUAAGCAAUUCAAGGGUUGUACAAGAGUCAAAUAUAGCUUGCACUCAUUUACAAAAAGAUAAAAAAAAAUGGGAGGUAAAGUGUACACUGUCUUUGAACAGCCUCUCUGUCCCCUUAUGGCGCACCAAACAUUUGGACACCGAGCUUAUCAUACCCAUGACCUCCAAAUCUAAUCCAUGGCUGUGAAGCAGACCGACGUGAAAUAUUCAGAUCUUUCUUUUCCCCCAAAACCGAAAGGGCCAAAUCUGUAAAAGCCAAGAAAGUGUACUUGUCCUCGAAUGCCCAACUUUUGAGGAGCCCAGGAUAAACAAAAUCAUCAUAACUUUAAGAUGCUUUGCAAAAAAAACCGGUAUCCUCAUCCUUCCUACUUAUUGCUUCUGUUUUUUCCGCACAGCAUUAUGGCCAUUGCGUGCUCUGGAUGCUUUAUGAUUUCUCAUUGAGGUUUCCAUGCUCAUGCUACCUUUUAGUUCCAUCUUUCUCUUUUCCCCACUUUUAAGUUUGUGAAAGGUCCUCUUCCUUUUCUUUCCAGAUUCGUUGGAUUGAAUCUUAGAAAAUUUCCCUGCAGCCAAAUCACCAUCCUUUUCAGAACCUUCUAAUCUGCCAUCAGCAGUAAGAGAAGUUUCAUAUUCUCCUGAGUGGGGGGAGCCAUCUUUGUUCUUCAAUCUCCUUUUGUAUCCUCGUCCCCUGACAUCUUUCUGAUUUGCGGAAGCUUCCUUGUUCUCUAUCCCGCCUUCAUUUGAGGUUUUGUUUUGCCGAUUCU